ACACAAACUCAGUGUUCGAAGGUUUGACAGGAGACCAAGUGAUGAAGGCAGUGACCGUAGAUCCAUGUCAGUCAAGUUUACAACUCUGACCUGUAUCAUGCUCUUGAAAAAGUUGUCUGGAAUUGUUACUCGUGAAUAUUCCCAAGGAUCAUCACUUAUAAAAAGAAGUUCGAGCUGAGGACAUUCCAGUACUUUAGGAAGCAAAUUAGUGUUGAUAUCAUGUAAGACGAUUGAAGUGCAAUGCUUUAUUGCACUUCCGUCCGACCAUUCCCUGCAACCAUCAACCUGCUCAUUUGUAGCAGUAAACACAUUUCGUUCAGUAGAUGCAAUUGAUAUGGCGACAUCGCGAACUACAUCAUGCAUAGAAAACAACUCUUUCUUCUGGCUUAUAUGGUCAAGCAACAUACAAGAAGCUUUGAGUGUGCGCACCAAUGUAUGUACUCGAUUUCGUGCUACUUCAAUCUUAUUCACACCUUGAAAUAAACCCAAUCCCAUACCACACAUUAACAAGUCUUCAAUAGAUGCUAUGGCUGUAUAUCCUAUUAGCAAAAAGAUGUUCUUGAGAUCAUCCCUUCCUAGUUUAUUGUAGCUCAACUCGAUAGCUUUAAAUGCGGCUGGCUGUACAUCCUUAAAAUUCGAUGAAGAAGGCCUUCUUAGCUGUUCCAAUGCAUCCUUCCAUUCACGUAUGCUCUUGUUCCUUAAUGCCCUUGCAACCGUCACAAUGGAAACUGGUAGACCUGCACAUUCCUUUGCCACAUCCCUUGCUACCUCUUUCAAUUCAUUACCUUCAACAUAAUCACCUGCCAUCUUCGUGAAUAGACUCCAAGCUUCAUCUUCUUUUAAAAAUCCAACUGGGAAAUUUUUUCGAGACUCCAUCUCUCCAGACAAUACUUCUUCACUCCUUGCCGUGAACAGCACUUUACAUCCCAUGUGAUCAUCUCCGUGAGGAAUUCCGACAUCCAACAAAUCAAGAUUUUCCCAAAUAUUAUCCAAGAUUACAAGGAUCCUCUUCUCUUUCUUCAGUCGAUCAUAGAGUCUUCUUGCCCUACCCGAUUCACUCUCCUCAUCAAAUUUUAGACCUAGUUUAUCCGCGAUUUCUCCUUGAAGCUUUCUUACGUCUCGACUCUCAGACACCUCAGAAAAAACCACCUGAUCGAAAAGCUUGUCACUCUCUGCUUUUCUAGCAACUUCUUUAGCUAGCGUCGUCUUUCCGAUUCCGCCCAUUCCAUAAAUCAAAAGCAUGUUGACAUUGGGAUUUUUUAAUGCAUCAAUUAUUUCAUUCAGAAUGGACGUUCUUGAUUCAAAGGCCUCGAAGUCUUUGUUAGGCAUAAGCAAGGUAUCCUCCGGAAUGAUGCUGUAGGAAAUACUAUUAACUGGUCUAGCGUCCCGGACUUUGACAACAGCCUCCUUCUGCCUCUCUGCUUCCUUGCUAAGUCGAGGGCGGGUCUUCAAAUUAGGACAUAACCCCUUGAAACAACGCUUAUUUGCAGUGGCUUCAUCUUCUGUAAAUUUAUCUGCCUCUUCAAUGACACUGUUGGCCGUUGCAAGCCAAUUCUCAACGUUCUCUUCAAUCUCUUCUCCUUUUCUUUUAGCCUCAUCAACCUGGUGCUCUGUACUCACCCUCUCAGACUUUAGUUUCGCAACUUCAGUGUUGAGAUUCUGUAAGUUGCUCGUGUACUUACUCUCACGCAAAUAGCUAAUUUGGCGAUAUGCGGGAGGAGCCAAGCACUUUACAACUUCUAAAACAAUAGUAAGAAUGAUUUCAGCCAUCUUCAGUCCUUUGUCCUUGUCUCUCUAUCUCUCUUUUUCUGAAUUUUGGAAAAACAAUUCAACAGGUGACCACAACAAGAUGGAACACAAGUGACUACAACAAGAUGGAACAAAAUAAAAAGGAAAAAAAUACAAAGAGUGGAUGGAGAAUAAAACAGAGACAGCGUCACAGCUAGACACAAUUAGAUAGAGAACAGAGGAAAACCAAAUAACAAGACUUAAGAUUACAACAAACAGAGGCCGAGGUGGAUAUAUAUACUUGGAGAAUAAAAUUCAAGAGCAAAGCGAGUGCUGGGCUGCAGUUUCUUAAGGAGAUUUAUAUAUCAUCCUCAAAAAUAAAUAUUUUAAGGUAGGUAUUUAGACUAUUUCAUCAUAAAAUAAAUGUAAUUAAUUUUCAUAAAUAUGUGAUAUCAAUAUUUAUUUAUUUUUUUAAUUACUGAUGGCCUUUGAAUAUACGAUACAUAUUACUAAUUCAAAAAAUAAAUUGUGAUUAUUUGUUAAUGUAUAUGAUUACUUGUGAUGGUAAACAAGGUAGAUAUGGUAUAUUUUGAAGUAGAAAAAAAAAAACAAAAGAAAAAACAGAGCUUUUACCAUUGCUUGCCUUAUCAUCUUUUAAAUUAAAGUUAUUAUUCUUUUAUUUUUCAAGUUGCCAACUCAUACGCAUUUUCUUUUAUUGAAUUUGAAGAUCAAUGAUUAUAAAUUUGUGUGAAAAUUUUAAGCCAAAAUUUUAAAUUAAAAUAAUCAUUAAGUUAUUAAAAAAUAAUAACUUAAUAUAACAAAUAUUAUAUCAUAUACUUUAUUGCUACAAGAUUACAAAACCUUAUAUUAUAUUAUGUUUCCAUAUUUCUCCUUUAUAGUGAAGACUCAUACUUUUUCUCUAGUAGAUGUUAAAGUAUUGGCUUAAACUUUUUAACCAGCACAGUAAACCCUUAAGCCUAUAUAUGCUAUAAUGUCCCUCUUCCCUCACAGAUCAAACACUAUUUUUCAAAAUAUUAUAUCUUUAGACUUAACAAAAUAUCUUUUAACCAUAUAUGUACAGUUUGUUUGAUCUCUUUUAAAUAUUGGAGAUUACAACAGAACAGAUGCGAAUUAGCAGUGACGCUGAGUUUAGAAGAUUGAAGUUAAGAAAAUUAAGGAAAGGGUAAGGAUGUAUUUUCAAAGUGAAUUAUUGAGAGAUCUUUGAAGAUUACUUCCGUCAAGAGCUGGGUCCUAUACUCUUAACCCUUUGUCCUCCAGUCAACCAUAAGACAAAUUAUUAUUGAGUGUGAGCAGACAUUAACCACCAAAUUUUCAAACUUGUGAUCCUUAUUGAAUCUGCAUUCCCCUUUACAAAAGUAAAAAAAAAAAGUGCAAAUAACGAAACAAAAUUCUGUUCCUUGACUGCAAGUGCUGUCGGCAUUUUCAGACUUGUAAGACCCUUCUACUUGCAAGAUACCACUGAAUUUGUCUUUUUUUUUUUAAAUUACACUAUAUUAUCUUAUAUUUUAUAAAAAAUUUAAUAAAUAUUAUAAAUUAUAAAUUUUUAUAUUUAAUAUUCUCAAAAUAAAUUAUCAAACAAAUGAUUCAUUUAUUAUUUUUUCUUUUAAAUUUUUGUUAUUAAGAAGAUUUUUGGAUAUUAAGCGUGAAGGGCUCCACUGAUCGCUAAUUUUGCAGCAAUUGCCCUUUUCUUUCUCCCCUAAUUGUUUUGAAAAAUAUCUAGUCUCAUUCAGCGAAGUAUCCAAGGCCAAAGGGCUAAAAGAUGGGACACCCACAUGUGCUUCUAAUUAAAAAGGGUUAUUUUUCGCUACCCCACAUGUUUUGAUAAAUCAUAUUGUGUACCCAUUUGUUUCAAUAAUCAUCAGUGUGCACCCAUUCUGUUAAAUUCAGCCGUUUAGUUUAACCAAUCAAGGGUAAAAUGGAUAUUGUACAAUAAAUGAAUAAAAAAUCAAGUUAAACUGUUUGCACAGAAGAAAGAGAACAAGGAGAAGUAAAAGAACAACAUCAUUUCUGAAAAAACAACUCCAUCUCUGCAAAUCGUACCAUCCAAGAGCAUAAAUCAAAGCAAAUAUGGAGGGAAAAUAUUAUGUGUUGGAGUUGAUGUUCUUAUAUCCCCAUCUAGAGUAAGAGGUUUUGACAUGGUAGCGUCUUAUGACACCAUUGUAUUACAAGUUAUCAUUGGUAGUUUUUUGGCUGAAGGCUGGAAGGAGUCAAGAUCAUGGAUGCAACCAAAACCAUUGUCUUCUUCUAUGCCAAAAUUCAUCCUAGAAGCAUCAGCAAUUGGAAGCCCACCAUCACAUGGAAACUUAAGUGAAUCAUCUGGUGGACCUGGAAGCCCUCUAAACCACAGCACCGAAGGAGGCUGCAGUAACAGCAAUCCGCCAAGCAUACUGAAAUUUAAUGAGUUGGUGUUGUGUGAUUCAGCAUCAGUUUUUAUUUUUUAACAUGCAUAUUAACAGUGACUGGUGGGAUUUUUGAAAUUUAAUGAUUUGAAAUUCAAAUUGGGGACAAAAUCACCAUUUCACAAAAUAAUUGUCAGAAUGGUUAAAAUAAACGGCUGAAUUUAACGAAAUGGGUGCGCGGUGAUAAUUGUUGAAAUAAGUGGGUUUACGGUAAAAUUUGUCAAAACAUGUGGGGGGUGGCCAAAAAUAACCGAAUUAAAAAAUCAAAAGUUAGGGGGACCAUAACUUACAUUUAAUAUAAUUUAUGAUAGGAGUCCACUUAUGUUACCACUGUACAACAGGUUUGGUCUUUUCUGACUCAGUUGCUGUAAAAGUUUGUUGAGCCCCUUGUACUCGAUAUUAUUUACUAUUUAUUUAUAAGUAUUAUAAAAAUUUCUGCUUACUUGUUAAAACAAACCUCUCGGCCCCACUCCCCUUGUGCUCGAUAUUUUUUACGCGUUUCUCUUUUCUCUCCCCCACGUGAACACUUUUGCCUUUUGCUGGUUCACGUGAAAGUCAGUUUAGAAUUUUGAUCUUAUUUCACAGAGCUAAUUUUUUAUCACAAGCAGGAGAGAAACGGCAUUUCUUAGCAGUAGUUCAUCACUGUAGUAGCGAGCGAGUGAGGAACAAAAUUACCAACAAUUCUCAAAAAAUAAUUAUAAAAAAUGAUCACAUGCUAUAAUUAAUCAUGACACUUUGACAACAUUACUCCCACCGAGCAAAAGUUAACAGCAUCUUCUCCCACAUUUUUAAAAAAAAAAUUGUAUUAUAUAACCCACCAAAAGUAUAAAGAGUCUUUUCUUAUUAAAAUUAAUAAAUUACUCUUUAUAUUGAGAAAUUAAAAUUUAAAAUGAGAAUGAUGGGCGAUGUUCAUUUCUUAAAAUAAAAAUAAAAUUUAUGAAGUUUAUCUAUUUUUAGAAUUAAAGAAUAAGAACUUAAUUUCUUAUGGGGAGUGUUGGAAAUCAAGUUCUUAUUCCUUAAACUCUCAAUUUUACCUCACAAAAAUUUAUAAGUUCACUUUUAUCUUUAAUUAAAAUAUUAUUAUGUUAUUAUUAUGGUUAUUAUUCUUAUUUUUGUAGUAGUUGCUGUUGUUUUUGUUGAUGAUGAUGAUAAUAGUUGAUAAUAAAAUUAAUAAUAAUAAUGAAAAUAUAACUAUAAUUUUAACAGCUACAAUAAUAAUCAUUAAUAUUAUCGUUGUUGUUCUUAUUAUUAUUAUUAUUAUUAUUAUUACUACUACUACUAUCCUAUUAUAUUAUUAUUAUUAAAUAAUUAUUUUGAAUAAUAAUAAUCUCAAUUAUUAUAACAAACAACGACAAUAAUGAACUAAUGUCAUUUUCAUAACUUAUAACAAUUUAUUUUUUAUUUCAAGACAAAAUAAACAUAUUAAUAAUAAUACAGGUCAUUUCGAUUAUGAUUCUUACAGGUAAAAUAAAUAAUUUAUUAUGAUUUUCACAUCAUAAUCAUAAUUCUUAUAGUAUUAUCUUUAUUUUAAAAUACUUUUUUAUUUAUAUUUAUUAUAAAUUAAUUAAAUUAUACCAAUGAAAAUUAAAUAAAAAUUUAAGUAAUAAAAAUGAGAAAAUAUAUGUUUCCGUUUGAAUAAAAAAUUAAUAAUAAAAUAUUUUUCUUAUUUUUUAAUAUUUUUAUUAUGAAGAAAAUAUAUUUUUCUUUUUUUAAUUAUUUUGAAAAAAUAUCCAGACUCAUUCUGCAAAGUACCCGAGGCCAAAGCGCCGAAAGAUAGGACACCCACAUGUGCUUUUAUUUACAAAAUCUAAAGUUAGGGUGGGUGUCCGAAACUUAAAUUUAAUAUAAUUUAUAAUUAGGUAAAAUUCUUUGAUUGACCCAUUAAAUUUUAUUAUUCUACUACUUAUUUUUAUAUUAAAAAAUUAGUAAUGUAGAAAAAUUCUUAAAAGUUAAUGGAGAAGGAAAAGAAAAAGUGUAAAUGAACUGUAUUCACCUAAGUUUCAAACACGUGGUUCAAUCUGAAUUCGCUUUUUUCAAAAGUAAAUACAAAAGAAAAUAUACAGAAAAAAAAAUUAAACGAGACAAAAAUCUGUGGCGUGGGUCAUUCAUAUCUUUUGUCAUUUCUUUUUUAGAGGUACAUGGGGUGGAUAUUUUGAAGUGACAAGCAGAGCCUUUACUGUUGCUUGCCUUAUCAUCUUUUAAAAUUAGAGUUACUAUUCUUUUAUUUUUAAGUAGCCAACGGAUGGUAGCCAACUCAUCCAUGUUCUCUAUUAUUGAAUUUAAAGAUCAAUGAUUUAUGUUAAUAAAUAUUUUGUUAACUAUCAAAGUUUUUAUUUCAAAAUUACUGUUAUAAUUCAUUAAUUUUUCAAUUUUUCCUUUUUCUAUUCACACAACAGAUUGAUUUGCCCUCCAAAAAAAUGUAUUAGAUUGUUUAAUAUUGUAACAUCAAGAAACUUAUAAUAAAUUUUUAAAGAGAUAACUAGAGAAUGUCAGCCUCGCAUCUACUCAAAAUUAAUAAAUAUACCACUAAUUCCUUAUUAUUUUUAUAAAACUAAUAACUUUCUUGGUAGUAUAAUUUUAUAGUAUUAUCCUUAUUUAUAAGUACAUUUUUAUUCAUAUUUAUUAUAAAUUAAUUAAAUCAUAUCAAUAAAAAUUAAAAUAGAAUAAUAUGUUUUGGUGUAAAUAAAAGAUUGAAAAUAAAAAUAUUUUUCUUAUAUUUUUUGUCAUUUUUAAAUGUUUUUCUUAUAAUAAAUGUACAUUUUAUAUUAUUAAGAUGAAUUUUGAGUAAUGACUCAUUUACUCACUUUUUCUUUAAAUUUUUGUUAUUAGGAGGAUUUUUAGAUAUAAUGAAAAUUGUAAGGUAGGAAGUAAUAUAUAAUAAUUUUAAUAAAGAAAAAUAAAAAAUCUCUUAUUUUAAAAUAUAAGGAGAAAAAUAAUUAAUUUUAAAAAAUUUUAGAAGAUAUUUCAAUAUGCGGUGGGAUCACACCCUCGAGUCUUUGUCGUCUCAGUCAACUAAAAGGACAGAAUAUUGAGCGUGAAGGCUCAACUGAUUGUUAAUUUCACAACAAUUACCUUUUUUUUCUUCUUUUUUUCCUAAUUAUUUUGAAAUGGUAGGUAGCAAUUGCUUACAUCAAAAUAUUUAGACUCACUCGGCAAAGUAUCCGAGGCCAAAAUGACAAAAGGUGGGACACCCACAUGUGCAUCUAAUUACAAAGUCUAAAGUUAAUGAAAAGAAAAAGAAAAAGUAUAAAUGAACGAUAUUCAUUCAAACAUCUAGUUCAAUAUGAAUUUCUUUUUACCAAAAGUAAAUUUGGGCGAGACUUUGCGAGGGGCCUCGGUGUGCCCGCGGGGAGUCUUCGGCUGAGCGCUGCCCAAAAAUAAGCAUCCGAAGGUCGUAUGCUCGCGUGUGAGGCUGCCCCCGCUCGCGCGGCAACGUAGAGUACGCUCACGCACGAGGCUGCCCACGCCCAGUCGCAAGUAGGGCAGCGCGCGCGACAAGUGGUUGCCCACUCUCGCGCACAAAACAAGCUUAUAAUAGAGCAACUCCAGGCAUAUGAGGCAGUAGCCAUAAGACAUAAUUUUGAGAAUGGUGAGUGUGGAAACAGGGAGGAAUUUCAUAAGGUCAAAAAUGGGAUAUUGGCGGGCGAGUCUUUGCGAGGGGCCUCGGUGUGCCCGCAGGGAGUCGCGGGCACAGCCGCGCCCAAAAACAAUGCCCCAAGGUCGGGGUGACAAAAAGGCCCCAGGGCCCCGAGACGGGUGUGCUAUAGCCUUGGUGGGGGGCGCGGGCGAAGUUCGUCCACCAGCGCGGCCGUGCCUGCAACGCUAAACGAGAGCCCUCGGGUGCGCGGGCGAUGCUCGUCUGCCGGACUCGGAAUGGGGCGAGACUUUGCGAGGGGCCUCGGUGUGCCCGCGAGGAGUCACGGUGCCAAAAAGGCCCCAGGGGGCCCGAGUCGGGUGGGCUAUAGUCUUGGUGGGGGGCGCAGGCAAAGUUCGUCCGCCGGACUUGGAAUGGGGCGAGGUUUUGCGAGGGACCUCGAUGAGCCCGCGGGGAGUCGGCGGCCGAGGACCAUCUUGAAGUCAUCCAUGAGGACGAUGGAGAAAUCAAGCUUUCCGCUCCAUGUACCGAGUGUUAAGUGCACGCCUUGUGCAAUUCCCGCAAUUGACUUGGCGGGUGAGUUUACCGCUUUCAUCGUGCCUCUUUCCAUCCCGAUUCCCGAGGCCCGCUGGUCCCAUUGGACGAAACGGAACCACAAUCGGAUGCCCCGAUCAUGAGUUACGGCCGAAACCGGUAAAAACAACCCCGAUCUUACCCCCCGCUGGCGAUCGAAACCCGCUAACGCACUAGCGGAAAAAGGCCCCGAGACGGGUGGGCUUUAGCCUUGGUGGGGGGCAUAGGCGAAGUUCGUCCGCCGGACUCGGAAUGGGGCGAGGCUUUGCGAGGGGCCUCAGUGUGCCUGCGGGGAGUCGUGGGCACCCUGCCCUUCGGGGCCCAAAAAUAAGCGCCCGAAGGUUGGGGUAGCAAAGGCCCCAACGAAAAAAGGCCCCGAGACGGGUGGGCUAUAGCCUUGGUGGGGGGCGCCGCCGCACAAUUCAUCCUCCGCGGCCCUUUCCCCACUCCCCGGUGGGUCCGAGGUGUCCCGGAGAGUUGCGAACUUGACGUGAUAAGUUGUAUAUUUCACGUGAAGUGUUACAUCCUUACUUCUUCAGCUUCCUUGUACGUUCACUUCUUAAGAAUCUGGUUAUGUUUUUUUAAUUUUGGGUAUUUUUAGUGUUGAAAUUUGGCUUGUAGUUGGGCUUAAUGAGUAGUGUAAAGAUUGUAGAUCAAUGAUUAAUGUGCUUGUUGCUGAUUUAUUUCUGUUUUUGUUUCAGAUUGGUGAGUGUCGCCUUGGUGGGGGGUGAGGGCGAAGUUCGUCCGCCGGACUCGGAAUGGGGCGAGGCUUUGCGAGGGACCUCGCGGAUGCAGCCCAGCCUCGCAUGCCAGCAGCACAUGCUCGCGGGCAAGGAUGGGCGCUCGCGCGGGGCAUACAGCAGGCAGUCGCGCGGUAAACUGCCCACGCUCGCGAGGCAAGCAGCGCCUAGUCGGGCAAGGCAGUGCGCGCUCGCCACCAAGGCAAGUAGCCCAAGCUUGCGCGAGGAAGUCAGGCCAGGCUUGUGCGCGCGCGUGGGGCGAGGCUUCGCAAGGGGCCUCAGUGUGCCCGCGGGGAGUCGUGGGCAUAGCCGCACCCAAAAAUAGUGCCCCUAAGGUGGUGGGGGGCACGGGCGAAGUUCGUUCGCCGGGCUCUGAAUGGGGCGAGGCUUUGCGAGAGGCCUCGUUGUGCCCACGGGGAGUCGCGGGCAUAGUCGCGCCCAAAAAUAGUGCCCCAAAGUCGGGGGGCCAUUGACUGGGGUACCACGAUCAUAUUUAACUGUUGUAUGCAUGAAUCCUUGUGACAUGACAUAUAGCCAAUUAAAUUCUGACAUGCGUGCAAUAAAGACUGUAAAGUGACUGGUUAUUCCGGUUGAAUUCACAAGAACUCUUGUUUGUGUGUUUAUGUUCCAAGUUGUGUACUCUUUGUUACGAGUUCUCUAAUUAGUCUGAUAUUAUCGCAACUGAUGCUCAAUAAUGUUACAUGUUUUAUAAUAUAUGUCACUGGUACGAUCGUUGUCACAAAUUUUGAACGAAAAGUUCCUAAUAAAACAAGUUAUUUAAUUAAUUAAAUAAGAAUAAAAUGAAUUUGUGAAAAAAAAUUUAAUUUAAUUUUGAAUUAUUUUAACCAAAAUUUAAGUUUUUUUUAAUUUGUUUAAGAAAAUGCGUUUUAAUUGUCUUGUAUUAAUUGGAAAAUCAAUGAAAAAAUUUAUGUAACAGAAAAAAAAAAAAGCAAAACGUUUUGUUUUGGAUGGAGGCCAUAGAUUCCAAUAUUUCCUUCACGAAAACUACAAAAGAUUAUCAAAGGCAUCAAUUUCUGCACUCUCACCGAGCAAUACUCUUAACCCAGAAGAAAGUGUAUAAACCAACCCCAAUCAGUCCAUCAAUGUCGUCAACCUCAUACAAUAUAAAAAAAAUCCGUCCAUUAAACCGCCAUUUAAACCGUCUUUAUUGAGCCAUUAGACUAUUCGUGUCAUCUUCCCAUCUCGUUGUAGUAUUUUGCCGUUCAAAUCUAGUUAUCAAUUGGGGAAAAUGGGGACCAAUCUGCAAGUCUUUAAAAUAGAUAGGAACUUUAAUUGGGCAGUAUGUUCACAGUGGUGGACCCAGCAGCAUUAAUAUUUAAGGUGGAGCUAUUUGUAUCUUAAAAAUGAUUUUAAAUAUUUUAAUUUCAAUAAGAAUAUACACCCUAGAGCCCCAGACGACCGAAGAUCCGUGCAGGGAUAUAUNNNNNNNNNNNNNNNNNNNNNNNNNNNNNNNNNNNNNNNNNNNNNNNNNNNNNNNNNNNNNNNNNNNNNNNNNNNNNNNNNNNNNNNNNNNNNNNNNNNNAAAUAUAAAAUUUUUUAUUUCCCAACAUCUUAAUAAAAUAUGUAGAUGAAUAAUAAGGAAAUUAACUUGAGAAAAAAAUUAAAUACAAAAUAUGUGUAAUACUUUAAAAAUAAAAUAAAACAAAAGUAUUGCACAAGAUUUUUUAUGGGGGGGGGGGGGGGGGGGGCUUUGGCCAUUCUUCUUCUUCUCCUUCUCUCUCUCUCUUUUUUUUUUUGGGUAGUAUUUAUGGAACAUUUUCUAUUGUUAUGUUCUCAUCACAAGUUAUUUUGGGUGUAAUAUUCAAUAUUGAAAAUAAAUUAAAUGAAAAAUUAGUAACGAAAAUUAUGUUAAAUUAUUUUUUUAUAACUUAAUUUUUAAUUAUAUUAUUGUGAGUAUAUGCUAAAUCUCUUAAAAAUAGAGUGUUGAAUAAUUUUAUUAGUUUUUUUUAAAUAAAUAAAGUUAAGUAACUUAAAAAGUUUAAGUAAGGAUAUUUUUUAAUUUUAAUUAGUGUACAAAGUAAAGUUUAAUUUUUUUUAUAAUUAAAUUAUAAACGUGAAAAAUAAUAGAAUGUUCAAAAUAAUAUUUAGAGUAUUAAUAAUCCUACCUUAAUCUUUAUCAUCACAUUAUUUUUCAUAAAAAGUUUACAAUUACCUCUUUAUUGGAUAAUUUUGUUCCCUCUCUUACCUUAUGUUCCCUUACAUUCUCAUUUCUGCAUCACCAUUUAAAUUGUAAUCAUAACGUUAAUCUUUAUCCAUCACAUAUUUUGCCAAAUUUAUUCGCACCGCAAAGCUCUUUCCUUUUUUUUUUUUUUCCUCCGUUAAGUUUGCUAUAAUGUACGUGAAGAAUAGUUAAAGAGCUCUUUCGUGUCCUUACCCUUUUUUUUGGGUUUACUUUUGCUGCCUUUUUACGUUUCUCCAUAAUUCACUUCAACAUCACUGGCGCAUUUUCUUCUUUCUCACUGCAACAUCAACUGGGCCACCACCUCUUGCCUCUCCCGGUUCCCCUCAAUUUUCGUAUUCAAUGUCCACAGUUGAUUGUACAUUUAUUAAAAUUCUGUGGUUAUUGUUUUUUUGCAUACAUUUAAUUCCACACGGUCUAUCAAUAGAGCAGGUGCAUCGUAGUUGUGGCCUUAACUGUUAUUGGUAACUCAAUAGCUAAUUCUAAUGUUUCAUCAAGCAGUUUAGAGAUAACCUCUCUCGCUGAACACCCUGGAGUAACGCAAUCCAGUUUUUUCCAAUGCAAUCAUCAGACAGUUGAACAGCUUCUGAAUUCCCUUUGCUUUUCUUGUUUUCUUUUCCAUGUAAAGGGAGCUCAGGCUUCAAUAUAUCUGGGGAUUGAUUACUAAUGAUAAAGACAACAUACGGUAGAGGACACAAAUUGUUAUCAAAGAAUGACGCACUUUUCAACUGAGUACAGUAAAGCAAGAAUGGGUAAUUAGUUUUACCUGCAACGUGAAAAUCUAGACUCCCGAUGGUAACCGAUCUUUGGUGAAGCAAAUAAAGAAGAAGGCGAAGUAAAAUUCACUGAGUUGAAUGAGCGAUCAUUGCGUAUGGACUUGAUUUGUUCAAUGGGUGAAAGACUGCUGAUAUAAUUAAAGACUGGAGAAUCCUGCACGUUGACAAGCAUCAUUUUUAAUCUAACAUAGAGUCUUAAAAACCUUGUCAGUGGCAAAUGAUCACGACAAGAAAUCUGAAGUAGAAACAGCAGAGCUCAACAAAUCACUAAGAGAAAAUAAGACCAAUAACCAAGCAGAUAAAAGAAAAGCAAAAUAACCCAUCUCAAAAUCACCACAUGCACAAUUUAAGGGGUUUGUGACAUGGGUUUAAACAUGAUUUAACAAGUGCCACCUGUGAAUUGUCAGAGAUUGUAUUUUCAUACACAUGUCAAAUUUUCAAGUCCAACAAAUUGUUAUCUUUCUAAAGAGGCUAAUAUUAUUAUUAUCUAUGCAUAGCAUGCUAUAAACAAUUCAUAUUCUGUACACAACAUAUGGACAGAGGAACAAAUCCUUGAGCUAAAAUCAUCAUAUUCCAAAAUAUUCUACCCAAAUCAACACCACAAAACGCGAACGCUAAACAGAAUUGGAGCAAUUUACCAAAGCUAUUUGUCACGCAAAGCACUAGUACCUCAGAACCCAAUUUGCAAAAAAACACCAAAAAUGAAAAAUAACAAAUGCCCAGAUGAAAAAUCAGGAAAAAAAAGCUAAAUCCAAAUUACAACCCCAUAAGCUGAGUCGUUCUCUUCGAACUGAAUUAAAAAAAAUUAAAUAGGGAGAUUGACCUCAAACUUUGGAAACAGAAGCGACAGCGAUCUGUUUCUUGUCUGGAGUGUCCAUUUCUAUAAUCUACUUUGUCCGUUUUCAGUCGCUCUGCCACAGAGCUUCUUCCCUCUGAAGCUGAAGCUCACACACACUUGCAAAACGAAAGCAUUUUUUAUUGAUUGAGAGGCGGGAAGGCGGGAAAAUGAGAGAAAUUUGCAUUUGUUUUCUCUUGGUUCGGUCAUACCUGUGCGGGCCCCAGCUUCACAAGCGGUAUUAUUACUAUUUGUAUAAUUUACAUGAAGCAUGUCACGCAAUGACGAUAAAAAAAAAAUAUAUAUAUAUAUAUUGUUAAUUUUUCACUUAACAUUGAAAUAUCAUAUAAUUUUUCCAAUUUUUUGGUUAUUUUCUCGCCCUUAUGCCACAUUCUUUUGAUCAAAUAAUACAGUAAAACUUUUCUAUAAUCAUAAUAUUAGAGCCAAAUUAACUUUGUUUCUGUAAAGAGGCUAUAGCUUAAUAAAGGUAAAAUUAUAAAAAUUAUUAUUUUGACUCAAUUAUCUUUAGUGCAAGUGAUAUAAAGUAUAAAUAUAUGAUAAUUAAUUAAUGAACUAUGUCAAAUACAAUAUGCUGACAAUGAUUAAAAAGAUAGACAUAAUUUCAAGAAACUAAUACAUAUAUUUAUAUAGUGUUGGGAUUAUACAAAAUUAUCUUAAAAGUGUAAAGAGUAAAGUAUUAUUCUGAUUAAUUUUAAAAAAUUAUUUUAUCUUAAUCUUUAAUGCAACAUAGCUUUUUUUUUUUCUUAGCAACAAAUCAUUGUUCCAAAUAAUUAUUAUUGGAUUCAAAUCAUGUCCUAGGCACUUUUUCUUCUAGUCGUCUUAAACUUUUAAUGAUUUAUGUCAUUAAUGAAAUUAAAUAACUAAGACUUUGUUUUAAUUAACGUUUACAUAAAUAGACAUCAAAACUCACGUGUGAUUCUUAUCAAUUUUUUUCCUGCAAAUUCUUUUCCUCUCAACAAUUCAUAUUUUGACAUUAAUUUCCAGCAAAUUAUAAAAAAAAAAGAAGCGUAAAAUGGAGAAAAGUUAUUGACAACAAGGUUUGCAUCUUAAUUUCAAAAUUUUCCUUUCUUUGCUAUUUUUGUGGGUUCUACAAUUGUUGUUUUCACUCUCAGCUGCAGUUCAAUGAACUCUAUUAAUAACCAUGAAGCUUAAUGUAUCAAUUCCAGUACGAGAAGUCCUUCUACGCAUGUUACAACACUUUUUGGUCAUUAUAGGUUGCAAAUGUUCCGUAAUGUACUCAUUCAUAUAACGGAAACGCUAUUAUCAAUAAUGAAAGUUGACUAAGUUUGUAAAUUCUAUUUAACGAAAAAGUAACAUAAAUUUAGUUGAACAAGAGGUAAUCAAUAUGUAAUCUAUGAAACUAGGGUGUGACUAAGUUACAUAGUAAUGUAACUUACAUGAACACAAAAAUAAUUAGUUUUUAAACUACAAGUAGCUUUGGAACAGCUCUUAAAUUGAUAUAAGUUCUAUUAUUAUGUAACUUAGCAUAUUUUAAUAAUAGCACAUCACUAUUGUUUCAUGUGAAUGAUGCAAUUGGAUUAGCCAAUACAUACUGUCAUCCCCGGGGGAUGCUAUGGCAAUAGCUUACUCUACCGUGCCAAUGUCAUUAGUAUUAAUCUGUUGAACCUAAGACCAGAUCUAAGCUGAUCUAGAUUCCCCAAGAUCGCACACCACACAGUGAUUAAUGAAUCAAGAACAAUAAACCAUCAAAGAAUCGCAAACUUACAUGUCGGGUUACAUGUAAUAAAUGUUUUAAUUAUUAGAUGAUUCAUAAUGUUAGACCACUUUUUGUAUGUUUUGUAAUCUACGUUUGAUAAUUUAAUUAGCUGAUAAACACUUGAAUAAUAUUAUUUCAUUAACUAUGUCAUUGAUCCCAAGGAAAAAAAAAAAAACCCAAUUUGGGAUGUUAUACAUUACUUUUUAAUUACUUCCCAUUUUAGAUUAAUAUUUAUCACAUAUAUUCUUAGUAACUUGUAACCCUUUUUGCUAAGGGUGAAAUGUGUUUGUUACCCCUUCUAUUUCUGAGAUUGUCCUUACAAUAAGGAUGCCGGCCCCAAUGUCAAAAACUGCUAUCUCUAGGUGUAAAUUCCUUAUAAAAUUCUUUUUUAAUUGAAGAUAAAUUAAUUUUUUAUUUCAUUAAAAUAAAAAAAAAUCAAUUAAACACUUAAAUAAGCUAUCCUUUUAAUUUUUUUUUUACACCCAUCCAGUUUCAUAAUUUAUAUUUAUAGUUUAAAUUUUAAUGGAAAAUAUUUUUUUGAAAAACUUUAAGAAUUAAGAAUUAUGGGGAUAAAAAUUAUGUAAUAAGAACAAAAUAAUUUAAAAUUUUAAAAUUUGCAUGUAUUAUAAACAAAAACUUGAAAGAAAUACUCUUUUCAGGGUGAAAUUUAAUGAGAAAAAGAUUAAUUUUAAUUUAUGAAUUAGUAUUUUAUAAGUUAAACUGAGGUAUUUCAAGAAAUAGAAUUCAAAAGGCAUGGGAACGAGGGCCUUGGGUUUCAUUUUGUUUUGUAUGAAUUGGGAAAAAUACACGGACAGACAAAGGGAGCAGUCAUUAUAAUGCUGUGAAGCUGGUCGGAGAUACCCUGCCCAUUUGUAGCUUAGACUCCUGGGGUUUUGUUCAUGUCUUUUCUGUAUCCCAGUUUCUCAUGCAGCAGAUGUACAUAUGAUGAGAUGAAAACAACAGCAAAAAUUGCUGUCUCAUAAGAGAAAUAGUCAUACAUAUAGUGGGUUAGGCCUCCUAUCCAUUAACUUAAUAAUGAAUUUUAUGAAAAUUGAUUAUCUCAUUGGAAUUACAUAGAUACUGGAAAACAUUACUCCAGCCCCACCAUCCCAACCAUUUACUUAGUUCAUCAGUAAAAGCUGGAUUUUCCAUUUGUUCUUGAGAUUCAAAUUAAGGCGGCAAGUUGCUCAUUCUAUAUUAUUUAUGUAAUUCUGUAAAAGUGAAGGGCGUUUAGAUGUGGAAAAACCUUACUCCUGCCGCAACACCUCAAACAGAUUGUGAUCAGACAAGACUUAGUUCAUCAUUAGUAGUAGUUGGAGCUUCCAUUUGUUCUAGAGAUUUAAAGGCAGCAAGCUGCUUCCUCAGUGCUACUAAUUCUUCCCCGGCAAUGCAUGUGUAGCCUGAGGCUUGUCUACCAGACAAAGUUGCUCCUUCCAUACUAUCUAUGUAAUCCAGUGAGAGUGAAACCAUUUAGAAGACGUAUCUCUUUCUUUCCAAUAUUUAGAAUGAAACAAUUAUAUAUACAGUUACCUGUUUUGUAUAUGAGCCGGCGAGGAAGAAGUUCUUCACUGGUGUCUUUUGAUCACGUCUGACGGGGUCUUUACCAGGUCCCUCACCGCACAAAGAUUGCCCAAUUUUGACGAAAGAUGACCAAAUAACUUCUAAACCUUGGGAUGAUGGAAAUAGAGCUAAAACCUAAUAAAAGGAACCGUGAAUGGAUAGUAUGGACUCAUGUAUAUUAUCCAGAAAGUUGCAUGACCUUUUGUGGUACUCAGGUCACUAAAAAAUGUGAGAUAAACAUCUAGGAUAAGAAAAGCAAAAAAGCAUAACCUAAUACGUAUUAUAUGAAUUGAAGGUGUCACUGAACGCUACCAACCUGUUUUGCCACUCUCCUUAUGAUUUCAUCAUUUGGUAAGGGCAUAUAAGGAUCUCCAGGCGUCAAAACGCAUCUGAAAUAUAAUAUGGCUAUAGUAAGCAACACGGAAUACAAAGACACUUAGCAAAAGGAAGUCAAUCAGAUUCCAUGCACAAAAAAUAACUAAUAAUGACGAGGAUAAGAAAUUUUUCUUACUGGAGCAAUGAACCUUGCCCUUCUCUGUAGUAGUCUUCUGGUGAAGUGAGUGCUAGAUCUGCAAAGCAAGAGAAAUCUGCAUCUGGAGUAUAUGAAAUGUUAUCUAACCCCAUAGCUUGCCUCAAUUGUCUAUGUUGAUGCGAGAUUCCGGUUCUCCUCGUUCUACGACCAGGAUCUCUGCUCGAUCAACUUCGUCACGACCAGGAGGUCUCCUCGCUAGGCUUCUUCUCCAGAGGUUCCUGCGUACACAGACAAGUCAGAGUACGCCGGUUGUUUUCCCGGCGCAAACCCUCCGACGCUCAAGUCAGAUAUGAAGGUUCGGGGAAUGCUUGCCACAGAUCUUAUGGCUUUUUUGUGGUUUUCUCUUCUUUUUUAUUUCUUUUCUAAUCUCAAAAAUGCCAACCCUUUUACCUCGUUGGCUACCUUUUUAUAGGCUUCGAAUCCCAGUUUUCCACUUUUUUCGAGACGGUAUGGGACUCUGACUCCUGCGUUAUGGGCAAACGUGGGAUCUUGCGUGUUACGCCACGGUUCUGGGGAAAGCGUGGCUGUCGUGGUUCUGUGAGAUCUUGCGUGUUACGCCACGGUUCCGGGGAAAGCGUGGCUGUCGUGGUUCUGUGAGAUCUUGCGUGUUACGCCAUGGUUCUGGGGAAAGCGUGGCUGUCGUGCCUAGAUUCUCGGGCUGGAGAUCAUGUCUUGCCAACUGCCGUCGACCGGGUCUCCUCGCCUCUCGACCUCUAGCCGGAAUGAUCUUAUGCCUCUUACAGGAAAUUGGCCUCGCGGAUGACGUGCUCGUGGACGAGCAGGAUAUUUCUGCUCCUGUUCCCCCGCGCAUCAGGCUUUUACGGAACACACCGGCUCGCAGAACUCUGCCACCAGAUAUCUGCUCACCAUGCCUGGUCUCGUCGACGUAUUUCUCCCAAACACCGGUCCCCCAGUUUCUGGUGUUGGGUAAUGUAGUGGACCAGCAGUAGAAACUCGAUAGUACUCGCUCGCGUGGGAUUGGAAAAGGCUGCCAAGAGUCAUGUCGCAUUUAAUUGCGGACGAGGUGACGUGGCAGAAAUCCCCCCCCUCCAUUUGAAUUUCAAACCGACGGUUAUGAGGCCCUCGGGAUUCGGCGCUGUUAAAUGCUGGCAACCCAAGAGUCCGUCCUCAUUAGGAAAACCAAAUCCUCUCGAACGGCAUAUUCAUCAUCCACUCCGUCUCCGUCUCUGUCUCUCCGGCAAAGAAGUUCCGGCAUAAAAGUCCUCCAUCUCUGAUUUUCACCGACUGAACCAUUACUUCAGGUAUUUCUUCUAUCUCCUUGGUCUCGGAUAGUUGUAGAUAAUUUCUCUUCUCUUCUGUUUGGGUAGUAGUUGGUGGUGUUGUGGUUAGAGCUUAGGGAAUGUCGAAAGGCAAAGAGAAGGUCAUUGAGGUCGAUGACGACGAGUUGGACUUCCUGCCUAGUCUGCUCACCGAUCCUGCUUUUGACCCUGGGAUUCCCUUAGAACCCAUUAGGUCUAGUGUCGGGACUAGUGCUAGGAGGAUGUCUCCCCAAACAACCUCUACGAGCAGAAGUAAUGGUGAGGAGAGAUCUUCUGGCUCUGAGGAUACGUUGAGUGAGAAUGGCGAAGGUGACUCUGGUGAGGUGUCUCCAUCUGGAACAUCACGACCAGAAGAACGGGGUACAGUAGGAGGCAGGGCCUUGUCGCGCGAUUAUGCCAUUGAUUACAUGACGUGCACGACCUCGUUUGACGAGCUCAAUGACCUCCGGCUUAGGUAUAGCAUUCCUGGUGAGAUACCUCUCAAGGUCCCAGGAAAGAAGGAUGCUCCCAGCCGGCCUCCUAGGGGAUAUGUUACCCUGUAUCUGGACAGCUUUAAGUACGGACUGAGGUGUCCCUUGCAACCUUACUUUGCCCGGAUACUUAACGGGCUAAAUCUAGCUCCUGGUCAGCUGAAUCCCAAUGGGUGGAGAGUGCUCUCUGGUCUGUUCAUAUUGUGGGACAGAUGUUGCCAAAGCGAGCCCACGGUUGAUGAGGUGAAGCACCUGUACCAGCUAAAGAGCAGCCCCAAAGAUGCCGGCUGGUACUACUUCCAGUCUAGCACCAAGAGCAGGAAACCUAUAACCGACCUCCCUACUGGUGGUGGUGGGAAUUGGAAGAGAAAGUUCUUUUUUGCUGGGGGUCCUUGGGGUCAGGUUGCACAAAUGGACGGGAAGGAUUAUCGGGUCCCACCCCGUUUCACGGUCCCGGGUUGCCUGCUCGCUUUAGAUGUCUUGUAUCCAUAAUUGUUCUUGCUUUAUUGGCUUGUCUCUAACCAAGAGUCUGUUUGUGUUGUAGUUUCUUGGGGUGUUCACUUCCCGCUCCCACCUGACCAGCUCAAACGGGUCGAGGCUGUGCUCGCCAAUUCCUGCUCGAGCCGAGAACUGCUAACUAUAUACAACUUGCUCGAGUCUCGCUUGGUACUUCCUGGCCAUAGGAUGGAGGACGCUGUGAUUGGGGCUCUGACCCGAAAACGUUCUCGACCUCCAACCACGAAGAGGGACCAGAGUAAGGAUGCCCCUACUGCAAAGCGGGUCAACAUCGUGCAGCAAGUCUCACCCCUGAAGACUUUGCCUCCUGCUCCUGUAAAAGUCGGGGAAGCUAGUGGGGCAGCCACAGAUCAUGCUUCCUCUUCUCCUCCUGUCGGGCUCGAUCUCGUUUACCUGACAGCCGAGCAGAACACCUGGUCCUCUACCUCAAUGAGUUGUCUAAACUCGUGAGCAAGAAAGACCUGGAGGACUUCGACGGCUGCACCUUGGGUGAGUUGGUGGGGGCCAUGCAGCAUAGCGCUUUCCACCUCAGCUGCAUGACCACUUAUUACAAGGCUAAGGUUGGUCGCUACGACCGGAAAAUGAAGGGGGAUAUUCAAUCGGCGACGACCAGAGCUGACGUUGCCGAGAAGAAAGCAGGGGAGCUGAAUCUCGAGAAUCUGAAGCUGAUAGAGCAAGAAUCACUUGCUCAAGCAAAGACUAUUACCCUCGAGGAGGAGCUUACCAAGGUCAAGGAGGAUCUGCAAAGGCAGAAGGCUAUGUAUGAGGCCCAGCUCGAAUCUCUCCGCGACUCCAACCGAGCUCAGGUCGAGAACUGGGAGAGGGAGGCCGAGAAUCAGUAUGACCAGGGACUUCGGCAUUCUUAUCGUUGCAUCAUGGCCGUCAUCGGGAAGCAACACCCUGAUCUGAAGAUGGAUGACCUUGCAGCUGGUGUUGCCCAACAUAUGGACGAGGAGGCGGCCAAGGAAGAUGCUGAAGGGGUAGAGCCGGUCGUGAUCGAGGAGGAAAGUUCUCCCCCUCGUGCAGUCCCUGCUGAUGUUGGUGAGGCGAGCACCCCUCCGGACGCAACUGGUGAUACCCCCCCCGCACCUGAGGAGGUCCAGCCAACCGAUGCUGCUCGGCUUACUGAUUUACCAUCUUUUUGAUAUAUUUCUUUUUGUAUUGUAAUGAACAACGUUUAUGAAAUUUAUCCCCUCUGUUAGCCAUUAACACAUUAAUAAAAAUGUUUUUUGAUUACUUUCUCGUCUUGUAAUCAUCACUUAUUUUCCGUUUGGGAAUCUGCUCGUCUCGUCUGGUCGAGGAGGUUCUGGUUUGGCAUAUGGUUUUGCAACAUGCCUUAGAAAUUUUUUUUUUUUUUUUUUUUUGCUUGGGGAUUCUGCUUGCCUUCGCGUGGUCGAGCAGGUCCUGGCACGCUUGGCUUCAGUCUCGCCAUAAACAGGCUUUGAGACUUGGUGAGGCCUUUGCAUGCCUUAGAAAACUUUUUCGAUGCUUGGGGAUUCUGCUCGACUUCGCUCGGUCGAGCAGAUCCUGGCAUGCUUGGCUUCUGUCUCGCCAUAAGACAGGCUUUGAGACUUUGUCGAGCCUUCGCAUGCCUUAGGAAUUUCUUCAAAGCUUGGGAUUCUGCUGCCUUCUCGUGGCCGAGCAGACCCUGGCAUGCUUGGCUUCUGUCUCGCCGUAAGACAGGCUUUGAGACUUUGUCGAGCCUUCGCAUGCCUUAGGAAUUUCUUCAAAGCUUGGGAUUCUGCUGCCUUCUCGUGGCCGAGCAGAUCCUGGCAUGCUUGGCUUCUGUCUCGCCAUAAGACAGGCUUUGAGACUUUGUCGAGCCUUCGCAUGCCUUAGGAAUUUCUUCAAAGCUUGGGAUUCUGCUGCCUUCUCGUGGCCGAGCAGAUCCUGGCAUGCUUGGCUUCUAUCUCGCCAUAAGAUAGGCUUUGAGACUUUGUCGAGCCUUCGCAUGCCUUAGGAAUUUCUUCAAAGCUUGGGAUUCUGCUGCCUUCUCGUGGCCGAGCAGAUCCUGGCAUGCUUGGCUUCUGUCUCGCCAUAAGACAGGCUUUGAGACUUUGUCGAGCCUUCGCAUGCCUUAGGAAUUUCUUCAAAGCUUGGGAUUCUGCUGCCUUCUCGUGGCCGAGCAGACCCUGGCAUGCUUGGCUUCUGUCUCGCCGUAAGACAAGCUUUGAGACUUUGUCGAGCCUUCGCAUGCCUUAGGAAUUUCUUCAAAGCUUGGGAUUCUGCUGCCUUCUCGUGGCCGAGCAGAUCCUGGCAUGCUUGGCUUCUGUCUCGCCAUAAGACAGGCUUUGAGACUUUGUCGAGCCUUUGCAUGCCUUGGAAACUUUCUCGGUUUCAAGCGAAAGAAAUUCUUCGACGUUGCAUUAAUGGCAGGAUUCGACUUACAUGAAAUUGUUUGGACAUAAAACGUGAAAGAUAAAUGAUAAUGAACAUGAGCAAAAACAGCUUUCAAAUGCGAACAAGUCUUACUGGAAGUAUUUUCGGAGGUGUGCUGCGUUCCAUGGGCGUUUCACCUCGUGGCCGUCCGUGCGAACCAGCUUGUAAGCUCCGGGUCCCGCUAUCUGCUUGACUCUAUAUGGCCCUUCCCAGUUCGGUCCCAGCACUCCUUGAGUCGAAUCUCUGGUGCUCUGAUUCACUCUUCUUAGUACCCAGUCUCCGACCCUGAAUUACCGUAUGUUCACCUUCUGGUUGUAAUACCGAGUAACCCUCUGUUGGUAAACGACUGAUCGCUCGGCUGCUUGCUCCCUUCUUUCCGUUAGCAGAUCAAGAUUCAAACAUAUCUGCUCGUCAUUCUCCUGCUCAUUGAAAUGAUCUGUCCGGUGUGUGGUCGUUCCUAUCUCAGCCGGCACGACCGCUUCAUGUCCGAAAGCCAAAGCGAACGGUGUCUCCCCAGUUGCGGUUUUGUGGGUUGUUCUGUAUGCCCAUAGCACACCUGACAGCUCGUCAACCCACGCACCCUUUUUUGCUCCAAGCCUGGUUUUCAAAAGCCUCUUGAUGGUCUUGUUGGCUGCUUCUACUUGUCCAUUCGAUUGAGGGUGAGCAGGCGAGCAAUACUUCAGCUCUAUCCCGAGGUUCUGGCAGAAAUCCCUGAAGCUGUGAUUAUCGAACUGCCUGCCAUUAUCCGUUACCAAGGCAUACGGGAUCCCGUAUCGACAGACCAGGUUUCUCCACACGAAGUCUGUUGUUUUCUUCUCAGUGAUCCUGCUAAGGGCUUCUACCUCUAUCCACUUCGUGAAGUAAUCUAUAGCAACUAUUGCAUGUGUUGCUGCUCCUCGUCCCUUUGGCAAUGGGCCGAUCAGAUCAAUUCCCCAUUGAGCAAAUGGCCAAGGGGAGGCCAUGGAGGUGAGCUUCUCUGGUGGUUGGUUAGAGAAAUUUGCAAAACUUUGGCAGCUUACACAACUCCUGGUCUUCUCUUGCGCAUCCUGGUGCAUUGUCGGCCAGAAAUAUCCCUGCCUUAGAACCUUGUGGGCCAGGGACCUCCCGCCAGAAUGAUUUCCGCAAAUUCCUUCAUGUACUUCUCUCAGUACGUAAUCCGCGUCGUCCUCAUCCAAACACCGAAGGAAAGGUAGUGUAUAUCCUCGCCGAUACAGUACCCCAUCAAUCAUCGUGUAUCUCGAGGCCUGGGCUCUAAUCUUGCGAGCUCGCAGCUUAUUUGGUGGUAAUACCCCGUCUCUAAGGUAUGAAACUAUCGGGUCCCUCCACGAGCAUUUUUGUUCUAUCCGCAACACCCCCAAAUUCUGAUCGAUACUUGGGCUGGACUUCACCUCCAGAGGGACCGACUUUGGCAUUUUUGGGUCGGCUACUGCUGCCAUCCUCGCCAAAAUGUCUGCUCGAGUAUUCUGCUCCCUGGGGAUUUGUAUCACCUCCACUGCCUCGAACUUCCCCAUCAGCUGCCUGACUAUCUUCAGGUACUGCUCCAUCUUCUCCUCUCUUGGUUGGAAUCUUUCACUGACAUGAUUCGCAACCAGCUGGGAAUCAGUUCUGAUCUUAACUCUGUCUGCUUUCACGGCCUUAGCCAAUUCCAGACCUGCUAUCAAGGCUUCAUACUCUGCCUGGUUAUUUGUGGCUGCAAAUUCCAACUUUACAGCAUAAGAGAUCUCCUCCCCCUCUAGACCUUCCAAGACAAUCCCUGCUCCUGAACCCCGCUCCCCUGAUGACCAAUCCACAGACAUCUGCCAUACUUGAGUUUCGUCAUUGCCUAUAACUGCAUCUUGUUGAUCUAAGCAUACUUCGGGCUCUGUGAAUUCAGCUACGAAAUCGGCCAUUGCCUGGGCUUUUAUCGCUGCGCGGGGUUUAUAGUCUAUGUCGAACUCGCUCAGCUCUACAGCCCACUUGACGAGCCGACCAGAGGCAUCUGGCUUGUGAAGAGUUUGACGCAAUGGCUGGUUUGUUAUUACCGAGACCGGGAAUGCUUGAAAAUAUGGCCUCAACUUCCGAGCAGCAACCACAAGGGCAAGUGCCCAUUUCUCCAACGGUGGGUAUCUGGUCUCAGCGUCGAGCAGGGCCUUGCUGGUGUAGUAUAUCGGAUAUUGAACUCCUUCUUCCUCUCUCACCAGAACAGAACUGGCGGCCCGAUCCGAUACCGCCAAAUACAGAUACAACUUGUCCCCAUCCCUCGGUGUGGACAGCAGCGGAGCUUGCUGCAAGUAUUGCUUCAAGUUCCGGAAGGCUUCCUCGCAUUCUGGGGUCCAUUCUGUUUUCUUCCCCCUCCUUAUCACUUGAAAGAAUGGCUGACACUUAUCUGUAGCCUUGGAUAUGAAUCUGCUCAACGCCGCCAACCUCCCCGUGAGGCUAUGCAUCUCCUUCAGGUUACGAGGAGACGUCAUCUGCACAAUCGCCUGGAUUUUCUCGGGAUUUGCUUCAAUCCCCCUAUGGCUCACCAUGAAUCCAAGGAAUUUCCCUGACUCGACCCCGAAAGCACACUUCUCCGGGUUGAGCUUCAUCUUAUACUUCCUCAAAAGCUCGAAUGUCUCCUCGAGGUGUCCGACAUGUUCCUUUGGGAUUUUGGACUUGGUGAUCAUGUCAUCCACGUACACCUCCAUGGUUUUCCCAAUCAACGGCUUAAAGACUUUGUUCACCAGCCUUUGAUAGGUGGCCCCAGCAUUUUUGAGACCGAAUGGCAUUACCCUGUAACAGAACAAACCUUGGUUAGUGAUGAAAGCCGUGCUCUCCUCAUCCUGCUCGUACAUGGGGAUCUGGUUGUAUCCCGAGAACGCGUCCAUGAAGCUGAGCAGACCAUGUCCAGCCGUUGAAUCUACUAGUUGAUCGAUCUUUGGUAAAGGGAAGCUGUCUUUUGGGCACGCCUUAUUGAGGUCUGUGAAAUCCACACACAUCCUCCACUUGCCGUUUGCCUUCUUUACCAACACCACAUUCGAUAUCCACUCAGGGUAACUGACUUCCCGAAUAAACCCUGCUCUCAAGAGCUUCUCCACCUCGCCAUUUAUAGCCUCAUACCUCUCCUGGUUGAAGCACCUCCUCUUCUGCCUUACUGCCCGAGCACCUUUCUUUAUUGCCAGCUUAUGACAUGCUACCUCAGGGUCAAUCCCUGGCAUGUCUUCAUGUGUCCAAGCAAACACAUCAGCAUGAGCCUGUAAGCAUUUCACCAACUCCUGCUUUUGCUCUCCCUUAAGUCUCGACCCGAUUCUGAUCGUCUUUCCCGGGUUCUCUGGUCCCAGGCUUACUGUUUCCAGAUCCUCUACAGGUUCUUGUCUGCCAUUCUUGUUUUCCACUCGGGUAUCGAGGGAUGUUAUCUGCAUUGCUUCCCUUGCUGCCGAGGAGUAGCAGCUUCUUGCAAUCCUCUGGUCUCCUCGUACCACACCUACUACCUCAUUCACCCGGUACUUCAGAGCCAGAUAAUGGUUGGACAACACCGCUUUGCUCAUCCUUAAAAAUGGCCGACCUAGGAUCAUCUGGUAAGGACCUUCCUCAUCCACUACGACAAAGUCCAGUAUCAUUGUUCUUUCUGUCGGGGAGCUCCCAAUUGUGAUAGGCAGCUCGACCACGCCCAGAGGGACCAGCUUCCCUCCUCCGAACCCCUUCAAGGAGGUAUUGGUGUAUUCCAACUUCCGGUCGGCUAUUCCCAUCUCUUCCAGGGUUGACUUAAAUAACACAUCAACUGAGCUCCCUGUAUCAAUCAGUAUCCGGUCAAACUUCUUGCUAGCGACAGUAGCCUUGAUGACUAAAGCAUCCUCGUGGGGGUAUAGAAUCCCUUCCUCAUCCUCAUCCGUCCACAUGAUUGGCACUUGCCCGACCCUUGCUCGUUUGGCUGCUGGGGUGUUGAAGAGUACCUCUUUACUGGUCAUGGCGUAUCUAGCAUAAUUUUUUCUCGAUCUGUUGGAAUCUCCGGCCAAUGUUGGGCCCCCAGCUAUCACCCUUACUGCGGGUUGCUCGCGCCUCAAGUUUCUACCACUCUGCUCCCCUUCAUCUGUUGUGGCCACCAUCGGGAAAGUCCCAUCCAUAAACUCGUCCAGGUACCGAUUUCUCACAAAAUCUUCGACCUGGGUCUUGAGAUCUCUACACUCUGCUGUGGUAUGGCCAUGGGUGCCAUGGAACUUACAAUAACGUCCUCUAUCCCUCCUGUUGGGUAGCUUUGUUAUUGGUGUAGGGAGGUGCAGCAGCCCUCGAUCCUUUAUGGCCUCGUACACCUCAUCCAGGGACAUCUUCAAGGAAGUGUACCGCCCAUAGUCCUGGUUCUGGUCGAUCAGGUGCACUGCUCUUUCUCUGUUCUGCUCGUUCUGCUACUGUGGGAAUGUUGAUGAAGACCACCAGAUGCCGAAUCAUGCAUUCUCCAAGGCUCCCUAGCUGGGGAACGAGGAGGUUGCGCCCCGCUGCGCUGAUACUGCGGUGGCCUCUGAUGAGGCUGGUAAGCGGUUACCCGGCCUCCUGCUCCACUACCGGAGGCCUGGUGAUCCCUCCUCCUGAUCGGCCCAUUCCCCGGUAAUGCUUUCUUCUCUUUCCUCCCCAACCCUUCUAACUGGUCUGUCUUGAUCCGUGCAGCCUUCUCCUCUUCAAUCUCGAUGUCUCUCUUAGCCUGUUCGUAUGCGGCUGCAUACGUUUGAAUAGCUGGGCUUCUCAAAUUGUACCACAGCCUUCCUAUCUUCACCCAUUCUUUCAAUCCCCUUAACGCCUGAGGGUGGUUGAAGGCUCCCAAGUCGAGGACAGCCCGAUGAAACCUCUUGAUGAAUUCCCGAAGGGUUUCUUGCUCCCCCUGUUUCAUGCUUUUCAGCUCCAUCAUGUCGUCUUCCGGUGCCAUUGCCCCACUAAACUGCUCCGCGAAUUCCUGGCACAUCUGCUCGAAGGUUUUAAUGCUGCCCCGAGGAAGUUUCCUGUACCAUUCUCGUGCACGUCCCUCAAGGGAUAGUGGGAACACCCUGCACCUUUGGGAUUGAGAUAAUCCUUGUACCCCAGUUAUGUCGUUGAAGCGCUCUAUGUGCACCAGCGGAUCAGUUCUUCCCGAGUAUCUGAGGUCUGGGAGGCGGAAAUCUCUCGGAAUAACUGCCCUCAUGAUCUCUGCUGCGAGCGGUGAUUCUCCGUCCAGCAUUAUCCUCCAACCAGGGGCUCUGUUCCUUCCUUGCAUGUCGUCAAUUAUCUGCGCUAGUCUGCGCAAUUCCUCCUCCAGCAACCCUGCACGACCAGGGUCACGUGCUGCAACUUGAUCCCGCUCUUGCUCUACAUCAUGCAAGUGUUGCCUCAACUCUGUUUCCUCUGCAUUCACCUCCCCGUCGUCCUCGUCACAAGUCUGUCUUGCCGGGGACUGCUCUCUUUCUCUAUGAAAUUCUCCCCGUGGAGGUACGUUACCUCUCUCACCACCAAAUCUCCCUGUGGUUUGACUUCUCCCCGCACUAUCGGGACCUGGUGCCACUCCACCGCCUCUCACCCUUCCCUCUUGGGUUACCCUUCGCUCGCUCCGCAGCUCAUGCAGGAUGGUUGUCAAGGUCUCCAUCUGCUUUUCCAUCCGUUCCAUCCGGUCGAACAUGACUUUUUCCUGUGCUUCACUGACUAUCUCCCUCAGCGUCACGGAAUCGUUAAGCCUCCUAUCACCCCCUUGUGCACUACUUCCUCCUGUCUCCAUCGCUUUUCACUCGCCUCACCCCUCUUCUUGCUAUCAACAGAAGCUUUUUGCUUCGGUCUCCACAGACGGCGCCAAAAUGUUGAUGCGAGAUUCCGGUUCUCCUCGUUCUACGACCAGGAUCUCUGCUCGAUCAACUUCGUCACGACCAGGAGGUCUCCUCGCUAGGCUUCUUCUCCAGAGGUUCCUGCGUACACAGACAAGUCAGAGUACGCCGGUUGUUUUCCCGGCGCAAACCCUCCGACGCUCAAGUCAGAUAUGAAGGUUCGGGGAAUGCUUGCCACAGAUCUUAUGGCUUUUUUGUGGUUUUCUCUUCUUUUUUAUUUCUUUUCUAAUCUCAAAAAUGCCAACCCUUUUACCUCGUUGGCUACCUUUUUAUAGGCUUCGAAUCCCAGUUUUUCGCUUUUUUCGAGACGGUAUGGGACUCUGACUCCUGCGUUAUGGGCAAACGUGGGAUCUUGCGUGUUACGCCACGGUUCUGGGGAAAGCGUGUCUGUCGUGGUUCUGUGAGAUCUUGCGUGUUACGCCACGGUUCCGGGGAAAGCGUGGCUGUCGUGGUUCUGUGAGAUCUUGCGUGUUACGCCAUGGUUCUGGGGAAAGCGUGGCUGUCGUGCCUAGAUUCUCGGGCUGGAGAUCAUGUCUUGCCAACUGCCGUCGACCGGGUCUCCUCGCCUCUCGACCUCUAGCCGGAAUGAUCUUAUGCCUCUUACAGGAAAUUGGCCUCGCGGAUGACGUGCUCGUGGACGAGCAGGAUAUUUUUGCUCCUGUUCCCCCGCGCAUCAGGCUUUUACGGAACACACCGGCUCGCAGAACUCUGCCACCAGAUAUCUGCUCACCAUGCCUGGUCUCGUCGACGUAUUUCUCCCAAACAGUCUACAUGUUCAAAACAAGGAUCUGUUAAAAAAUGGAAAUUUCUUCAAUGCAUUAGUAAAGGGAAGUGAAGUGAAAGCUGAUUUCUUAGGCCUUCACAGAGUUAGGCCUUCACAGAGCAUCAUGUGUUUGAAUUCCGGUAACCUCACAAAAGAUUAGAGCAUCACCUUGACGGUUCUAGGUCUUGCAACUCAGUAACCCAACCAUUGUAUCUAAGCUGCACUGUGACAACAGGAACUCCAACUAGCUCAUAAAUAUUGUUGAAAAUUUUCAUUUCCCUCAACGAUGAUGGAAGCAAUCUUUUAAUUCCAGGGACAUCACAUGCGGCCAUUAAAUAAGAAGUUGAAUAAAGAAAAAUCGUUCAACUAAAUGAUUCAGGAGUUAAAAAAAAAUUGUAGAAGUAGAAAUAAAUAACGAAGAUUUAACCAUGAACCUGCAACAUAUGCAUCAGCUUGCACAACCUUCUUGUCAGUGGCCUGAAAUAGAAUGAGAAAUUGAAAGACAGUAAGCAUUAAAGAAUAAACUCAAAGAAGCUGCUUCUAACAGAUGAUAUAAACAAUAAAUUUACAAAUGUCAGUGUUAAGCAAAUAAAAGCACCAGGUCGGCCAUGAUACUAUUUCCACCCCGGCAUGAAUCACCUCAGCCAAAUGGUACGAGCAGAACAGGGGGUAACAUGAGCCGAUCCGAGACGAAUACUGACCAGAGCCAUAUACCGAGCCGGUACCCGUCCCCCAAAAAGUGGAAACACGAUCUCACAGAAUCACGGUAGUUGCGUUUUCCCAGAACCGUUGCGGGAGACGCGAGAUCCCAUGUUUGCCCAUAAUGCAGCAGUUAGAGUCCCAUGAGAGGCUACCACUACCCGAAAAAGGUGGGAUGAAGGGCAAACGGGAACGUGGGGACAGCGGCUAUAAAAGAAGAAGAAAUCGAUGAAGAAGGGGACAGAAAAAUGAAGAGAGGGAAAACGCUGCCAAAUUGCAAUUAGGCAUUUUUUACAAACUUCGAAACAAGUUAGAAACCAUUCUUGAAUCCAAAUUACAUUGUUUUCCCGUAAACACCUUGUGCUAACUUAGGCAUCGGAGGGUUUACGCCGGCAAAACCACCGGCGUCUCUGAUCCGUUUUUGGUGAACGCAGGUCUAGUAGGAGAGAGGAGGGUGAUUCCAACCCCAGUGGUUCGAGCAACAGUUAAUAACACGAACGUUGGUGGAGGAAUUUGGUCGGCCAAAAGGCGAGCAGAUUUAAGCAUCAACAUUUUGGCGCCGUCUGUGGGGAGCUGGAUAAAAAGCUACCACCGAAUUAGUAGUUACCGGAGAAACAGCGAACGAUUAGACAUGGAUUUGCCAAGGAAGGACGCUUUGAGGGAGGAUAACGAAUCGGGGGAGACAAUCACCCUUCGGGAAAUUGCAAAUGAAGCCCGAGAGAGGGUGAUGCAGGAUCGGUUGGAACGAAUGGAGAAGCAAAUGGAGACUCUCGCUACCAUACUGAAUGAGCUGAGAGAUGAGCGGAGAAGGGAUUGCGAAAUCCCCGUGGGGAGAGAUGAUAUUGGAGCAGAACUCAACCUCCGGAGGCGUAGAGUCGAGGAAAUCCCUCUGCCGGCGGACCAACCUUAUGGGGUGCAUCCCCACAGAAGCACUGGUCGGGUUCUUGGAGAACAAGUAGAUGAAGGGAGGAACCAACCUCGCCCCAGGCGAGUACCGGAAGCUGAUGACCGAGGGGCCAGUGCUGAUGAAGGAGAGUUAAGACAGCGGUUGCAGAAUGUCGAGCAGGAGCGAGAUCAGAUAGCUGCACAUGAUCCUGACCGUGCUGUAGAAUUGGAGGGAGAGGUGCGCAGAUUAGCGAAAGUGAUAGAGGAGAUACAGGGUAAGAGGAAGCCCCCAAGCUGGAGGAUAAUGCUAGAUGAAAAAUCUCCACUAUCAACUGAGAUCAUGGGUACCAUAAUCCCAAGAUAUUUUCGCUUCCCUGACCUCAAAUACCCCGGGCGAAGUGACCCGCUGGUGCACAUUGAGCGUUUCAACGACAUGACGGGUGUGCAGGGGCUGACACCAGCUCAGAGGUGCAGGGUGUUCCCGUUGACAUUAGAGGGACGAGCCCGAGAAUGGUACCGCAAGCUGCCCCGAGGAAGUAUAAAGGGGUAUGAGCAAAUGUGCCAGGAGUUGGCCGAGCAGUUCCGAGGGGCAGUGGCCCCAGAGGACGACAUGAUGGAACUGAUGGGGAUGAAACAGGAAGAGCAUGAAUCCCUUCGAGAUUUCGUAAAACGAUAUCACCGAGCCGUGCUGGAUCUGGGAGCUUUUAAUCACCCGCAGGCGUUGAGGGGAUUAAAAGAAGGUGUAAAAAUCGGCCGGCUGUGGUAUAACUUAAGAAGCCCCCUUGUACAGAAUUACUCGUCGGGGUAUGAGCAGGCGAGGCGAGAUAUAGAAAUCGAAGAGGAGAAAUCGGCAAGAAUAAAAAGUGAACAGCUGGACGAGCUGAGGCGAAAGGAACGGAGAGCCCCGACAGGGAGCGGGUCGGGAAAACGAGUUGGAGAAUCUUCAGUGAUGGGCGGAAUAUCGGCUCGGUCCCGCCCUUACCCCAUAGCUCCGAGGUCACAGCAGUUCCAGCACAACCGGGCUCAACCUCCGCGUCCCCCAUUUCCGGAUCGGCAACGAGAAUUCCGGCAGAUGGCUGCCCACCCCUAUCACAACACUCCCAGAGCAUCACAUGCAACCAAUUCCAGGGCUAGUCAACCAGAUCAGUUAGCGACUGUGCCAGCCCGAGGUGACAUUCAUGAUAGCCGAGCAGUUCAGCUGAUAGACCAGAGCUUGGCGUAUAGACAGUACACUCCAUUAAAGAUCUCCAUGGAGGAAUUGUAUGAGAGGAUCGAGGGACGAGGUCUGCUGUACCCUCCAGCCCCUAUAACAAAACCGGCUCACCGACGGGAAAAGAGCAAAUUCUGCAAAUUCCACGACACUCAUGGUCACACUAUCAGCCAAUGUCGUGACCUGAAAAUUCAGGUGGAGGAUUUGGUGAGAAACUGUUAUUUGGACGAAUAUGUAGAUGGAAUGUCCCCCGUCAUUGAAUCACAAUACACGCGGGAUGAAGGAGCUGAGAUGGGCCUGGAACGUGAACAGCCGACUAUCUGUGUAAUAGCAGGGGGGCCAACAUUGGCUGGGGAUUCGAACAGGGCACGGAAGAACUAUGGGAGAUAUGCCCUGACUAGCAAAGAAGUGCUUUUCAAUUUGCCGGCAACCAAGAAGGCAAAAGUGCGGCAAGUUCCCAUUAUGUGGACAGAUGACGAUGAGGAGGGUAUCUUAUAUCCGCAUAAGGAUGCAUUGGUGAUCAAGGCAAUGGUGGCCGGUACAGAAUUGCGAUGAAUACUAGUAGACACAGGCAGCUCGGUUGACAUCCUGUUUAAGUCGGCUCUAGAUGAUAUGGGGAUUGCAGACUUGAAAUUGGAGCGGACAAAUACAUCCUUAAAGGGAUUUGGAGGGGGACGGUUAACUCCCAUGGGGAUCAUCGAACUCCCAAUUACUAUGGGGACAAAGCCAUUUGAAAGAACAAUGAUGCUGGAUUUUGUCGUGGUAGAGGAAAGAAGCCCUUACCAGGUGAUACUAGGGAGACCAUUCAUGAGGAUAAGCCAAUGCGUUGUAUCCACGCAUUACUUGGCACUGAAAUACAGAGUAAAUGGGGUGGUUGGCGUAGUAAAAGGCGACCAGAGGAUGGCAAGGAGUUGUUAUGCUACAGCGGCCAAGGAGACACUGCAGGUUACUUCUCUAGAUAAUCGAGGAGAGUCUAAAAAGGGCCGCCAAGAGCCUGUUGAGAAACUGGAGGAAGUUGCGGUAAGCAAAAGCAACCCGAGCAGAGUAGUGAAGAUCGGGUCAGGAUUGGUUGGGGCAGUAAAAGGCGAGCUGAUAAAUUGCCUACAGUCUCAUGCGGAUAUAUUCGCCUGGUCUCAUGAAGAUAUGCCCGGAAUUGAUCGCGGGGUAGCUUGCCACAAGUUGGCAAUCAAGAAGGGGGCAAGGCCGGUGAGACAGAAGAGGAGAUGCUUCAACCAAGAAAGGUACGAGGCCAUAAACGCCGAGGUGGAGAAGCUGUUGAAAGCAGGAUUUAUAAGGGAAGCCAAGUACCCAGAAUGGAUUUCAAAUGUAGUCCUGGUAAAAAAGGCCAACGGGAAGUGGAGAAUGUGUGUGGACUUCACGGACCUCAAUAAGGCAUGCCCAAAGGACAGCUUUCCCCUACCCAAAAUAGAUCAGCUGGUGGACUCAACAGCAGGUCACAGUCUGCUGAGUUUCAUGGAUGCCUUUUCUGGAUACAACCAAAUACCCAUGGACGAGCAGGAUGAGGAAAGCACUGCCUUUAUAACUAACAUGGGUUUGUUUUGCUACAGGGUAAUGCCUUUCGGCCUAAAAAAUGCAGGAGCCACCUAUCAAAGGUUGGUAAACAAGAUCUUCCAACCGUUGAUUGGACACACUAUGGAGGUAUAUGUGGAUGAUAUGGUUACAAAGUCCAAAGAGCCGAGGGAUCAUGUGAAGCAUCUAGAAGAGACCUUUGAAUUACUGAGGAAGUAUGAGAUGAAACUAAACCCGGAGAAAUGUGCAUUUGGGGUCAGCUCGGGCAAGUUUAUGGGAUUCCUGGUAAGCCACCGAGGGAUUGAGGCCAACCCCGAAAAAAUACGAGCGGUUACAAAUAUGAGAUCUCCGCGGACAGUUAAAGAGGUGCAGAGCCUUAUAGGGAAGUUGGCAGCAUUGAACCGAUUCAUCUCGCGAACCACAGAUAAAUGCCACCAUUUCUUCCAAAUCAUAAAGAAAGGGAGAAAGAUGAAAUGGACAUCAGAGUGCGAGCAAGCAUUUGGGCAGCUAAAGGAAUAUCUGGCCCGUGCACCGUUACUGUCAACUCCGAGAGAGGGUGACCAGCUGCUUUUGUACUUGGCAAUCUCCAAGCAGGCUACCAGCUCGGUCUUAGUCAGGGAAGAAGAAUGGAAGCAACACCCGGUAUACUACAUGAGCAAGGCCCUGGUGGACGCAGAAACCAGAUAUCCACUAAUGGAGAAGUGGGCGCUGGCUCUGAUAACGGCAGCACGCAAACUCCGACCAUAUUUCCAAGCCCACCAGAUAGUUGUGAUGACUGACCAGCCCCUUCGGCAAGUGCUUCAAAAACCAGAUGCGUCUGGUCGGUUAGUAAAAUGGUCAGUGGAGCUGAGUGAAUUUGACCUGACCUACAGGCCCCGAGGAGCAAUCAAGGCCCAAGCCCUGGUAGAAUUUAUGGUAGACCGAGCUGAGCCAGGGGAAAGAGAUCGGGAGGAGCAACCGUUAGAGCAGGAGAAAACAGAAGGGGUGUGGUUAGUAAUGGUUGACGGAUCCUGUAGUGAGCAAGGAUCCGGAGCNNNNNNNNNNNNNNNNNNNNNNNNNNNNNNNNNNNNNNNNNNNNNNNNNNNNNNNNNNNNNNNNNNNNNNNNNNNNNNNNNNNNNNNNNNNNNNNNNNNNNNNNNNNNNNNNNNNNNNNNNNNNNNNNNNNNNNNNNNNNNNNNNNNNNNNNNNNNNNNNNNNNNNNNNNNNNNNNNNNNNNNNNNNNNNNNNNNNNNNNNNNNNNNNNNNNNNNNNNNNNNNNNNNNNNNNNNNNNNNNNNNNNNNNNNNNNNNNNNNNNNNNNNNNNNNNNNNNNNNNNNNNNNNNNNNNNNNNNNNNNNNNNNNNNNNNNNNNNNNNNNNNNNNNNNNNNNNNNNNNNNNNNNNNNNNNNNNNNNNNNNNNNNNNNNNNNNNNNNNNNNNNNNNNNNNNNNNNNNNNNNNNNNNNNNNNNNNNNNNNNNNNNNNNNNNNNNNNNNNNNNNNNNNNNNNNNNNNNNNNNNNNNNNNNNNNNNNNNNNNNNNNNNNNNNNNNNNNNNNNNNNNNNNNNNNNNNNNNNNNNNNNNNNNNNNNNNNNNNNNNNNNNNNNNNNNNNNNNNNNNNNNNNNNNNNNNNNNNNNNNNNNNNNNNNNNNNNNNNNNNNNNNNNNNNNNNNNNNNNNNNNNNNNNNNNNNNNNNNNNNNNNNNNNNNNNNNNNNNNNNNNNNNNNNNNNNNNNNNNNNNNNNNNNNNNNNNNNNNNNNNNNNNNNNNNNNNNNNNNNNNNNNNNNNNNNNNNNNNNNNNNNCCAAAGCUUCUCCGAAGUUCCUGUUCAAUCCUCAGAAAAGCUGACCACAAUGACAUCCCCAUGGCCUUUUGCCCAAUGGGGAAUCGACCUGAUUGGCCCAUUACCGAAAGGCUGAGGAGCGGCAACCCAUGCAAUUGUAGCAGUAGACUACUUCACCAAGUGGAUAGAGGUGGGGGGUCCUUAGGCAAAUCACGGAGAGAAAGACAACGGAUUUUAUCUGGAAGAACAUCAUCUGCCGAUAUGGGAUCCCCUAUGCCAUCAUUACAGACAAUGGGAGACAGUUUGACAACAGCAACUUCAGAGAGUUUUGCCGAAAUUUGGGGGUGGACCUGAAGUUCUGCACCCCCGCACACCCCCAGGCAAACGGACAAGUGGAAGCAGCCAACAAAGUGAUAAAGAAGCUCUUGAAAACCAGAUUGGGAGAGAAGAAGGGAGCUUGGGUUGACGAGUUACCAGGGGUAUUGUGGGCUUACCGGACAACUCACAGAACUGCUACAGGGGAAACCCCGUUCGCUUUAGCUUUUGGUCAUGAGGCAGUAGUCCCAGCAGAGAUUGGAGUGGGGACACAUCGAACGGAAUAUUUCGCUGAGGAACAAAAUGACGAGCAGAUCUGCCUAAGCCUGGACCUACUUGAGGAGAAAAGGGAAGGGACCUCACAGAAAGUGGCCCAGUGUCAGCAAAGGGUCACGCGUUAUUACAACAAGAAUGUACACGUGAGGUAGUUCCGAGCAGGAGAUUGGGUACUUAGGAAGGUGAAUCAAAACACUAGGGAUCCCAACCAUGGAGCUCUUGGCCCAAAAUGGGAAGGCCCGUAUAGAGUAAUACGAGCAACGGGACCAGGAGCUUAUAAGCUAGCAUACCCAGAUGGGCGAGACGUGAAGAGGUCGUGGAACGCCGAGCACUUAAAGAAGUAUUUCCAGUAAGCAAAAUACUCUACUAAAUCUUCAAUUUGAUAAGUUAUAUUUGUCAAAUGCAUGGUGGCUUGGUGCACAUGCAUAUAUUUUGUAUUUUUGUAACGCAUUCAAAUUUCAAUAAAGAUGAAUUCAGCAUGAAAUCCCCCGGCUAAUAAGCCCAUCAAAAAUUUACCAAGGCAAGUAAGUGCCUGCUUCUGCUCGGUCAACGAAAGACCAGCAGCUAAUUCUACAAAAAAUCUUACUAAGGCAAGUAAAUGCCUACUUCUGCUCGGUCAACGAAAGACCAGCAGCUAAAUUUAUGAAGAUUCUACUAAGGCAAGUAAGUGCCUACUUCUGCUCGGUCAACGAAAGACCAGCAGCUAAUUCUACAAAAAAUCUUACUAAGGCAAGUAAGUGCCUACUUCUGCUCGGUCAACGAAAGACUAGCAGCUAAAUUUACGAAGAUUCUACUAAGGCAAGUAAGUGCCUACUUCUGCUUGGUCAACGAAGGACCAGCAGCUAAUCCUACAAAAAUCCUACUAAGGCAAGUAAGUGCCUAGUUCGGCUCGGUCAACGAAAGACCAGCAGCUAAAUUUACGAAGAUUCUACUAAGGCAAGUAAGUGCCUACUUCUGCUUGGUCAACGAAGGACCAGCAGCUAAUCCUACGAAAAUCCUACUAAGGCAAGUAAGUGCCUAGUUCGGCUCGGUCAAGGAAGACUAGCAACCAGUUUUACGGAAAUUUUACUAAGGCAAGUAAAUGCCUACUCCUGCUCAGUCCACUAAGGAACCAGCAGGCAAAAUCAGAUAAGUUGUCCAAUUGUUUUUCAGAAACAAUCUAUGAGCAAAAACCGGACAAGAAAGCAAAUAAAGAGCAUCUAAAAAUUUAUAAAUGUUCAAUUGUUUACAAAACAAAUGCAAAUCUAGAGUUUAUACAAAAAUAGGCUCAAAGCUUAGCAGAGUCAACGGCUCCAGCAGCUGAAGGAUCAGCGAGCUCAGGAAGUAAGGGAUUAGCAACAUUAGGAGGUGGGAGAUCAGCAAUGCCGGGAGGAGGAGGCAUGGACCCUUGACCCACUUCGAAAGUGCGUCCCCCAACUUCCCCCUCUUGCACCCCAUCCAAAGGAGCCUCCACCUGAUCCUGCUCACCCUGCUCCUUGUCCGCCUGGCCGACCUCUGCCAUAUACCGCUGCACUCCAGCCUCUAACUUGCUCAUGUCCAGCUCGGGAUAUUCCCCCUGAAGCACAUACAUGAUACACUUAUAGGAGAAAGCAACCCCCGAGUCAUACUCGGCAUCCAACCGAUCGCCCACAUCAGCGGAUUUGCCUUUCUCCUCAGCCAGCUGCUCAUUCAGGGAUUUGAUUUCUCCCUCAAGGGCGGUCCUCAAAGUAUCUCUUUCACUUUGAGUUACCUGAAGGUCCGACUUCAGGCCACCCAACUCACCCUCAAACUUGGAGGCAGUAGACUCAGCAACUGCAACUUUCUCCUCCAGCUCCGUAAUCUGCUUGUUCAGCUCGGCUAGUUUCUCCCUGGAGCGGUCAGCAGAUUCAGCUUUCUUUUUCAACUCCUGAUUAUCAGCUUGAAGCUUCUUCUCAUGACGCGCGGACUUGGUCUUGUAGCACGAGACCAUUGUGGCCAGCCUGAAGGAGACUCUCUGAACAGAAGCAGCUAACUCAGAGAGGCUCAUGCUCUCGAUGUCCUUCACCAUCUUGGGCCCAACCGAUUUUUUAUAAUCCUUCUGAUAUGGGCUCAGGUAGUCACCUUGAUCCCGAGAUGGGAGAGGAGAAGAUCGGUCCCCAGACUGCAAGCUGACCUCAGGACUCUUGUCGGAGGUUUUCUCCCCACCACUCUUAUGAGGUGGAGGAGGGGGCAGAGCAGGAACAGGCGCCUUGGAAGGACCGACGCUGGGUUUCUUUGGAGGAGGAGGAAGGUUGCUGGAGCUACUCGGAGCCCGACCACGCUUCCUGCUCAUCGCGCUGAGGAUCUUGUUAUCCAUUCCAGCGGCUAUGUCCACUAGGCCCGAACCGACCAGGUUUGUUGGCGACAGGAGGUCUUGGCAGGUAGACGCGUUCAACAGAGCAGUUUCCACCUGAAGCAAAGGUCGAUCUUCAAGCCCCCCGAUCAAACCCCACGACUCUGAAAUAGCAAAAGAGGUUAAAGAACUCGAUAAGUGACAAUUUGAGAAAGAAUAUAGGCAAAAAAUGAACGACCUGGGGUGACAAACUGCGUUGGAAGGUAAAUAUCACCACCCAACGAACGGAGUGCUGAACACCACUUUCCCCCAGCAAAGAAGAAUUUGUUCUUCCAAUUUUUGCACGAGGAGGGGAAACCAGUGAUUGGCUUUCUCUUCGCAGAACUAGACAUGAAGUAGUACCAGCCCGCCUCCUUUGGGUUGCUCCGCAGCUGAUACAGAUGUUUCACUUCAACAAGGGAAGGCUCCUCCGACCCGCACCUCUCCCACAAUACAAACAUUACCGAGAGAACCCUCCACCCGUUCGGGUGUAGCUGACCUGGGGCCAGGUGCAUACCCCCCAAUAUUUUGGCAAAAUAACGCUGAAGGGGCAGCCGAGCUCCUAGUUUGAAACUCUCUAGGUGCAUUGUCACAUACCCCCGCGGAGGCGGACUAGGAACGUCACCCUUCCCAGGAACUACAAGGAGAACCUCCUCAGGAAUGUCGUAGAGGUUCCUAAGCUUGAAUAAGUCAGUUUGGGUGGUGGCACAAGCUAUGUAAUCAAUAGGGUAGGAAUCAGCCUCCACCCUAUGGCCAAGAUUCCUUUUCUUAGUAGGUCCGCUCGGUCCGGAACUGCUCCCCUCACCAUCGCCAACUCCUUCAGGGAUCCCAACCCCACCAGAGCUGUGGUUCUCACCAGAUCCCGACGCAGGUCCACCUCUAUUCCCUACAAGCUCUAGUUCGGGAGAGAAAGAGACAACCAAGGGGCGUGGGUACUCAAGGGUAUCCCUGCCAUGGGGAGGACCUACACUACUGGAGGGACCUAAGAAAUCGGUGGGUAUUGACAAGUUGAGGCCUAAAUCCCCUGAUUCUUCAUCACCCUCAUCAACAAUUAACUUUCUUUUCCGGUUUGACAUAUCGGAACCCCAAAAGAAAACAAAGAAAACUCGAAUAUACGGGUACAAAAGGGGGCAACACGGAACCCAAUCAACAACAACCAGAGAAGAGAUUAAAAGCAGUACCUGAAAUGAACUGGCCCUGAUAGCGCUGCCGUGACAGAGAAAAAACCAGCAAGUAGAAACUCCGGACACAGGAAGUGUGAGUAAAGUUCAGAAAGGGGGUAGGUUAACGACGGAGAGACGAGUAACAAAACGAUGACGAUGUAAGUCUAGGGAUUUGAAACGGAAAGGGGGAAAUGAAAGCAUUUAAGUGAUGGAGACGCCAGCUCACUCACCGUACAUCGAGGACAGAUAGUCCGUCGUUUCAAAUUUCAAAUACGAAGAAUCUGGAGAUGCCACGUCACCAACCGUUACAAGAGGCCAGGCUAGAUGCAAGCCCAGAUACGCAAUGAACAUGCUCAUUUAGGCCCACGCCCAGAUCAAAAUCUCCCCUGAAGAAAAAUGAUACCUCAGGUCCGUCCCGGUAGACAGAAGACCAGAGGAGAAACCCCCGGAUUGGUAAGAGCCGACUAUCAGUUUCUACUCUUGACUCAUUUCACUCACAAGACCAGAAACUGGGGGACUGGUGUUAAGCAAAUAAAAGCACCAGGUCGGCCAUGAUACUAUUUCCACCCCAGCAUGAAUCACCUCAGCCAAAUGGUACGAGCAGAACAGGGGGUAACAUGAGCCGAUCAGAGACGAAUACUGACCAGAGCCAUAUACCGAGCCGGUACCCGUCCCCCAAAAAGCGGAAACACGAUCUCACAGAAUCACGGUAGUUGCGCUUUCCCAGAACCGCUGCGGGAGACGCGAGAUCCCACAUUUGCCCAUAAUGCAGCAGUUAGAGUCCUAUGAGAGGCUACCACUACCCGAAAAAGGUGGGAUGAAGGGCAAACGGGAACGUGGGGACAGCGGCUAUAAAAGAAGAAGAAAUCGAUGAAGAAGGGGACAGAAAAAUGAAGAGAGGGAAAACGCUGCCAAAUUGCAAUUAGGCCUUUUUUACAAACUUCGAAACAAGUUAGAAACCAUUCUUGAAUCCAAAUUACAUUGUUUUCCCGUAAAUACCUUGUGCUAACUUAGGCAUCGGAGGGUUUACGCCGGCAAAACCACCGGCGUCUCUGAUCCGUUUUUGGUGAACGCAGGUCUAGUAGGAGAGAUGAGGGUGAUUCCAACCCCAGUGGUUCGAGCAACAGUUAAUAACACGAACGUUGGUGGAGGAAUCUGGUCGGCCAAAAGGCGAGCAGAUUUAAGCAUCAACAGUCAGAUCAUUGCAUUAGCUCUAUGCCUCCAUCAGAGGGAAUAUUAAUAGAUGCAUAAAAAAAUAAUUAGAACCAUGUGAGAAACAAUUACCUUAGACAUGGCAACUCCUUUGACAUAUGUUUCUCCAUUAGCAGAUUUAUCAUAAAGUAUCUCUCUGCAUCCCCACCUAAGAUGGAACCUGUUCUAGCAAAAACAGACCCCAAGGUUAGGAAAAUCAGUUCAUCAUAGGAGAAAACAAACAAGAUUAACAAAUCACUGCAAUGAUGUGAACCUGUAAAUAGAAAUUUACCUGCCCCCUUUAUCUGUGAUAUGUUUUCGUAUGGGCCCACUCAAAUAAACGUCUGGAGAACCCUUGAGCAUCCGCAAUAGGGAAGCCUCAGUCUUAGUCGCAAACAGUGCGAAUAUAGUGAGCAUACAACAAGCACUGAUGUUAUCACAGUCAAUAAACCCAAGGGCAUAAGCAACAGGAUCCCACAUUCUCUGAAUACUCGUCCGUGUCCCACCUUUGGACAAAAACCAAUCAGAGAAGCUUAUCUGUAAGAAGAAAUGAAGUUUUAGGUAAGAUAACAAUUUGUAGGAACAAGGAUUGAUAUUAAAACAAACUAGAAAAUAAGAUGUCAUUCUUACACUAUCAACGAGUGCCUUUACAACAGGACUCAGAGCAAGAGCAAGAGCAUUUCUUGCUUUAUCAUAAGUCUGCACUUGAGCAAUACAUGAGGCAAAGUACAUCAAAAGAGAAUCCAAAAGAAGCAAGAAGUUUCAACAUGAAAGAAGAAAUAUUGUCUCAUCAUACUGCUGACUAAUCAGAUUGCAAAAGAUUACAUCAACAUAAUCAAAAUGGAAGAUAAAUCCAUAUGCACUACCUUAAGCUAAUUUGUAGACAAAAAUGCAUGAAUCCCAUGUACGGGAGCUCCGACCGGAAACCGAAAAUCAAGUUCUGGAGUUAAAAAUCAAAAUCAUGAACUGAAUCAGAGAUAUUAUUGGACCAGAGAAUCCAUAAACCAAUUUCAGAGUGUCCAACCACCAAACAAACUAUCAGUAGUCUUAAGUGAUCAAGAAAUAACCAUACCACCAAUUUCACCACCCUUAUUCACAAGUGUACGAGUAUGAUCCUUCAUGAGUAAAUUUUUGUCCGCGCUGACCUGUAGACAUCCAUGAAAAACUAUCAGAAUAUAAACACAGGGUCAAUUUAAAGAGGAGCUAUGAUUAUGAUCCAUCGUGAUAUUUGAAGAACAUUUUCAUAUUUUCCUACAACAAGUAAACUAUAACCAGUUAUCAUCACUAUAGAUGGCAUGGUCAAGAGGAAUUAUAGUUCUUGUUUCAAGAAUCUCAAAUCAUAAUUCCUUUGCAUGGCUAGUGUGCUUUUUAUAAUCAUUCAAACACACAUAUCCACAACUAAGCAAGCUUUACCUUUUUCAUCAAUCGGAACAGAUUAUUGUAGCAUCCAAAGAAAAUGUGCAGGCCCAUUUCAAUAUGGUUUCCAUGUUUAUCAAUAAAAGAACCCACUUUACCACCAAUGAAAGACCUUGACUCAUAUAUAUCCACCUGGAAGAGGGGGGCGGGGCCAUCAAUAAAAUCAGUAAAACACAAACUAAUUCAAAAUGAAAUAAACUUUGUGAAUUGAAAUAAUGCCUGCCCUAAAGAAAAUGAUAACUGCUAUUCAUUUUUCUGAACUGCUGAUAAAAGCUUCUGUGUACUAAUUCAAAAUGAAAUAAACUUUACCUAAAAAAAAUGCAUGAUUAGAAUGAUUAAAGAUCAUUUGAUGAGGAGUUUCAUCAUUAACUGUGUCGAAACACAGCAGCAAUCCACAAUACACUUAACACGAGAGGGGCACACAAGCAUGCAUGAAUCUUCCACCAUUAAACCUGAAAUCAUAAAAUAAAAGAAACAAGAUGAGUGUUGUUUUACGGUCUGAAAGCCGAUUCCAAAUAAUAAUAAUAAUAGUAAUAGUAAUAGUAAUAGACCUUUGUUAAUAAUUUCUACUAGUUGUCUCUGCCUUUUGCAUCUUCCUCCUUUGUAUCAUCGUCCUCUUCCAAUCACACGGCUAGACCAGUAUGUCUCGAGAAUCUCUACUGCCUUCUCAGAGAUGCCGUUGUCGUCAUGACUUCGUAGAUUUUCAAUCUUUUCUAAUCCCUCAGCCUCCUCAACCAACUGGGCAUAUUGAUUAAAAUCUCCAACGGUACCCGUAUUCAUUUCAGCUACCCCGACCUUCAAAAUGUUCUCUAAUCCUUCUACGCAAACAGUGGCGAUCUUUGGAUCAGCGCAUAGAAGCAGAUCACACAAUGGUUUUAUACACCCCUCUCUCACGAGGUACUUGAUUUGCUCAUGAGUGCCACCUGAGAUGGCAUUUGAAAUUACCCAAGCGGCCUUCUCCUUUGUAUCAAAUUCAGCAUUUUGAAGUAGAUUGACAGUGGGACCAAUUAAGCCGGAAUCAAUUACCGCCUGAAUCUGCUCCCCGUUUCCAGCUGUAAUAUUUGAAAUAAUCCAGCUGACUUCCUUCUUGAUGCUCUCUUCAUGCUUAUGGACCAACAUGUCCAAAAGGUAUGGCAGUGCACCACAGUUAAUUAUACACUGAGUCUGGAAAUCGUUCCCCAUCACAAUAUUUCCAACAGUCCGCAGGGCAGGGGUAAGCACUGAGGAUGAUGGAUGACCAAGGAGCUCAACAAGUCGUCGACAGACACCUGCCUCGAUCACAGCUUGAAUUUUGUCAUUCGUACCAUCAGAAAGAUAGGAGAGUGUCCAACAGGCGUCACUCAACACCUCUUCAUCAUCUAAAUGAAUAAGCUGUGCAAGUGCCGGAAGAGCUGGCCUUACCUGAUCAAAUGGUGGUUCUGGCUUGCCCUUGCAUAAAUUAGACAAUGUCCUUGCGGCAAUUCUCAGCAUUGAAAGCUUAGCAUGCUCAUUUAACUCUGCCAGCAAUGGAAUCAAAGCUCCUUCACCAAGCACUAGAUCACGGCAUCCAGAUGAGUCACCAGCAACAUUUCCCAAUGCCCAAACAGCCUGCUCGCGGACAUCAUCACUUGGGGAAGCAAGCAGCUUCACAAAUAUUGGAACGGCACCGUGGUCAAUCACCACCUUAAUGUUCUCUGAAGUUCCAGAAGCAAUGUUUGAAAGAGCCCAAGCAGCCUCAUACUGAAGUUGCGGAUAGUCUUCCCUCAUAAGAAACUCAACAAAGCGCGGGACAACGCCAGAUUGUAUGACUUUAUCAAUUUGUGGACUCCUCUCAAUCGAAAGCAGUUUGCUGAACUGAGUAGUUGCUUCCAGCUGCAAGCCGCUGUCAUCUGACCAAACCCCAGCAACCAUCCCGGGUAAACUCGCAUACUUAUUUUAGGAGCAGGAGCAAGAGGAGGAAAUUAAGUUAGGGAUUUGGAGUGAGAGUGAAAGUGGAGAAAAAGCAAGAGAGGGAAAAAGCUAAUUGUUGAGAAAUAUAUACCUUUCGUAUGGUUGUGUUAAGGUCGUCCUUCCAAUCCCAACAUGCUUCACCCCGCCGCUGCACUUUGUGUAAUUUGGGUGUACUUAAUUUUCCUUCAGAGAAAAUUUUCAUAUUGGGGCAAUUAUCCACCACUAAUCUUUCCAAAAAUGGGAACUUGAAAGCACAAUUGCCAGAGCAGAAGCUUGUCAGGUAUUUUAAGUCUAAAAGCUUCAACUCCUUCAAUUCUCUGAAAGUAAUAACCUCAUCUUGUGCUACAACAUCAUCCACCAGUACUAUUUCUGUUAUCUCAUCGCAUGAUUCUAUCUCCAUAUAUCUAAGUCGCACCAGAGUCUUUGCAAUUGAGGGUGUUAAUACGAUUUUCAAGCCUUCGCAACAAUACGAUUUUCAAGCCUUCGCAACACGAUACCACCAGAUUUGCAAGAUUCUGAAAGGAUGUCGAGGAUGGCACUAGAUUGACCAAACGGUCACACCCCAUUACGCGUAGAAAAACCAAGUUGUUCGUAACAGAAGACUCCUCUAUCAAAAUGUUCUCCAGAUCAUAACAAUUAUAUGCUUCGCUUAUUUCUACCCUCAUCCCAUUUUCAACCUUCUCUUCCGGCAACCAAGCACCAUGUCCUCCUAUUUGGAGGACUUUCAUUGUGUGAAGUCUCUGGAGGAAGUCACCAAGUGAUAAAAUAGUCCGCUCAUCACCUAACUCCACAGAAAGAUAUUUUAGUUUGCAAAGCAAGCCUUCAGAAAAUAGAUACUUAUUUGUUACUACGUGCUUUGCAUCAACUUCCAACUUUUCCAAAUUAGGGAAUACCUGGGAGAUCAAUCAGAACCCCAAAAAAAAAAAAAAGAAAUACAAGAUGAAUCAAUUGAUGAGAAAUAUAAGUUACCACUAAUUUAUAAAAUAUAUUUUAUUCAAUAAAUCUUAACCUUUAAAAAAAAUAGUAAUAAUAGUACGCCUAACAUCUAGAAUAAUUAUGAAUGAAUACCAUACACUAAUCUGUAAGAGAGUUACGUAGCUGACAAUUUGACUUUUAGUAAGAAACCAAGCAAUGAAGGCAAAGGCAAUAUAACUCUAAGCUAUAUGAUAUAAACUUUCACAGUACAUACAUAAGAAUUGAAAAUUUGAUUAUAAAAUUCUUGUACGUACCCUUUCCGUCAAGAUAUUAGUAGUUCUUUUGUAUCUCGCCAUGAAUUCAGGACAUGCAGAUAUCCAUAAUCCUUUCAAGGAUGGAAAUUCAAGAAUAUCAAGAUCUCCAGUGCAGAAGCUUGUGAACUUUUCAAGACCAGACAUCUUCAGAUAUUGCAACUGGGGAAACGUUACAAUAUUAUUCGUCAUUUCUUCUUGGUUGUCCACGACUAUUAACUCUUCCAAGACGGGACAUCUGACUAUCUCAAUGCUUUGGAGUCGAACAAAGCUACUAACAGUAGAAGAUGAAAAUAUACAUCUUAAAUUCAUACAUCCGUGCAGGAUCAAGUGUGUUAAAUUCUUAAUACCACAAGACAUGGCUGUAACUUGGUUUUGCCAAAUCCUUCCAACGUUUAUUGAAUACAACUCCAAGUUCUCCAAAUUUGGUAAUGCAACCUGUUCGAUCAAAAAGUUAACUUGUUAAUUACAAGCAACAAUGAUUUCUGUUGAUGGACAAAUCAAUAAAAUUACUCUUUCUCUGGUUAUAGUUCUUUUCAGUUUUUCAUACAAACAACCGUUAAUCAAGUUUUCCAAAUUAUUCCUUACAAAAUGUAUAGAUUUAGAGGGCGGAUAAUAUAAUUCAUAUUGCAAAAAUUCUUUGAUUGUAACGAAUUUUGUAAAAUUAAAUUUUGGUUGAUUCGCAAUAGGACCUACUAUCCAGCGCGAGCAGUUCUCGGGGAUUUAACUACUGGCACCUCGAUUAUAUAAAAAUUUGGAAUAUUUUCAAAGGAAAUCACAUAAUUCCCCCUUGCAAAUAGUAAUUAUCAUCAAUUGCCGCGGGUUCACAUAUAAUUCUAAGAAAUUAGGCGAGAAGAGUCUCAUCAACAAUCAAUCAGCAGAUAUCACGUUUGGCAGAUCAUCAUGAUUUCCUCAGAUGCUAGAGAAUCAACGUGAUUUCCGCUCAUGCAGGAGUGGACACAUUAUCUUAGAGCAUCCCUCACUGAGAUCUUUUAAAAAAUUUAUAUUAUAAAGUGAACAACAUAUUUAGUAUAGAUUUAGACGGCGGCUAAUAUAAUUUAUAUGUAUUCUAAUGACGUAUAUUAAAGAAAAUGACUAACCAUAAUUUCAAUCAACUUAUAUAUAUAUAUAUAUAAUAUUCAGUGAUUACAACAUAUUUAGUAUUUUGUAACAUGAUGUUUAUAAUAAUAAUUAUUAUUAAUUCACUUAUUGUGUCGAGUACCUUUUCUUUCUCUAAGAAUGUAUUUGUUACACCCUACUAUACUUCGGAUGAAAAAUUUAGAAUAAUUGUGAAAUAUGAUUAUUAAUCACUCUUUGCCAUAUUUGCUACCAAACAAGAAUGCAACAAAGAAAAAAAAAACAAAAAUUAUAGAGAAUUAAUAAGACCAUUGACUUAUCAAUAAUUGACCUUGUCAGCGAAAAGUGUAUUAGAAAUUUGGACAUUGUCCUCCAAAAUGAUUUCAUGUGACCGCAAAUCAUUAGCUGAUUCCUCCUGUCUCUGCUAACAUUGCAGGUGUAUUGAUUUUAGAGUGUAAGCUUAAUUGUGAGCACAACCUUAAUGCAUAGAUACAAGAUCUUUAAAAAUUAGUACAAUAAACUUAGCACUAAAUCUAAAUUUGAUAUUUUGGAUUCUAUGAUUAAGAUUUUUUUUAAAUGAAAAUUUAAUAGAGUUAAUUUAAAAAUAAAAAUUAAAUAUGAAAAAUUAGACUUGCAAUUAUGGAUUUAAUUUUGAUAAAUAAUGAAUGUUCUCUUAAUAUUUUUUUUAAAAGGUAAAAGAGCGUACAAAGCCCAAAUUCAUUUUUUUAGUCCCUUACUCUCCCAUGAUUCAAACUUGGGUGGUUGUAGGACUGAAAAUAUAUAAGACAGUUAACUUUACUUUUUUUUUCUUUUUUGUUUAGAGAAAAGAGAAGAAGGAUAUUACAAAGCAUGAAGCUCGUGCAAUAUAAGGGCAAUUAUGGUUUUUUCUUUAAAUUAAAAUGGUAAGAUUCUGAAGCUAAAAGAUUAAAAUAUUAAUUAAAUUACAAACAUUAAAGAUUUUUUUUUUUCAAAUGGUUGCUUUGAAAAUGAGAAUAAUAUAAUAUUUGAAGACUUUUCAAAAUUAAUUACUGUGAUGCACUAGAAAUUUCUAGCUUUAGUCUAAUGUAUAAAUUGACAAAACGAUAUUAGAAUCCCAGGAGAAAAGAACCCUCUCAUACCAAUUAUUUAAAUUAGGAAUGAUCAUACCUUUGACUCUGCCGGAUUGAGGGCGAGGUCUGAACCCUCCAGACGGAGACGCUUGAGAUGGGAAGAGCCCACUUUGACUAAUUCAUUACGAAAAUAAUCGACAUCUUGCUCUUGCAAUUCACUUAACUCAAGGUCUUCAAUUCUCUGCAGUUGCACGAUCAGCGAAUCCUUCAAGCAAAUCUUGUUAUUUAGCUCGACUCUGAAUUGACGACACCAAAUGCCGGUUUUCCUCGAAAAAUAACGUCGAAUAUAUAUGCUGUACCUUUCCAGCUUCUCCAAGAGCAGGCCUCUGGGCAGACUGCUGACGUCACGGACGUGUACUUCCAAAGAGGUCAAGUUGGGCAAAUGCUUCAAUUCCUCAAGGCUUGCAUUCUUAACCCCUUCCACCUCCUCCUCCCAAUCAACAAAGCUUUCACGACCUAUAUAUAGUUCUUCUAAAUGUGAUAAUUUUGACAGUAUAUUUGGUGGAAUAACUUUCAGAAAACAACAAUCCCUCAAAUCAAGCAACUUUAGCCAAGUCAAUUCACCUACUUCUACUGGCAACUUCACAAUAUCAGAACCUCUUAAGCAAAGGAUUUCUAGUUUCUUCAAGUAUCCUACAAAACUUAUAUCAGGCAAGCCGCAGCUACACAAACUCAGUGUUCGAAGGUUUGACAGGAGACCAAGUGAUGAAGGCAGUAUCAUGUCAGUCAAGUUUACAACUCUGACCUCGAUCAUGCUCUUGAAAAAGUUGUCUGGAAUUGUUACUGGUGAAGUUUCCCAAGGAUCAUCACGACCACCACCACGUAUAAAAAGAAGUUCGAGUUGAGGACAUUCCAGUACUUCAGGAAGCAAAUUAGGCUUAAUACCAUGUAAGACGAUUGAAGUGAAAUGCUUUAUUGUACUUCCGUCUGACCAUUCCCUGCAACCAUCAACCUGCUCAUUUGUAGCAGUAAACACAUUUCGUUUAGUAGAUGCAAUUGAUAUGGCGACAUGGCGAACUACAUCAUGCAUAGAAAACAACUCUUCCUUCUCGCUUUCAUGGUCAAGCAACAUACAAGAAGCUUUGAGUGUGCGCACCAAUGCAUGUACUCGAUUUCGUGCUGCUUCCAUCUUAUUCACACCUUGAAAUAAACCCAAUCCCAUACCACACAUUAACAAGUCAUCAAUAGAUGCUAUGGCUGUAUAUCCUAUUAGCAAAAAGAUGUUCUUGAGAUCAUCCCUUCCUAGUUUAUUGUAGCUCAACUCGAUAGCUUUAUAUGCAGCUGGCUGUACAUCCUUAAAAUGGAACACAAGUGACCACAACAAGAUGGAACAAAAUAAAAAGGAAAAAAAUACAAAGAGUGGAUGGAGAAUAAAACAGAGACAGCGGCACAGCUGGACACAACUAGAUAGAGAACAGAGCAAAACCAAAUAACAAGACUUAAGAUUACAACAAACUGUGAAGAUAGCUCAUUAUGGAGAAAGAAGCAAUGGAAAGCAGAAGAAGGAAAAGCUUAAGUUGAAGCAGGAUACAGAGUAUAGUAGCAGCUCAGUUGCCAGCUCAGCAUAGUUAGUUUCAGUUCGUUAGAAGUGCAAAAUGUAUUGUGAUGAGUAUUAGCUAAUAACUUCCUUAAUUAGUUACAUUGAUUGUGAUUAACUAGAUGUUAGUAUAAAUACUCACGAAUUGUAUUACUCUGUAAUUAAGGAAAAUAACAAACUCUGCUCAAGAGUAUUUCAGAAUCCUUCGUUUAAUAUUUUCUCUAGAAACAAACAACUCUCUUUUAUAAUUCUUUUAUGGUAUCAGAGCCACUCAUGGCUAGUUCAAGCAAUACAAUCUUCAAUCCAAAUCAUAUUACUUCAAAUCAAUCAACUCAGAUAUCAUUUUCCUUUAGUUCUCCAGUCAAGCUAGAUAGAUCGAAUUUUAUGCUAUGGCGCAAGCAAGUUCUUACUUCGAUUAGAGGAAAUCGACUUGAGCAUCUAAUUUCUGAUAAUCAAGUGACACCAGAUCGUUACAUUACUCACACGGAAGUUGAUGGAUCUAUACAGAAAGUAGAAAAUCCAGCUUUUGUUCAUUGGAGAGCACAGGAUCAAACUCUUCUUGGCUGGAUCUUAUCCUCAAUUAGCGAAGGUAUUCUCAGCUCAAUUCUUAACUGUGAUAGUGCAUUUGAAGCUUGGAAAUGCAUUGAAAAACAAUUUGGAGUUCAAUCUGAAGCUAAGCUCAUGCAACUUCGUUAUGAACUAAAUAUUCUUAGGAAAGAAAAUAUGACUGUUGAGGAAUACUGCUUGAAGGUUAAAGCACUUGCUGAUAAACUCGCAUGUUCUGGAAGUCCUAUUUCUGAAAAAGAUCUACUGAUACAAAUCUUGAAUGGAUUAGGUCCAGGAUACUUAGAUCUUGCAUCAAUAAUUACUGCUAAUAAAAUGUCAUAUGAUGAUGCAUAUGCACUGCUAUUAACGCAUGAAGCUAGAAUGGAACAAAGUCAAAAUGCUAAGAGUGUGUUUAAUGCCAAUUAUGGCAUGAUGAAUGGGAAUUAUCCUCAAACUAAGGGCUAUAAUAGAAGAGGAGGUUAUAAUGGAUAUCAGGGACACUUCAAUGCUGGAAAUAGAAAUUUUGGUGCAGGAAGGGGAAUAAUGUUUACAAAUUCAAGAGGAUUUGUCAAUGGUGGUCAUGGUCCUGGUGCUUAUAAUUCUGGUAGGGGACAACUAAUGCACAUGCAGGCAUAUAGACCAACCACUUAUAAUAGAAACAUCUCUAAUGCUAACCUUGGUGCUGAAAAUGGAUCUGGAGAUAAUGUAUUAAUAUGUCAAAUUUGUCAUAAGUCUGGGCACACUGCAGAUGCUUGUUGGUAUAGGUUUGAGAAUUAUGUGCCUCCACCCAGAAACUUUGGAAGAGGGAGAGGUCAAAGGUCAGCAUAUAUGGCAAAUUUUGAAUCAUGUCCAAGUGCUGCUGGAUAUCCAAGUGCUGCUGGACCUUUUGAAACACAAUAUUAUCCAGACUACUCUAGUCAUCAGAUGUCUGAUUUGAAUUCAAUGAAUCACUCACUGGACUCUUUCUCUGCUCCUGGAGCUGCCUAUGUUGCUAACUAUGAAAGACCAGCUGAUGAGGGUUGGUAUUUAGACAGUGGAGCCACACAUCAUUUGACAAACAACAUGGCAAAUAUGCACAUCAGGGAGCAAUUCAGUGGAUCAGAUCAACUCAUUAUUGGCAAUGGACAAGGUCUGAAUAUAACUCAUAUUGGUGAUGCUUUUCUCAAUUUCAAAAGUUCAAAUGACAAACACAAACACACACCCAUAGCACUAAAAGACAUAUUGCUUGUUCCUUCAAUUACUAAGAACCUUUUGAGCAUUUCUAAACUUACUGCUGAUAAUAACCUGUCUGUUGAAUUUCUUGGAAAUAUCUGUGUUGUGAAGGAUACUCUGAAGGGGCAAAUACUGAUGCAGGGCCUUGCUGAGAGAGGAUUAUACAGGCUGUUAAUAAAUUCAUCUUCUUCAAAUACUCAGUCAUCUUCUUCUUUUCAUUCCCAUAUGUCUUCUAAUAAACCACUUUCAAUGUUGUCCUUUUAUCAUUCUGAUUCUGCUGGUCACACUGAUGUCGUUAGUGGAACUGCAAAUUUGAAAACUUGUUAUCAGACUGCUGUAUUACAUUAUACUAAAUCAAUCAAUAAAGCUUUACUUUUUCAUAGAAGAUUUGGUCAUCCUAGUGUUCAAGUGCUAUUACAUAUGCUCAAAAUUAACAAGUACAUUUCCAUUCCUACAUAUCAAAUUCAUCAAAUGCAUCAAACAACAUGUGAAGCAUGUCAAAAGGGCAAAGUUCAUAGGCUUCAUUUUCCCUGCACAGACACUAAAACUACCCAAGUUCUUGAGCUCAUACACACAGACUUAUGGGGACCCUCACCCACUCUAUCUAGGGAUGGAUAUCGAUAUUAUAUAAGCUUUGUUGAUGACUUCAGCAGAUAUACCUGGAUAUACCUUUUAAAAGUUAAGUCAGAUGCAUUAGAAGUUUUCAAACUCUUCAAGUUGCAAGUGGAAAAUCAGUUUACCACCACCAUUAAAACUCUGCAAUCUGACUGGGGAGGGGAGUAUAGAUCUUUUACAGAAUUUCUAAACCAAUCUGGUAUUAUCUUUAGGCAUUCAUGUCCUUAUACACAUCAUCAAAAUGGAUUGGUUGAGAGGAAACAUAGGCAUAUUGUAGAAUCAGGAUUAACUCUGCUGGCUCAAGCUCAUUUACCUUUUCAAUUCUGGUGGGAUGCCUUCCAUACAGCAGUUUACCUUAUCAACAGAUUGCCAUCACCUGUUCUGAAAUUUUCAAACCCAUAUGAAAAGAUUUUCAAGCAUAAGCCUAAUUAUGAUAUGCUCAGAUGCUUUGGCUGCACAUGUUACCCUUAUUUAAGAGAUUACAACAAACAUAAAUUUGCCUAUCACUCUAGCAAAUGUGUAUUCAUUGGGUAUAGUCCAUCACAUAAGGGUUAUAAGUGCUUACAUGCUUCAGGAAAAAUUUAUAUUGCCAGACAUGUUGUCUUUGAUGAGUUCACUUUUCCAUAUACCACAGACUCUUCUUUUCUUAAACAUUCAGCCUCUGAUUCUCAGUCUUCAUAUUCUAUUACUCCUCAACAAGUUCAUCAUCUUUCUACUUCACCUAUCCUACCAAUAUUUCUCAAUGACAACACUAAUAAUGCAAUCUCAGUGAGUUCAGAAAGCAUUGGUACAAGCACUUCAGUUCAUCCUACACAGCAAGAAGUUAAUCUAGAAUCACAGCAAGGUACGAUCAGUAACUCUUCACCUGUUCUUAUGUGUCCAUCCUCAGUUUAUGAACCUGUACCUAAUUCAUCACUUCCCCAUACUCACAACUCCCCUCAACAACAGUUCAAUAAUCCCAUUACACAUUCUCAUACACCUCAGAAUACACACCAAAUGAUAACUAGGGGAAAAGCUGGUAUCUUCAAACCCAAAGUGUAUAUUGCUGAUCUUGUUCACAAAGAACCAGACACUAUACAUGAAGCAUUAAAUGACUCAAAAUGGCUACAAGCCAUGAAGGAGGAGUUUGAUGCUUUAAUAAAAAAUGAUACAUGGACAUUGGUUCCAAGAGCAGCUAAUCAGCAAGUUGUUGAGAAUAAAUGGAUUUACAUAAUUAAGUACAAUACUGAUGGAAGUGUGGCUAAAUACAAGGCACGGCUAGUUGCUAAAGGAUUCCAACAAAUAGCAGGUGUAAACUAAUUUGAAACCUUCAGUCCUGUUAUUAAACCAGCAACUGUCAAAGUGGUAUUUGUUGAGUGUUAGAAAAUGUAUAUUUAUAAAGGAGAAAACCGUCAUUUUACAUUUCAAGUCUUACUAACAACCCUUACUUUUAUGUAUUUAACCUCCUUGUGAUUUAAUUACAUGUGUUUUAUUUUAAUUAAGUAUUUUAUGUAUUUUAGGGGCAUUAUAGUCAUUUCACAAUAAAGGAGAGAUCAGACGGCAAAACGGACAUCACUUUUGAACUCAGGACGAUCGAAAACCUUAGGAGGAGCAUAAAAGGAAAAAUGGCACUAUUCACAUGUACGGUACUAUUCACGUGUACGGUACUGUAUACGUUACUGUUCACGACACUGUUCACAUAGACGGACGAUGACGUGGCAUUGACCGAUGAUGUGGCAUUGACUGAUGAGGUGUCACGAUCCUGUUGGGCUAAAAUUCUUAUGUACUGUUGAUGCUGACGUGGCAGCAUAUCAGUGGAUGAAAAAUCUCGCGUACGGUACAUACAUCACACAGGAUUAUUUUCAAUCAAACCGCAUUACUGUUCAUCCGGGUCAAACCGUGUUACUGUUCAUCCGCGUGGUCAAACCGUGGACUGUUGACUGAUGACGUGGCGCAAUCCUGAGCGUUCAAACUGUUUUUAAUCCGAUGGCCAUGAUUUACUCCAUGUAUCUAUAAAAAGGGGGCCUCUCCCCCCUAAUUUGAUAUCUCUGAAUCCAUUUUUGGGAUCCAUUUUCUGUAAUUCCCUCUCCAUCUUGUAUUUUCUUCGUAUUUUAAUAAAUUCCCAUUUUGCCCCUAGUUCAAUUAUGAGUAGCUAAUUUCCUUUCAAGCUUGGGUUGAAGGUGAAGUCUCAACAUAUGCCAUGGGCUUAAUUUGGUAAAUUUAUUUUCUCUUCCCCUCUAGUUUUUGUGGAUGUUUUGACUUCUCGUCGACAAAUAAUACUAAUCUUAUCUAGUACCGCCUUGGUUUCACCGGCCCUCUAGUACAAGGUUAUUAUUAUUUGGCACGAUAAGCCCUUAGCACCAUAUUGAUUAGAGUGUGGUUCAUGAGGUGUGGAUUUCCCCCUCAUGAUUUAAUUGGUAUUAAUAAGGAAUAUUUAGCCCAUGGUGCAUGUUGAUACGGAUCCGGAUACCCAAGUGCUUCAUUUCAAUAGAUCUAUCUUCAAUUUAUUCUCGCCAUUACAAUUCCAAUUUUAGAAUUUAUUCUCGCCAUUUUAAUUUAAGUUUUAGCAUAUUCCAAAUCAUUUCCACCACAAAUCCAAUCCCCGAUUUACAAAAUUAAUUCUAUACACAAUUAAAAUCCACCUCCUCGUGGGAUCGACACUCGUCACCAUUAGUCUAUACUACAAUAGAUUUGUGCGCUUGCGAGUACAUUAAAAUUUGCACAACAAGUUUUUGGCGCCGUUGCCGGGGAGGUAAGUAAUUUUAAUUCAUAAAAUUAAUUUUUGUGAAUAAUUUCUUUUAUUUGUUUUCUUGUAUUUUUUAUUAAAAAAAAAAGUAAAUCUACAUUUAAAGGUUAGUAUUUCUUUUCUUUUUCUCUUCUUUAAAAUUCUGUAAUUUAAUUUUCAAUUUAUUUUUUCUUUGUAAUUUUUGUUUAUUUUAUUAAUUUAAUUUUUAGUUAAUUUAUUUCACGUAUUUGUUUUUGUGUAUUUUUAUAGAAAGGUUGUAAUAGCGCAAUAAGGUUAGUAUCGUAAUUUCUCCCUCUUCUUUAUUUUUAUUUGUUUUGUUCCCAUCUUUAUUUUUAUUUUAUUUGUUUUGCAUGCAUGGUCGUAGGUCAUUAUUACCUAAUCUUAAACCUAUAGACCUUGAAUUAGAAAAAACACUUCGCACACAAAAGCACAUUAAUAAAUUUGGAAUGGAUUUACAAGCACCACAGGAGAGGUCAUUCAAGGACUAUUUUAGUCCUUUAGCUAAUUUGAGCACAUCAUGUAUAAGAUACCCAAAUGUAGCUACUAGGAGUUUUGAAUUAAAACCUAGUGUGCUAAAUUGUCUCCCCACAUUUUAUGGCCUAGAAAAUGAGGACCCAUAUAAUCAUCUGAAUGAUUUUCAUGCCAUUUGUCAAACUUUUAAAUAUGAAAAUUUUUCAGACGAUGAUGUUAAACUUAGAUUAUUCCCAUUUUCUUUAAAGGAUAGAGCUCGUUCAUGGUUAAAUACUUUGCCUGCUAAUAGCAUUGCAUCAUGGGAACAAAUGGUAACUAAAUUUUUGAAUAAAUAUUUCCCAGUGCAUAAAACCAAUGCUAUUCGCAGGGAAAUCUCAGAGUUUACUCAGAGAGAGGACGAGCAGUUUUUCGAGACAUGGGAGCGAUUCAAUGGGCUACUCUUGAAGUGUCCACAUCAUGGGUACGAGAAAUGGCAUCAAUGCCAAUACUUUUUGGAGGGAUUAUUGCCGAAUGUGCAAGAAUGGCUAAUGGCAACAAGUGGAGGAGAGCUAAUAUCAAAAAGUGCAUCAGAGAUUUGGGAAUUCUUCCAGCGACAAGCGGAUAAUUCCCAACAACGGAGUCGAUCACUCAGGAAUACUAGAAGAAUUAAGGGAGUAAAUGAGGUUCAAAUUGGCGAGUCAACUUCGGGAAUCAAAGAAGUCAAGGAGAUGGUUGAAGGUCUUGCUCGACAAAUAGCAUCGUUGUCGACUGCUAAAUCAACAGAACCACAUGACCAUGACUCAUACUCCGAUCAAGCCAAUGCCAUAGGUGUAAUCAGAAAACCAUCGAAUUACAACCCAUACUCCAACACAUAUAACCCUGGAUGGAGAGACCAUCCCAAUUUUUCAUGGUCUCAAGGAUUCCAACAGAAUGGACCAGCAGCUCCAGCUCCGCCAAUUCCUCAAGUUCCUCAAGCCUCUCAGCCCCCAUUUAGACCAUACAAUCAGAACCAGAACUACUCUCAACCUAGACCAUGGGAGGAUUCAUUCCAGAAUCUCAAGAAUCUUACUCACUCUACGAUUGAGCAACAGAACCGCACCAUUGAUGGACUACGAAAUGAGUUGAGAGCGGGCUUCAACUCACAAGCCCAAUCAGUUUCAAGCCUCGAGAAGAUGGUGGGACAACUUGCUUCUUCAGUUCAGACCUUGGCAAUGACUGUUGAUAAAGGUAAAUUUCCAAGUCAACCAGUGCCUAAUCCUAAAGGAGUACAUGAAGCAAGUACUAGUUCACCACAGCAGCAUGGAGAGGUCAAAGCAAUCAUGACCUUGCGAAAAGGAAAGGAAGUCGACAACAAAGUGGAGAUGCCUGUGACAAAAGAAAAUCAAAUUGUACCUGUGAAUGUUGAAGACUCACCACCGGAGGAGAAAGAAGAAACCAACCCACGAGAAUACGUUCCGAAAGCUCCAUUUCCUCAGAGGUUAGCGAAAGGAAAGAAGGGAAAAUCCACAGGUGAGAUUCUUGAAAUCUUCAAACAGGUAAGUGUUAACAUCCCUUUGCUUGAUGCUAUUAAACAAGUUCCAUCUUAUGCCAAGUUUCUUAAAGACCUUUGUACUAAAAAGAGAAACAUGCAUGUUCAAAAGAAGGCAUUUUUAACAGAAAACGUUAAUUCUAUACUCCAACAUAAAAUUCCUUUAAAAUGCAAAGACCCAGGCUCCCCCACUAUCUCAUAUAGUAUAGGGAACCACACAAUUGAGAAUGCUUUGUUGGAUUUAGGAGCUAGUGUAAAUCUGUUGCCUUACUCAGUAUUUUUGAAACUUGGACUGGGAGAAUUACACCCAACUCCAGUGGUGUUACAGCUUGCAGAUCGGUCCACGAAAAUACCUCGUGGUAUUGUGGAGGACGUGCUUAUCCAGGUAGACAAGUUUUAUUUUCCUGUUGAUUUCAUUGUAAUUGACACUCAACCAAUACAGGAUUCAAGGAAGCACAUCCCCAUUAUCCUAGGCCGACCUUUCUUGGCAACUGCGGAUGCUCACAUUCAAUGCAGGACUGGAAAUAUGCAGUUGUCCUUCGGCAACAUGACUAUGGAGCUAAAUAUUUUCAACAUUGCCAAACAACCUCACAGUGCAGAUGAUGGAAUUGUUGAUGUGGAUUUAAUUGAAGCAUUAGUUGAUGACACUUUUAUUUCAAACCUUAGUGAUGAUCCUUUACAGACAUGCUUAACUCACUUUGGUUUUGAUUUUGAUAUUGACAGAUCGGUUGAUGAGGUCAACGCUCUACUUGACUCAACACCAUCCAUGGACACUAAUAAAUGGAAGUCAAGAGUUGAACAACUAGCACCAUCAGAAAAGAAACUCAUCCCAUCAUCAGAAUCACCACCGAAACUCGAGCUCAAACCAUUGCCCAACACUCUGGAAUAUGCAUUUUUGGGAGAAGAAAGUACUCUGCCGGUAAUCAUCUCAUCAUCCCUAAAUGACGAACAAAAAGGUAAGUUGUUGGAUGUUUUAAAAGAGCAUAAAGGAGCAUUAGGAUGGACCAUAGCAGACAUAAAAGGUAUAAACCCCGUAGACUGCAUGCAUUACAUUCACCUUGAUGAAAAUGCUAAAUCUACUAGGGAAAUGCAACGUCGGUUAAAUCCUAAUAUGAAAGAAGUUGUUAGAACUGAAGUCCUUAAGCUAUUAGACGCAGGUAUCAUUUACCCAAUUUCUGAUAGUUCAUGGGUCAGUCCUGUACAAGUUGUCCCCAAAAAGUCAGGAGUCACAGUAGUUACCAAUGCUGAUAAUGAAUUGAUACCAACUAGAGUAACUACAGGAUGGCUUGUAUGCAUUGAUUAUAGAAAGUUGAAUUCUGUCACACGUAAAGACCAUUUUCCUUUACCAUUUAUUGAUCAAAUGCUUGAUAGAUUAGCAGGCCAUGAAUUUUAUUGCUUUCUAGAUGGCUACUCAGGAUAUAAUCAGAUUCCCAUAGCACCAAAAGAUCAGGAGAAAACUACUUUCACUUGCCCUUUUGGCACUUUUGCAUAUAGGAGAAUGCCAUUUGGAUUAUGUAAUGCACCUGCUACAUUCCAACGAUGCAUGUUGAGCAUUUUUUCUGAUAUGGUUGAACGAUUCCUUGAAGUCUUUAUGGAUGAUUUUUCUGUCUUUGGUGACUCGUUUGAUCAAUGUUUACAUCAUCUAACACUAGUUCUGCAGAGAUGUAUUGAGAAGAACUUAGUCUUAAAUUGGGAGAAGUGCCAUUUUAUGGUAAAACAAGGUAUUGUUCUCGGUCACAUCAUUUCGAGCAAAGGUAUUGAGGUUGACAAAGCCAAGGUGGAUCUCAUUUCUAAUCUUCCUCCACCUAAAACAGUCAGAGAAGUAAGAUCUUUCCUUGGACAUGCUGGUUUCUAUAGACGUUUCAUUAAAGAUUUUAGCAAAGUUUCUAGACCCUUAUGCAAUUUACUUGCUAAGGAUGUACCUUUUAUCUUUAAUGAUUCAUGUCUCAUGGCGUUUGAAAAAUUAAAGCAGUUGUUGACAUCAUCACCCAUCAUUCAGGCCCCAAACUGGAGCUUACCAUUUGAGCUCAUGUGUGAUGCAUCUGAUUAUGCAGUAGGAGCAGUAUUAGGACAAAGAGUUGAUCGAAUUCCGCAUGUUAUUUACUAUGCUAGUAUGACAUUGAAUGAUGCACAGUUGAAUUAUUCAACUACUGAAAAAGAAAUGCUAGCAGUAGUGUUUGCAUUAGAGAAAUUUCGAUCUUAUCUCAUUGGUUGUAAAAUAAUUAUAUUCACAGAUCAUGCUGCUCUUAAAUAUCUUCUCACAAAGAAAGAUGCAAAAGCUAGACUAAUUCGUUGGGUGUUACUUUUGCAGGAAUUUGACUUGGAAUUCAAAGAUAAGAAAGGGACAGAAAAUGUUGUGGCGGACCAUCUCUCUCGUCUCCAUUUUGACACAAUUACAGAGCCAUUAAUAUUGAAUGAGUCAUUCCCAGAUGAACAAUUAAUGAAUGUGGAAGUAUUACCUUGGUAUGCUGAUAUAGUUAAUUAUCUUGUUACAGGUAAACUUCCAGAGCAUUGGACCAAGCAAGACAAGGCUAAAUUCUUUGCAGAAAUAAAGAAUUUCUUUUGGGAUGACCCGUAUUUGUUCAAGUAUUGUGCAGACCAAAUUGUUAGACGAUGUGUCCCAGAAAGUGAAAUUCAGAAUAUCCUUUCAUUCUGCCAUGAACAAGCUUGUGGAGGCCAUUUCAGUGCUAAGAAAACAACGACUAAAGUUUUAAAAUGUGGUUUCUAUUGGCCAACUAUAUUUCGAGAUGCUUACACUUUUUGUUCUUCAUGUGAUAGGUGUCAACGAAUGGGGAGUAUUACACGAAGGAACAUGAUGCCACUAAAUCCAAUUUUAGUGGUUGAGAUUUUUGACGUAUGGGGUAUCGACUUCAUGGGACCCUUUCCCCCUUCUUUUGGCCAUCAAUACAUAUUGGUUGGUGUUGACUACGUCUCAAAAUGGGUAGAAGCAAUUCCAUGUAGAACCAAUGAUCACAAGGUGGUGAUAGGAUUUUUGAAAAGCAACAUUGUUUCGCGCUUUGGAUUCCCUCGAGCAAUAAUCAGUGAUGGUGGUGCCCACUUUUGUAACAAAGCAUUCAAAGCUCUUUUGACAAAGUAUUCAAUCACACACAAAGUGGUGACCCCGUAUCAUCCGCAAACCAGUGGCCAAGUUGAGAUAUCCAAUCGAGAAAUAAAGCACAUAUUAGAAAAAACGGUGAGGCCAGACAGGAAAGAUUGGUCAUUAAGACUUGAUGAUGCAUUAUGGGCAUACAGAACGGCUUUCAAGACCCCGAUUGGGAUGUCACCCUACAGGCUAGUGUAUGGAAAAGCUUGCCACCUACCUGUGGAACUCGAGCAUCGUGCGUAUUGGGCCAUCAAGAAAUUCAACUUUGACAUGCAGCAAGUCAGCUCAGAAAGAAGAUUACAACUGGCAGAACUUGAAGAAAUUCGCAAUGACGCAUACGAAAAUGCCAAGAUUUACAAGCAACAGAUGAAAAUCUUUCAUGACAAGCAAAUUAUGAGAAAAUCGUUCACUCCAGGUCAGAAAGUGCUUUUAUUCAAUUCUCGUUUGCACCUAUUCCCAGGUAAGCUACGCUCUCGAUGGUCUGGUCCCUUUAUUGUUCAUACUGUUUUUCCACAUGGGGCAAUUGAAAUUAAGGACCCAAAGAACGGUGUCACGUUUAAAGUUAAUGGUCAAAGAUUAAAGCCAUAUCUAGAGUACCAACCACAUGGAGAAGACACCGAAAUAAAUUUGAGUGACCCACCAGAUUUGAAUUGAUUUUUUCUUUUUAUUGAUUUGAUUUUUCUUUCUUUCUUUUUAUUGUUCUUUUGCUAAUUGAAAUUAUUUUUGCAUAAGUGUGUUUGUUUUACCAUUAAGUUUUUUUUUCUUAUCAUUGUUAAUCAUGAGUACCAUACUUAGACCGUUCCUCCUGAACAUUCUUAAACCACUUCAGCGUGUCAAAACUCAUCUCAAAAAGCAGAUUCAAUUUUGUAAAACACAACGCAUUUGGGCUUUACAACCACCAGAGUUAGUAGCCUAUGUUGAGGGUUUAGAACGCCAACUCAGAGACAUUGAGAGAAGUGUUUACGACAUCCAAUUGGAGCUUGAGGUAAAUUCAAUAAGAGGACGAUUUUAAUUUUCUUUGUGUGUUUUAAUUUGUUUUUCUGUUUGUGUGCUUUAGUUUGUUACCCCGGUGAAGUGGCGGAUAACGGUACUCUGUGACAAUCAAGUCGGUUACUUCAGUUUCCCAUAAUAACUGACAUUCUGAGGCAAAAGUAUGGACAGAAACGAGAUUCUAGCGAAGCUUCACAAGCGAUUCCCUUCACUUCCUCAGAAUGCCCUCCUUAUGAUCUAUAAAGCUCGGUCCGAACGCAUGCGAUUGCUCAUGAGGAAUAACAUACCUGCUGAUAUCCGUUGGUUAAUCGAGGCGAAAGUACGAUCGGCAGGUGAGUUACCUCCAAAAUUUAUUGCAUACAUGUCUGGUUGUGGUAAAGGAAAUUAUGCAAGAAAACGACGAGCUCGACGAAUUUCUGUUGCUUGUCAUAAGUGUGCCAGAAUGAGUUGCAAUAAAAACCCAUGUUCUUUAGGAAUGAUGUCUGAUAACAGGGAAGACAAGAUUCAAUUCAUUAGGGAUGGCUUGAAUAAGGAGUCAUUGGAUGAUAUCCUUUUGUCUCUUGAAACGCAUCCCAGUGGAUAUGUGCAAGGAGCGAUUCUCCAGUUAUGGCUAUUAUUCCAGAAAGAGCAUGCACGAUACAGUCUCGGGAAUCUGACUAUAAACGACCAUGUUUGCCAGUUUGUAAGAAAACUGGAUAGGAAGCCUAUCCUCGACUCAUAGAGGGCGUUCAAGCCGUUUCUGGACGUAAAACCAGAGGAAGAUGUGAGCCACAGUCGCAACUACGUGUAAAUAUCCUUUUACUUUACUGUACUUUUUCCUCCUUACUGUUUGCUUUUUUCCUUAUUACUAUUUGCUUUUUCCUUUUUACUGUUUCCUUUUUGACUCGCGAUCCACGUGCUUUACGCAUUAUUUGACACUGACAUGUUACCUCAUACACCACUAUGACCCACUAUCACCAAGACUCUUAAAUGUGAUUUCUUUUUUGUCAAGCACUCACAAAUUGUUUUUGAGAAGUAUCACAAUGGCCGCUACUCCCAAUAGACAAUUCAAGAACAUUUGUGUGCUUUCUGGAUUUACCUAUGGCAAACAUAAAGAGUUCGUGGAGGCAGCCAUAGAUCUUGGUCGAAGCAUAGCAGCGAGAAAAUUACACUUGGUGUAUGGAGGAGGUAACCGAGGGUUAUAAAAAAUGGUCUCAGAAGCAGCUUUUAUCAGAGGAAGUCAAGUGUUAGGCAUCAUCCCAAGAGUCCUAAAACCAUUGGGCAGUUCGUCUGACUCAUCAACUGGAGAAGAGUUAGUUGUCUCAGGUAUGCAAGAAAGAAUAACUGAAAUGCUUAAUCAUGCUGAUGCUUUUAUUUUCCUUCCAGGAGAUCUUGCAACACUAGAGGCACUUAUCACACUAGCAUCCUGGGCCCAUCUGCACAUCCACCAGAAACUCAUCGGUUUGUUAAAUGUCAAUAACUUUUAUGAUGGCUUUAUCGCAUUUCUUAACCAUGCAAUAAAAAACUACUUCAUUCCUUCCCAUGCGAAAAAACUUUUUAUUUGUGCUCACACUGCUAAUGAGCUACUUGAUCUGUUACAAGCUUAUAGACCGGAGCCAGACCCCUGGACCUUUGUGUUGGAGCGCCCAAAUAAUGAUGGUAACAGUAGCCGCAGUAAGAAGUACAAAUUAGAUUUAACUCUCCGCUUGUGAAUAUUUUCUUUUGUGUUGCACCACCCAGGUGAUGUCUUCUAAACUCUACUUCUUUCCUUUAAAACAUUGAGGACAAUGUUUCGUUCUGGUUGGGGGGAGGGAAUAGUCGACAAUUGUGGAAUCUUGGUUAAGUUUUUACUGAUUUUUUUUGUUGUAGAAACUAACUAUUGCUAACUUUUUGUGUUGAAGAAGGCUGAAUAUGGAGUGUAGUGACUCUAGAAACGCAUCUUCUUCACAGAGAUCAACGAUGCGUACUGUCUUCUAACAGAGGAUGGAGAGCCUCCAACUUUUCAUGAAGCUUUAAACAGUUCAGAUGUUGCUUUGUGGAAGACAGCAAUGCAGGAAGAAAUUGAAGCUCUAUACAAGAACAAGACAUGGGAACUUGUACCACUACCACACGGAAGAAAAUCCAUUGGAAACAAAUGGGUCUACAAGAUCAAACGUGAUGGUAAUGAUCAAGUGGAGCGGUAUCGUGCAAGACUGGUGGUGAAAGGAUAUGCUCAGAAAGAAGGUAUUGACUUCAACGAGAUAUUUUCUCCGGUGGUUCGACUCACAACAGUCAGAAUAGUCUUGGCAAUGUGUGCUACAUUUGACCUACAUCUAGAGCAGUUAGAUGUUAAAACUGCAUUUCUUCAUGGAGAACUUGAAGAAGAAAUUUAUAUGCUCCAACCAGAAGGUUUUGCAGAAACAGGAAAAGAGAACUUGGUUUGCAGGUUGAACAAAUCUCUAUACGGUCUCAAACAGGCACCGAUGUGUUGGUAUAAGAGAUUUGAUUCCUUCAUUAUGAGCCUUGGAUACAACAGACUCAGUUCAGACCAUUGUGCAUAUUACAAGAGGUUUAAAGAUAAUGAUUUCAUCAUUUUGCUGUUGUAUGUGGAUGACAUGUUGGUAGCAGGUCCCAACAAAGAUCGAAUCCAAGAAUUGAAGGCACAAUUGGCUAGGGAGUUUGAAAUGAAGGACUUGGGACCAGCAAACAAGAUUCUAGGGAUGCAAAUUCACCGAGACAUAAAUAACAGGAAGAUUUGGCUUUCGUAGAAGAAUUAUUUGAAGAAAAUCUUGCGGCGCUUCAACAUGCAAGAUUGUAAGUCAAUUUCUACCCCACUUCCUGUUAAUUUCAAAUUAUCCUCAAGUAUGUGUCCUAGCAAUGAAGCAGAGAGGAAGGAGAUGUCUCGAGUACCGUAUGCAUCAGCAGUGGGAAGUUUGAUAUUCGCUAUGAUAUGUACAAGACCGGACAUUGCACAAGCAGUGGGAGCAGUCAGUCGAUACAUGGUGAAUCCUGGUGGAGAGCAUUGGAUAGCUGUGAAGAUGAUUCUGAGAUACAUCAGAGGAACCUCAGAUGUUGCAUUAUGUUAUGGAGGAUCAGAGUUUACUGUCAGGGGCUAUGUGGAUUCAGAUUUUACAGGAGACCUUGAUAAAAGGAAAUCCACUACUGGUUAUGUGUUUACACUUGCGGGAGCAGCUGUAAGCUGGGUUUCGAAACUGCAGACAGUUGUGGCUUUAUCUACAACAGAAGCAUAGUACAUGGCAGCUACACAAGCUUGCAAGGAAGCUAUUUGGAUACAAAGAUUAUUGGAGGAGCUCGGGCACAAACAACAGAAAAUUCUUGUGUUUUGUGACAGUCAGAGUGCCUUGCACAUUGCAAGGAAUCCAGCCUUUCAUUCCAGGACAAAGCACAUAGGAGUUCAGUAUCAUUUCGUUCGAGAAGUAGUGGAAGAUGGAAGUGUGGAUUUACAGAAAAUCCAUACGAAGGAGAACCUAGCAGAUGUUUUGACCAAGCCGAUAAAUACUGAUAAGUUUGUCUGGAGUAGAUCAUCUUGUGGCCUAGCAGAAACGUAGGCAACAUGAUUAUGGCGAAGCAGAAAGGACGGUGUGGAGAUUGAUUGUUUUUCAAUCUAAUCUCCAAGUGGGAGAAAUGUUGAAUAUGGGGCACCACUCUUCUAGAAAUGUUGAAAAUGGGCCCUCUUCUAGAAAUGUUGAAAAUGGGCCGAAAUGCUUGAAGAGGAAAAUGGAAAAAGAAAUGUUUGAAGAAGAAAAUGAGGAACACGGUUUUGACUUUCUUGGCCAUCAUUUUGCUAUAAAUAGAAGUGCAAAUGAAGAGCUUAAGUAUUCCAUUCUGAGAGUAAUUUAGCAGUUGAGAGAGAGUUUAGAGAGCUUGAAUUUAUAAGCUCUUGUUAUAGUGAUUUUGAGAGUUUGGGUGUAUUGGAGUUUUGGGAAGUGAGCUAAAAUACUACAAUACUUGUAACUCCUUUUCACUAGUAAAAUAUUUCCUUCUGUCUUCGCCCGUGGAUGUAGGCUAAAAGCCGAACCACGUAAUUUCUGGUGUCCUCUAGUGUGCUUGUUCUUUAUUUUCUUCCAAUUUUAUUUUAUCUGCGUGUAUGCUUCACCCACCAAUUUCCUAGCAGUGGUAUCAGAGCUAUUGGUUGUAUUUUUUGGAGUCAGGAACUAUUCACGUAAUGGGUACUAUUCACGUAUAUGGCACUAUACACGUACACGAUACUAUUCACGUAUACGGUACUGUUCACGUAUACGGUACUAUUCACGUGAAACGGUGGAAGCGAUCCAAGAAUUUUGCGGUGCAAAGCAGGGAAUAGUGGUGUGAGUAAAGCAACUGUGUGGUUUUGUACAUGUCUAGGAAAGUUCUGUCACAAAGGCGAUAAGAGCUUAAGGAGUCUGGGUUUUAAGUGGGACCAUUGUGACCCCUCAAGUCUUUCCUGGGAACUUUCCUGGUGUGCAUUCUCACACAUACUCACAACUAUUCAAGGUGGUAUACUAGCUUGUGUGCAGUAUUUAUCAACAAAAUAGCGGCAAAGUAUGAAAUUGAGAAAUUUAACGGAAAUAAUUUUUCGUUGUGGAAAAUGAAGAUGAAAGCUGUAUUGAGGAAAAAUAAUUGCUUGGCAGCAAUUGGAGAAAGGCCCAUGGAGAUAACUGAUGACAAGUGGAACGAGAUAGAUGGCAACGCCAUUUCUGAUAUACACUUGGCACUUGCAGAUGGAGUAUUAUCUAGUGUGGCAGAGAAAAACACAGCGAAGGAAAUAUGGGAUACUCUUACAAAAUUGUACGAGGCCAAAUCACUACACAACAAAAUCUUCUUGAAGAGAAAACUCUAUACUCUUCGAAUGGUGGAAUCUACAAUGGUGACCGACCACAUCAACACCUUGAAGACUCUAUUUUCACAACUCACAACGUUGGGUCAUAAUAUAGAGGAAAAUGAACGUGCAGAGCUUCUACUUCAAAGUCUACCAGAUUCAUAUGAUCAACUCAUUAUCAACCUGACGAACAACAAUCCAGUGGACAGUCUAGUUUUCGACGAUGUUGCAGCCUCCAUAUUAAAUGAGGAAAGCAGGCGGAAAAAUAAGGAAAACAGACAAGCAAGUUCGCAGCAAGCGGAGGCGCUAUCAGUGACGAGAGGGAGAUCAACGGAACGUGGCCCCAGUGGGAGUCAAAAUCAUGGUAGAUCAAAAUCCAGAAGUAAGAAGAAUGUUAAAUGCUACAACUGUGGCAAGAAAGGGCACGUAAAAAUGGAGUGUUGAAGUAACCAGAAGAGAAGAGAGGGUAAAGAACCUGAGUCAUCAAAUGCUCAGGGGUGUGUAGCAAGUACCUCAGAUGAUGGCGAAAUACUCUACAGCGAGGCAACAACUGUUUCAGAAGGCAGAAAAUGACUUUCUGAUGUCUGGCUUAUAGACUCAUGAGCUACCUGGCACAUGACCUCUAGGAGAGAAUGGUUCCACACAUAUGAACCUAUCUCAGGAGGAUCUGUAUAUAUGGGUAACGAUCAUGCAUUGGAGAUCGCUGGUAUUGGUACUAUCAAAAUAAAAAUGUUUGAUGGUACAAUUCGCACAAUUGGGGAGGUACGACAUGUCAACGGCCUGAAGAAAAAUCUAUUGUCUUUGGGACAAAUAGACAAUCAUGGGUGCAAAACUCAUGUGGAGAAUGGAAUUAUGAAGAUCGUUAAAGGAGCACUUGUAUUGAUGAAGGCAGAAAAGAUCGGUGCUAAUCUAUUCAUGCUUAAAGGAGAAACACUACAGGAGGCUGAUACGUGUGUCGCAUCAAAUGGAGAAGAGUCAACGAUGAUGUGGCAUCUCAAACUUGGCCACAUGUCAGAACAAGGUUUGAAGAUUCUCUCUGAGAGAAAAUUGCUUCCGGGGCUCAAAUCGGUAAGUUUACCAUUUUGCGAGCAUUGUGUUACAAGUAAGCAGCAUAGAUUAAAAUUCAGUAGAUCUAUUGCUAGAAGUAAAUGCAUUCUAGACUUGAUUCAUUCUGAUGUUUGGGAAUCACCGGAUAUAUCCAUGGGAGGUGCAAAGUACAUGGUGACUUUCAUUGAUGAUUAUUCCAGAAGAUGUUGGGUAUAUCAAAUUAAGAAAAAGUCAGAUGUAUUUCUAGUGUUUAAAGAAUACAAAGCGCGGUUGGAACUUGAAUCUGGUAAAAAGAUCAAGUGCUUGAGGACGGAUAAUGGUGGAGAGUAUACAGAUGGCGAGUUUCUUGCUUUCUGUAAGCAAAAAGGUAUUCAGAGGCAGUUCACGGUGGCAUACACUCUUCAACAAAACGGAGUGGCGGAGCGGAUGAACAGAACUCUUACAGAAAGAAUAAGAGCUAUGUUGAGGACUGCUGGUCUACCCAAUUCAUUCUGGGAAGAAGCAGCCAAAACUGCCUGUUAUAUAGUAAAUCGAUCGCCAUCUACAGCUAUUGGGCUGAAGACAGCGAUGGAGAUGUGGACUAGAAAGCUAGCUGAUUAUUCUUACCUACAUGCAUUUGGAUGUCCUGUGUACAUAAUGUACAAUGCCCAAGAAAGAACAAAGCUGGAUCCAAAAUCUAGAAGAUGUAUCUUCUUGGGGUAUGCUGAUGGAGUAAAGGGGUAUCGUCUGUGGGACCCCACUGCCCACAAGAUCGUCAUCAGCAGAGAUGCUAUCUUUGUAAAAGAUCAACUGCAAAGGAGAGAUGAGGAUGAUGGCACUACAAAAGAAAAGUCAGAGACUGUUCCAGUAUAUGUGGAAAAUAAUCUAGAAGAUUCAGAUUCUUCUGAAGUAGCACCAGAGCACGAGGAACAAGAACCAGUCGACUCCGAGACUCCAGAAGUUUGUCGGUCAACUCGUGAGAGACGACCGCCAACGUGGCACUCAGAGUAUGUCACAGAGAUCAACGUUGCGUACUGUCUUCUAACAGAGGAUGGAGAGCCUCCAACUUUUCAUGAAGCUUUAAACAGUUCAGAUGUUGCUUUGUGGAAGACAACAAUGCAGGAAGAAAUUGAAGCUCUAUACAAGAACAAGACAUGGGAACUUGUACCACUACCACACGGAAGAAAAUCCAUUGGAAACAAAUGGGUCUACAAGAUCAAACGUGAUGGUAAUGAUCAAGUGGAGCGGUAUCGUGCAAGACUGGUGGUGAAAGGAUAUGCUCAGAAAGAAGGUAUUGACUUCAACGAGAUAUUUUCUCCGGUGGUUCGACUCACAACAGUCAGAAUAAUCUUGGCAAUGUGUGCUACAUUUGACCUACAUCUAGAGCAGUUAGAUGUUAAAACUGCAUUUCUUCAUGGAGAACUUGAAGAAGAAAUUUAUAUGCUCCAACCAGAAGGUUUUGCAGAAACAGGAAAAGAGAACUUGGUUUGCAGGUUGAACAAAUCUCUAUACGGUCUCAAACAGGCACCGAUGUGUUGGUAUAAGAGAUUUGAUUCCUUCAUUAUGAGCCUUGGAUACAACAGACUCAGUUCAGACCAUUGUGCAUAUUACAAGAGGUUUAAAGAUAAUGAUUUCAUCAUUUUGCUGUUGUAUGUGGAUGACAUGUUGGUAGCAGGUCCCAACAAAGAUCGAAUCCAAGAAUUGAAGGCACAAUUGGCUAGGGAGUUUGAAAUGAAGGACUUGGGACCAGCAAACAAGAUUCUAGGGAUGCAAAUUCACCGAGACAUAAAUAACAGGAAGAUUUGGCUUUCGUAGAAGAAUUAUUUGAAGAAAAUCUUGCGGCGCUUCAACAUGCAAGAUUGUAAGUCAAUUUCUACCCCACUUCCUGUUAAUUUCAAAUUAUCCUCAAGUAUGUGUCCUAGCAAUGAAGCAGAGAGGAAGGAGAUGUCUCGAGUACCGUAUGCAUCAGCAGUGGGAAGUUUGAUAUUCGCUAUGAUAUGUACAAGACCGGACAUUGCACAAGCAGUGGGAGCAGUCAGUCGAUACAUGGUGAAUCCUGGUGGAGAGCAUUGGAUAGCUGUGAAGAUGAUUCUGAGAUACAUCAGAGGAACCUCAGAUGUUGCAUUAUGUUAUGGAGGAUCAGAGUUUACUGUCAGGGACUAUGUGGAUUCAGAUUUUACAGGAGACCUUGAUAAAAGGAAAUCCACUACUGGUUAUGUGUUUACACUUGCGGGAGCAGCUGUAAGCUGGGUUUCGAAACUGCAGACAGUUGUGGCUUUAUCUACAACAGAAGCAUAGUACAUGGCAGCUACACAAGCUUGCAAGGAAGCUAUUUGGAUACAAAGAUUAUUGGAGGAGCUCGGGCACAAACAACAGAAAAUUCUUGUGUUUUGUGACAGUCAGAGUGCCUUGCACAUUGCAAGGAAUCCAGCCUUUCAUUCCAGGACAAAGCACAUAGGAGUUCAGUAUCAUUUCGUUCGAGAAGUAGUGGAAGAUGGAAGUGUGGAUUUACAGAAAAUCCAUACGAAGGAGAAUCUAGCAGAUGUUUUGACCAAGCCGAUAAAUACUGAUAAGUUUGUCUGGAGUAGAUCAUCUUGUGGCCUAGCAGAAACGUAGGCAACAUGAUUAUGGCGAAGCAGAAAGGACGGUGUGGAGAUUGAUUGUUUUUCAAUCUAAUCUCCAAGUGGGAGAAAUGUUGAAUAUGGGGCACCACUCUUCUAGAAAUGUUGAAAAUGGGCCCUCUUCUAGAAAUGUUGAAAAUGGGCCGAAAUGCUUGAAGAGGAAAAUGGAAAAAGAAAUGUUUGAAGAAGAAAAUGAGGAACACGGUUUUGACUUUCUUAGCCAUCAUUUUGCUAUAAAUAGAAGUGCAAAUGAAGAGCUUAAGUAUUCCAUUCUGAGAGUAAUUUAGCAGUUGAGAGAGAGUUUAGAGAGCUUGAAUUUAUAAGCUCUUGUUAUAGUGAUUUUGAGAGUUUGGGUGUAUUGGAGUUUUGGGAAGUGAGCUAAAAUACUACAAUACUUGUAACUCCUUUUCACUAGUAAAAUAUUUCCUUCUGUCUUCGCCCGUGGAUGUAGGCUAAAAGCCGAACCACGUAAUUUCUGGUGUCCUCUAGUGUGCUUGUUCUUUAUUUUCUUCCAAUUUUAUUUUAUCUGCGUGUCUGCUUCACCCACCAAUUUCCUAGCAUUAACUAAAUAUUUUUUAACCAUAUAUGUAUAGUUGGAUUAAAUAGUGGAGAUUACAACAAAACAUAUGCGAAUUAGUUGUGAUGUUGAGUUCAGAAGAUUGAAGUUAAAAAAAUUAAAGGUUUCUUGAUCAAGGGAAAUUUCAAAAGAGUGAAGCGUCUUCUAGAUCAAGACGAAAAUAAGGAAAGGGUAAGGGUGUAUUUUCAAAGUGAUUCUAUUGAAAGAUCUUUGAAGAUUACUUUCGUUAAGAGCAGGAUCCCACACUCUUGAGCCUUUGUCGUCCCAGUCAACUAUAAAGACACAUUAUUAUUGAGUAUGAACAUUGCGACUUAUAGAUCACCAAAUUUUCAAACUUAUGAUCUUCGUUGAAUCUGCAAUCCCUUUUGAAAAAAAAAAAAAAAAAAAAGGAAAACUGCAAAUAAUGAAACAAAAUUCUGUUCCUUGAUAGAGUUACGCGGCUUCAACUUGCAAGUGCUGUCGGCAUUUUCAAACUUGUAAGACCCUUCAACUUGCUUUCCAAGAUAGCUAUAAUCAAUAAUGACAACCGAAGACGGCUACGUUUGCGGUACAAAAGUUGCACCAUAUUAGACGUUCUUUUUAGGGAUGGCAAUGGGGCGGGGUGGGGGUGGGGAUGCCUACCCCAUUCCCCACCCCAUUAAAAUUUUUUGCCUCCAUUCCCCACCCCAUUCCCCAAUAAAUUUAGUGGGUUGGGGAUGGGGAAUCCCCACGUGGGGAAUGAUUCCCCCAUCCCCACCCCAUUCCCCAUUUACAUAUUUUAUAGUAAAUAUAAAAAUAUGAUUUCAGUAAAUUAAAAAUUAGAGACUUAAGAUAAAAUCAUCACAAUAUUAUAAAGUAUUUAAUUUUAAAAAAAAAUCUCUAAAAAUUUGAAACAAUAUCUUAAAAUGAUAUUAAAAGUGAAAAAUAUUUAAAGAAAGCAGCACCUUAAAAGAGAAAAGAAAAUAUAUUAAUGUUUUAAAGUUGAAAAAUAUUGUAGAAUUUUCUUUUAUUCAUAUUCUAUUUAUAUUACAUAAAAAUUAAAAAAAAAUUAUUAAUUGACAUUAUAGUUGAUAAAAUACAAAUUAUUAAAUAAGAAUUAAAAACAUAUUUAUAUAUAAUGGGGAUUGGGGUGGGGGUGGGGUGGGGAGUGCAAUACCAAACCCCACCCCGUUAACAAUUUGGGGAUUACUUUUCUCCCACUCCCCACCCCAUUCCCCAAAAAUUAUUAAAAAAUUUCCCCAUUUGGGGUGGGGCUCCAUGGGGCCCCAACCCGUGGAGGAUUUUGCCAUCCCUAGUUCUUUUUUGUUCUUAUCCGAAGUAACCGUUGGAUUCAAAGGAAAGUGAUCAGACAUUCAAUAGCUUCACACGUGGACAUUAUAGGAUACCGGUCAAAUCGGUUAGUGCUCCUCCACAUCAAACUCACAAGCAUGGCUAUCAUCGUAUCAGCUUGGAAACUUGUUACAAGUGACGAAGAGCAACAGGGUCCGCUCCUCUAGAGUCGGUUAGUGCUCAAUAAUGUUACAGGUUUUAUAAUCUAUGUAACUGGUACGAUCGCUGUCUCAAGUGGUAAACUUUUGAGGCACAAAUUUAGAACGAAAAGUUUCCAAUAAAAUAAGUUAUUUAAUUAAUUAAAUAAGAAUAAAAUGAAUUUGUAAAAAAAUUUUAAAUUUAAUUUUGAAUUAUUUUGACCAAAAUUUAAGUUUUUUUUUUUAAUUUGUUUAAGAAAAUGUGUUGUAAUUGUCUUGUUUUAAUUGGAAAAUCAAUGAAAAAAUUAUGUAAAAAAAAAAAAAAGCAAAACGCUUUGUUUUGGAUGGAGGCCAUAGAUUCCAAUAUUUCCUUAACGAAAACUACAAAAAAAUUAUCAAAGGCAUCAAUUUCUACACUCUCACCGAGCAAUACUCUUAUGCUGUGUUUACUUGCUGGAGUGGGAGUGAGGAGUGUGGAUUCCUCCCACUCCAGCGUUUACUUACUCAAAAUGGGGAGGGAUUAGGAAUCUCACUCCGUGGGCCCCAUCCAUUUUUGAAGUGGGGAGUGGGAGUGGGACUCCGAUUGGGGGAGGUGGGAGUGGGAAUCCACCCCCACCUCUCCCAUUUCUACCCUUUUUUUUAAUUUUAUGUUUUAUAAUUAAUAAAAUAAAAUAAAUAAUAUUAUAUUUAUUUGAAUAAUAUUAUUAUAUUUAUUUGAAUAAUAAUAUUAUAUUUAACUAAAUAAUAAUUUACAUUGAUUCUAAGUUAAAAUUAUUUUAAAAUAAUAUUAUUAUAUUAAUAGAGAAUUAAUAAAUAUAAUAUUAUUAUAUUUAUUUUAAAAAUAAUAGUACUAUAUUUAUUUAAUAUUAAUAAUAAUAAAUAGUUUAUUCUAAGAAAAUAUUAAUUUUGUACUAAAUAAUAUUAUUUUAUUAUUUUAUAUAAUAAUAAAUUUAAUAUAAUUAUAUUAAAUAAAAUAAAAUAACAUUUCAUUUUAUAUUAAAAUUAAAAUUAAUAAUUUAUUGUUCAUAAUUAAGAAUAUUAAUAAUUAUAAUAAAUUUACAAAUAUAAUAAAAUAAAUAUUAUUCAUUAAAUAUAUUUUUUAUUAGUUUUGUAAUUAAAAACUAUAAUUCUUUAAAUAAGGAUAAAAUUGUAAUUUGAAACUAUUUACUCCCAAUCCAAGACAAAGUAAACACAUAAAUUGAAUUCUGAUCUCCAUUCCAUACUUCUAUUCAAGUGUAAGUAAACAACCUACUCUCACUCCCACUCCACACUCUCAAUCCUAGGAUUCCCACUCCUCAGGAUUCCCAAUCCAAUCCAAAAAAUAAACGCUACCUUAACCCAGAAGGAAGUGUAUAAACCAACCCCAAUCAGUCCAUCAAUGUCGUCAACCUCAUACAGCAUAAAAAAAAUAUGUGUCCAUUAAACCGCCAUUUUUUUUUUUUGGUUAAACCACGAGGUAUCCUGGUAGGGCCCCAACUGUGGGAGGCACCUUUAAGCCCGUACCACAACCCAGACUAUAGCUCCCCGCUCGCACGUUGUGGCUAGUGCUCCCAACAAAUGCGACUUCUCUGCGACUCGAACUGGGGAGCAAACCCAGUCAAACCACUUAAGGGGGCUCCAGUUGCCAGAGGAGCCAACACUUUGUUGGUAUUAAACCGCCAUUUAAACUGACUUUAUUGAGUCAUUAGACUAUUGGUGUCAUCUUCCCAUCUCGUUGUAGCAUUUUACCGUUCAAAUCUAGUUAUCAAUUGUGGAAAAUGGGGACCAAUCUGCAAGUCUUUAAAAUAGAAAGAAACUUUAAUUGGGCACUAUGUUCACGGUAGUGGACACAGCAGCAGCUAUUUGUGCUUUAAAAAUUAUUUUACACUCUAAUUUUAAUAAAAAUAUAUAUUACAAAAUUACUUAUCAUAUAAGUUACUGGAUAAUAUAUUAUAAGUCAACAUUAUAUAAUUACUUUGAACACUUAUAUAGCCCAAUCCUAAUUCAAUUUAUUAUUCUCAUAACUUAAAUAUAAGUCAACAAUAUAAGGGGGUUGUGACAUGGGUUUAAACAUGAUUUAACAAGUGCCACCUGUGAAUUGUCAGAGAUUGUAUUUUCAUACACAUGUCAAAUUUUCAAGUCCAACAAAUUGUUAUCUUUCUAAAGAGGCUAAUAUUAUUAUUAUCUAUGCAUAGCAUGCUAUAAACAAUUCAUAUUCUGUACACAACAUAUGGACAGAGGAACAAAUCCCUGAGCUAAAAUCAUCAUAUUCUAAAAUAUUCUAUUAAAUCAACACCACAAAACGCGAACGCUAAACAGAAUUGGAGCAAUUUACCAAAGCUAUUUGUCACGCAAAGCACUAGUACCUCAGAACCCAAUUUGCAAAAAAGCACCAAAAAUGAAAAAUAACAAAUGCCCAGAUGAAAAAUCAGGAAAAAAAAAAAUGCUCAAAUCCAAAUUACAACCCCAUAAGCUGAGUUGUUCUCUUCGAACUGAAUUAAAAAAAAAUUAAAUAGGGAGAUUGACCUCAAACUUUGGAAACAGAAGCGACAGCGAUCUGUUUCUUGUCUGGAGUGUCCAUUUCUAUAAUCUACUUUGUCCGCUUUCAGUCGCUCUGCCACAGAGCUUCUUCCCUCUGAAGCUGAAGCUCACACACACUUGCAAAACGAAAGCAUUUUUUAUUGAUUGAGAGGCGGGAAGGCGGGAAAAUGAGAGAAAUUUGCAUUUGUUUUCUCUUGGUUUGGUCAUACCUGUGCGGGCCCCAGCUUGACAAGCGGUAUUAUUAUUAUUUGUAUAAUUUACAUGACGCGUGUCACGCAAUGACGAUAAAAAAUAUAUAUAUAUAUUGUUAAUUUUUCACUUAACAUUGAAAUAUCAUAUAAUUUUUCCAAUUUUAUGGUUAUUUUCUCGCCCUUAUGCCACAUUCUUUUGAUCAAAUAAUACAGUAAAACUUUUCUAUAAUCAUAAUAUUAAAGCCAAAUUAGCUUUAUUUAUGUAAAGAGGCUAUAGCUUAAUAAAGGUAAAAUUAUAAAAAUUAUUAUUUUGACUCAGUUAUCUUUAGUGUAAGUGAUAUAAAGUAUAAAUAUAUGAUAAUUAAUUAAUGAACUAUGUCAAAUACAAUAUGCUGACAAUGAUAAAAAAGAUAGACAUAAUUUCAAGAAACUAAUACAUAUAUUUAUGUAGUGCUGGGAUUAUACAAAAUCAUCUUAAAAGUGUAAAGUAUUAUUCUGAUUAAUUUAAAAUAAUUAUUAUUGGAUUCAAAUCAUGUCCUAGGCAUUUUUUCUUCUAGUUGGAGCUUCCAUUUGUUCUAGAGAUUCAAAGGCAGCAAGCUGCUUCCCCAGUGCUACUAAUUCUUCCCCGGCAUUGCAUGUGUAGCCUGAGGCUUGUCUACCAGACAAAGUUGCUCCUUCCAUACUAUCUAUGUAAUCCUGUGAGAGUGAAACCAUUUAGAAGACAUAUCUCUUUUUUUCCAAUAUUUGGAAUGAAACAAUUAUAUACAGUUACCUGUUUUGUAUAUGAGCUGGCGAGGAAGAAGUUCUUCACUGGUAUCUUUUGAUCAGGUCUGAAGGGGUCUUUACCAGGUCCCUCACCUCACAAAGAUUGCCGGAUUUUGACGACAGAUAACCAAAUAACUUCUAAACCUUGGGAUGAUGGAAAUAGAGCUAAAACCUAAUAAAAGGAACCGUGAAUGGAUAGUAUGGAUUCAUGUAUAUUAUCCAGAAAGUUGCAUGACCUUUUGUGGUACUCAGGUCACUAAAAAACGUGAGAUAAACAUCUAGGAUAAGAAAAGCAAAAAAGCAUAACCUAAUACGUAUUAUAUGAAUUGAAGGUGUCACUGAACACUACUAACCUGCUUUGCCACUCUCCUUAUGAUUUCAUCAUUUGAUAAGGGCAUAUAAGGAUCUCCAGGCGUCAAAACGCAUCUGAAAGAUAAUAUGGUUAUAGGAAGCAAGAUGGAAUACAAAGACACUUGGCAAAAGGAAGUCAAUCAGAUUCCAUGCACAAAAAAUAACUAAUAAUGACGAGGAUAAGAAAUGUUUCUUACUGGAGAAAUGAACCUUGCCCUUCUCUGUAGUAGUAUUCUGGUGAAGUGAGUGCUAGAUCUGCAAAGCAAGGGAAAUCUGCAUCUGGAGUAUAUAAAAGGUUAUCUAGCCCCACAGCUUGCUUCUAUUGCCUACAUGUUCAAUACAAGGAUCCGUUAAAAAAUGGAAAUUUCUUCAAUGCAUUAGUAAAGGGGAGUGAAGUGAAAGCUGAUUUCUUAGGCCUUCACAGAGCAUCUUGUGUUUGACAGCAAGCACUAAAGAAUAAACUCAAAGUCAGUGCUUCUAACAGAUGAUAUAAACAACAAAUUUACAAAUAUCAGGUCAUUGCAUUAGCUCCAUGCCUCCAUCAGAGCGAACAUUAAUAGAUGCGUAAAAAAAAAAUAAGAGCCAUAUGUGAAACAAUUUACCUUAGACAUGGCAAGUCCUUUGACAAAUGUUUCCCCGUUAGCAAAUUUAUCAUAAUGCAUCUCUCUGCAUCCCCACCUAAGAUGGAACCUGUUCUCACAAGAACAGACUCCAAGGUUGGGAAAAUCAAUUGAUCAUCGGAGAAAACAAACAGGAUUAACAAAUCACUACAAUGGUGUGAACCCGUAAAUACAAAUGUACCUGCCCCCUUUAUUUGCGAUAUAUUUUCUUAUUGGCCCAAUCAAAUAAACAUCCGGAGAACCCUUGAGCAUCUGUAAUAGGGAAGCCUCGGUCUUAGUCGCAAACAGUGCAAAUAUAGUAUGCAUACAACGAGCAAUGAUGUUAUCACAAUCAAUAAACCCAAGGGCAAACGCAACAGAAUCUUACAUUCUUUGGAUACUCAUCCAUGUACCACCCUUGGACAAAAACCAAUCAGAGAAGCUUAUCUGUAAGAAGAAAUGAAGUUUUAGGUAAAAUAAAAAUUUGUAGGAACAGGGAUUGAAAUUCAACAAACAAGAGCAAUAGCAUUUCUUGAUUUAUCAUAAGUCUGCACUUGAAAUUCAAGAAGUGCCUUUACAACAGGACUCAGCGCAAGAGCAAUAGCAUUUCUUGAUUUAUCAUAAGUCUGCACUUGAGCAAUAUACGAGGCAAAGUACAUCAAAAGAGAAUCCAAAAGAGGCAAGAAGCUUCAACAUGAAAAAAGGAGUACUGCCUCGUCAUACUGCUUUGCAAUCACAGUGCAAAAGAUAACAUCAACAAAAUCAAAAUCGAGCAUAAAUCCGUAUGCACUACCUUAAGCUGAUUUGUAGACAAAAAUGCAUGAAUCCCAUGUAAUGGAGCUCUAAUCGGAAACCGGAAAUCAAGUUCUGGAGUUGAAAAUCAAAAUCAUGAAUCAAAUCAGAGUUGUUAUUGAAUUAGACAAUCCAUAAACCAAUAGAAGGUGAUGUCAAACCAUCAAGCAUAACUAUUAGUUGUUUUAAGUGAUCAAGAAAUAACUAUACCACCAAUUUCACCACCCUUAUUUACAAAUUUAUGAGUAUGAUCCUUCAUGAGUAAAUUUUCGUCCGCACCGACCUGUCGACAUCCAUGAAAAACUAUCAGAUCAUAAACACAGGUUCCAGUUAAAGAGGAUCUAUGAUUCUGAUCCAUCAUGUUAUUUGAACAACAUAUUCGGAUUUUCUUACAACCCUAAGCUUUUAUCAGUUAUCAUCGCUACAAAUGAUAUGGUCAAGAGGAAUGAUAGUUCUUGUUUCAAGAAUCUCAAAUCGUAAUUCUUUUGCAUGGCUUCUGUGCUUUUAUAAUCAUUCAAACACGCAUAUCCACAACUAAGCAAGCUUUACCUUUUUUGUCAAUCGGAACAGAUUAUUGUAGCAUCCAAAGAAAACGUGCAGGCUGAUUUCAAUAUGGUUUCCACGUUUACAGACAAAUGAAGCCACUUUACCACCAAUAAAAGACCUCAACUCAUAUAUAUCCACCUGGAAGAAAGGAAAAGUUUAAAAAAAAGGAAUAAAAAUUCUUCUAAUUUCUUUCACCAUCAACAAAAUCAGAAAAACACAUACUAAUUCAAAAUGAAAUAAAGUUUGUGAAUUGAAAUAAUGCCAACUCCUAAGAAAAAUUAUGACUGCUGAUAUUUUUUCCGAAAUGCUGAUAAAAGCUUCUGCUAUUUACUUCGAAAAAAUUGAGGUUAGAAGCCUAUUUACUUGAAAUUUUGAGUUUAGGCAAGAGGAUGAAUGGUAAAAGUGAAACAUUUUAGGGAAAAAUGUACGUCAGAGGCCAAUGAAAGCAUUCAGAAGAUUGAAAUCUAAAUGAGCAAAACCCCGUGGCCUUGAUCCAACAAAUCCACUGCUGUUGACAUGCCUGCAAGCCCAGCUCCAAUAAUAGCCACUCUCAGCUUUGGUCCUCUAUAAUGUUCCGGUUCUGGUAGAAACAAACCCUUGGGAGCUGCCAAGUAUACCAUCCAAUUAUCCACAGCGAUAAUGGAAAUAUAUAUGUGUUUAAAGGUACUAAAUUCCUAAACAUGAAAUGUAUCCAAAGAGAGACACAAAGCAGAAUUGUGAAAGCAUUUCAAUUCCCAAUAAAUUUUAAGAAUACAAAAUACUCGGUCUGUUCCUCAAUUCCUUUAAUAAAAUUUCCACUAGAGGCUACGGAAGCCACUCAAUAACACUCCAAAGCCAGAUUUUAAACGUUAUCUUUAUCUUUAACUCCAAUCCAUAAACAAUUCUGCCACAAAUUCAAUCCAAAAUUGUUCAAGUGCACCGCCAAUUCUCCGUCAAUUCCCUCAAAAAUUCAUAAUUGGCAAACACUACAAACCCAAAAGAGCUUCCAGCAAUAAACGCAUAAAAAUCCACCAAGCAACAGAAAACAAAAUACCCAGAAACCAGAAAAGCCAAAAGAUCAAUGCUUGGCAAACAAGCAAAUCAAAUAAAACAAAAAGAAGAGAAAUUUACCAUUAACGCUCAUAUCAGAAACAUUAGCGUCCAAAGAAGCCCGUACACGGAAUCUUGGACCCUUCACUUGAACCCGAGACCAUGUAACGCCAGUAACUGAAGUUGCAGGAAACAGAACUGAAGAACCCAUAUUGCAAAUCCUGAGCUGAAAUCAAAGAAAUUCAAUUGGAACUCAAUUCAGCUCAACCGAGCGGCGCUCUCUUUUGCUUCAAUAACAAAGUAUUUUUCUUUCAUAUCAACAAAGAUUUGUCAACAUCAACAAAAUUUAACUAAGAAACUAAAAUAAUGAGGUAUCUUUGAGUUUAAGAAUCUAACAAGAUGCUAAGGAAGAGAGUUUUGUCAGGGAACUGUUUCGGAGAGGUUGGCCAAGUGGUUCUUUGUUUUUUUCUUCUUUUUUGGCCCUUUUCAUUAAUACACAACAGUAGUACUCGUGAAGAGCACAAAAUGUUGGUGACUUUGUCACUAACGAUACCAAAGUGGAGUGACCAGAGCAACCAACUAAAUUUUAAAGAGAGGGAGUGAUAAGUAAUAUUUUCUUUGGGUGAUUAAUUAAUUUAUUAUCAAAUAAUUUUAUUUAUUUAAUUAAACGACAUCCUUAUCUUUGUACAAGGCUGAUGAAAGACGACGAUGUUGUGUUGUCACAUAUUUUUGGGCCGACCGUUUCUUGUUUCGGCUUAAAUGAGGCUUUUGUAAUUUUGUGCUGUUUUUUAACUGAGUAUUUUGUGCUAAAUUACGCCAAAGAAAAAGUGUAAUUGUUAAAAGAUCUGCUGACACUCAUAACCUCUUAAGCGGAAUUUAUAAUGUGACAGUAUUGAUAUCUAAGUUCAUAAUAUCUAUGGGAGUGAUAAAACGAAUAAAUGAAUCGAAUCGUAAAUGAAUUUAGUUAAAAUUUAAUGGAUUUGAAUUCGAUGUGUUAUCAAGCGAAUCAUAAUUUUAAGAUUCAAACUCAAUUCAUUUAUUUAAUGGAUAUCUAUUUAAUUCGUUUAUUGUAAAAACUUAAACAAAUUGAGUUGAAUUUGGAUUCGUUUACAAUUUGUUUAAUUCAUUUAUGCAAAAUUAAUAAUAAAUCAAUCAAAUGUGGAUUUGUUUAAAAAAUAAUAAUAAUUAAUAAAAAAAAUAAAGUAAAAUAAAAUAUAAAAAAUCAUAAAAUUAACAACCUACAAAAUACAAACAAAUUAGUGACCCCAAACUCGGAUUCGAUUCAUUUAUUUAAUGAAUUGAAUUGAAUUCACUUAUUUGUUAAUGAAUUAUUUUUUUAAAAUUCAGACCUAUUUAAUUUGAAUCUAAUAAACAAAUCCUAACCUAAAUUGCCAUCUCUAAAUAUGAUGGACCUACUUAAAAUAUAUGAAUACCAAAAUGUGUGGGCUAAAAAGUGGUUUACCAUGCAGCAAUAAGAAUUUUAAGCUCUCUUUUCUUAUGUCACCCAAGGCAUUGGCUGGAUGGCCAAACAGCAGAGUUCAAGUCUACAAUAGAGAAUCGAAAUUUUCCUUUGUAAAUGUUCGUAAGUAUUUAGCAUAGAUUUUUAAGUUAUUCUUGAUAGAUCCCCUACCACAUACGCUAUAAUAUUUCUCUUCUUUUAAUUUAAAAGUAAAUCAUGCAUAAUAACGGGUUUGUAAAGAAAUGAAAUUUCUGGUAAUUAACUGUCAAAAAAAAAGGAUGGAUUAAGCGAAAGAAGUUAAUAUAGAGUUAAGUCGAGUACUUGACAAUAGGGGUGUUCGCGGAUCGGAUUUUACAGAUUAGACAUCAAUCUAUAUCUGAUCCAUAAUUUUACGGAUUAUAAUUUUUCAAUCCAAUCCAAUCCACAGAUUGAUAUAAUUCAAUUCAAAUCCAAUCCAUACAUCUGCAGAUCGGAUGCGAAUUUGACUCAAUCCAUAUCCAAUCCAUAAGUCUGCGGAUCGGAUGCGGAUUUGACUCAAUCCAUAUCCAAUCCACCAUUUUGCGCAUUAGUUUUCGAAUUAAAAAUUUUUAGUUCUCUCCAACUAAUGAAAUAAAAAAAAAAUCUAAUAUAAAAAUAAUUUUGCUACCAAUUAAAUUUAAAAUUGAAUAAAAUUUAAAUAAAUUAAUUGUUUAAAUAAAGCUAAAAAAAUACAUUUAAAAUUUUAAAAUAUAACACAUCGAGACUAAUUAUUCAAAUAAAGCUACAAUAAUACGUUCAAAGUUUCAAAAUAUAAUACACCAAGCUUAAUUGUUCAAAUAAAGUUACAAUAAUACGUUAAUAUAACACCGAAAUUAAUUAUUGAAAUAAAGCCACAAUUAAUUGAAAUGACGAAGCUUCGGAAACCAAACACAGUCUAAUCCUUUACCAGGGCUGUUGCGCUUGUCGAAAAGUGGUGAUUACGGAGCCGUCCACGAUGGGAACUAGGAGAAGUCGUCGAGUGGCAAUCUUGAAGGUUGUGAUAAUGAAAUUGUUCAGCUGGAACCAGUGAAUGUGAAGUGGCUCGGUGGACUUGGGAAAGAAGAUGGCUUGCUCUCGCUGUAAUCGCGCGGCCGAUGUCCUUCAAAUCCGUGUCGAGAGUGUAUCCAACCAGUAUUGAAUGUUGCUAGUGUGUGUCAUGGCGGGGAAGCUUAGGGUUUUUUGUUUGCAAAUUAUUUGUGACUUAGCGUCAUGUUACUUUACUUUUGGGUGACUUUGCAAAUUGUUGGUGAUUUGGCGUUAUGUUACUUUGCUUUUGCUAAUGUGUGUGACUUUGCUUUUAUUUUGUUUUACAAUGUCUACAAGUUAUAUUUGUAUAUUUGAUUAUUUAAUUAUUUUUUAUUUUAUAUUAUUAUUGGGUAAUGGCUAAGAUAUGUUAUAGUGUUUAUGUAACUAUGUAAUGUCACAUUUAUAAUUUUUUUAAUUAAAUUUAUAAUAAUUUUUUAAUUAUAUAUAAAUAUAUAUAAUUAAAAAAUUAUUAUAAAUAUAUAUAAUAUUAUUAGAAACUAUUAACAACGGCACAAAAUGCCUGUGAUAAUGAAACAAUGUGCCAUCCUUAAACUAAUAUUAUUAGAAACUAUAAGUGAAAGUUUUCAGAAAACACGCACGUGAUAAGUUUUCUCCUUUGUUUUGAUUUACGCGAGAGAUAGUUGUAAAGCGUAAAAUUUUAAAAUCCGUAACAAAACAAAAACUUACAUGGGUUGGGCGCACCAUGUGCAUACCAAAUUAGAAUAAUUGACGAAUCGUAAUAAAAAAUUUAUAUAUAAGAAUUGAAUGAGAUCCAUGGUUCACAAUUGCAAAUUAAAGGUUGGUUUUAUAAUAAAAAUCUUUUUGUGCAUACCAAAUUAGAAAAGAUUAUAAGUAAAUUAAGAUUUUCAAAAUUUGACUAGUAUUAUAUUACGUUCAUCAAUAAAAUAUAAAUUUGUUAUAUAUAUAUUUUAUUCUGUAACCAAUGCUUUCAAAAACUUUAUACUUAUAUGUUUGAACAACUUUUUUCGUUUUCUAUUUAUAUACGAUAUCAUUUAUGUUUACAUAAAUUUUCAUAUGUACCCAAAUUAAGCAUUAAAUACACACACUUUGGUAAGACACAUUAAUUUCUAGUAUCAGACAAUGAUAUUAUAUUGAAUGUAAUGCUUCAAUGAAUUUUAUUACUAUAUACUAAAAUACUCAACGAUCUCCAUUAAAAAAAGAAAAGAAAUUGCAUGAUUAGAAUGAUUAAAGAUCAUUUGAUGAGGAGUUUCAUCAUUAACUGUGUCGAAACACAGCAGCAAUCCACAAUACACUUAACAGGAGAGGGGCACACAAGCAUGCAUGAAUCUUCCACCAUUAAACCUGAAAUCAUAAAAUAAAAGAAACAAGAUGAGUGUUGUUUUACGGUCUGAAAGCCGAUUCCAAUUAAUAAUAAUAAUAGUAAUAGUAAUAAACCUUUGUUAAUAAUUACUACUAGUUGUCUCUGCCUUUUGCAUCUUCCUCCUUUGUAUCAUCGUCCUCUUCCAAUCACACGGCUAGACCAGUAUGUCUCGAGAAUCUUUACUGCCUUCUCAGAGAUCCCGUUGACGUCACGACUUCGUAGAUUUUCAAUCUUUUCUAAUCCCUCAGCCUCCUCAACCAACUGGGCAUAUUGAUUAAAAUCUCCAACGGCGGUACCCGUAUUCAUUUCAGCUACCCCGACCUUCAAAAUGUUCUCUAAUCCUUCUAAGCAAACAGUGACGAUCUUUGGAUCAGCACAUUGAAGGAGACCACACAAUGGUUUUAUACACCCCGUUCUCACGAGGUACUUGAUUUGAUCAUGAGUGCCACGCGAGCUGGCAUUCGAAAUUGCCCAAGCAGCCUCCUUCUUUGUAUCAAAUUCAGCAUUUUGAAGUAGAUUGACAAUGGGACCAAUUAAGCCGGAAUCAAUUACCGCCUGAAUCUGCUCCCUGUUUCCAGCUGUAAUAUUUGAAAUAAUCCAGCUAAUCUUCUUCUUGAUGAUCUCUUCAUGAUUAUGGACUAAAAUGUCCAAAAAGUAUGGCAGUGCACCACAGUUAAUUAUAUACUGAGUCUGGAAAUCAUCUCCCGUCACAAUAUUUCCAACAGUCCCCAGGGCAGGGGCAAGCACUGAGGAUGAUGAGUGACCAAGGAGCUCAACAAGUCGUGGACAGACACCUGCCUCGAUCACAGCUUGAAUUUUGUCAUUCGUACCAUCAGCAAGAUACGCGAGUGUCCAACAGGCAUAUGUCAAGACCUCUUCAUCGUUUGAACGAAUAAGCUGUGCAAGCGCCGGGAGAGCUGGCCUUACCUGAUCAAAUGGUGGCUGUGGCAUGCCCCUGCAUAAAUUAGACAAUGUCCAUGUGGCAGUUCUCAGCAUUGAAAGCUUAGUGUGGUCCUUUAAUUGCUCCAGCACUGGAAUCAAAGCUUCUUCGCGAAGCACAAGAUUACGGCAUCCAAGUGAGUCACCACCAAUAUUUCCCAUUGCCCAAACAGCCUGCUCGCGGACAUCCUCACUUGGAGAAGCAAGUAGUUUCACAAAUAUUGGAACAGCACCGUCGUCAAUCACCACCUUAGUGUUCUCUGAAGUUCCAGAAGCAAUGUUUGUAAGAGCCCAAGCAGCCUGAAAAUGAAGUUGCGGAUAGUCUACCCUCAUAAGAAACUCAACAAAGCGCGGGACAACGCCAGAUUGUAUGACUUCAUCAAUUUGUGGACUCCUCUCAAUCGAAAGUAGAUUUCGGAACCAAGUAGUUGCUUCCAGCUGCAAGCCGCUGUCAUCUGACCAAACCCCAGCAACCAUCCUGUGAAAACUCGCGUACUUGUUUUAGGAGCAGGAGCAGGAGGAGGAAAUUAAGUUAGGGAUUUGGAGUGAGAGUGAAGGUGGAGAAAAAGCAAGAGAGGGAAAAAGUUGAUUGUUGAGAAAUAUAUACCUUUCGUAUGGUUGUGUUAAGGUCGUCCUUCCAAUCCCAACAUGCUUCACCCCGCCGCUCCACUUUGUGUAAUUUGGGUGUACUUAAUUUUCCUUCAGAGAAAAUCUUCAUAUCGGGGCAAUCAUCCACCACUAAUCUUUCCAAAGAUGGGAAAUUGAAAGCACAAUUGCCAGAGCAGAAGCUUGUCAGACUUUCUAAGAGUAAAAGCUUCAACUCCUUCAAUUCUCUGAAAGUAAUAACCUCAUCUUGUGCUACAACAUCAUCCCCCAGUACUAUUUCUUUUAUCUUAUCGCAUGAUGCUAUCUCCAUAUAUCUAAGUCUCACCAGAGUCUUUGCAACUGAGGAUGUUAUUACGAUUUUCAAGUUGUUGCAACGCGAUACCACCAGAUUUGUAAGAUUCUGAAAGGAUGUCGACGAUGGCACUAGAUUGACCAAACGGUCACACCCCUUUACACGUAGAAUAACCAAGUUGUUCGUAACAGAGGACUCCUCUAUCAAAAUGUGCUCCAGUUGAUAUUUUGCUUCUAUUAUUUCUACCCUCAUCCCAUUUUCAACCUUCUCUUCCGGCAACCAAGCAUCAAGUCCUCCUAUUUGGAGGAGUUUCAUUGUGUGAAGUCUCUGGAGGAAGUCACCAAGCGAUAAAAUAGUCCGCUCAUCAUCCAACUCCACAAAAAUAUAUUUUAGUUUGCAAAGCAAGUCUUCAGAAAAUAGAUAUUUAUUUGUUACUACGUGCUUUGCAUCAACUUUCAACUCUUCCAAAUUAGGGAAUACCUGGGAGAUUGAUCAGAGCCCAAAAAAAAAAAAAUACAAGAUGAAUCAAUUGAUGAGAAUUAUAAGUUACCACUAAUUUAUAAAAUAUAUUUUAUAAAUUAGAAUAAUUAUGAAUGAAUACUAUACACUAAUCUAGAAUAAUUAUGAAUGAAUACUAUACACUAAUCUGUAAGAGAGUUACGUUGCUAACAAUUUGACUUUUAGUAAGAAACCAAGCGAUAAAGGCAAAGGCAAUAUAACUCUAAACUCUAUGAUAUAAACUCUCACAGAAUAAGAAUUGAAAAAUUGAUUAUAAAAUUCUUGUACGUACCCUUUCCGUGAAGAUACUAGUAGUUCUUUUGUAUCUCGCCAUGAAUUCAGGACAUGCAGAUAUCCAUAAUUCUUUCAAGGAUGGAAAUUCAAGAAUAUCAAGAUCUCCAGUGCAGAAGCUUGUGAUCUUUUCAAGAUCAGACAUCUCCAGAUAUUGCAACAGAGGAAACAUUACAAUAUUAUUCUUCCUUUCUUCUUGGUUGUCCACGACUAUUAACUCUUCCAGGACAGGACAUUUACUUAUCUCAAUGCUUUGGAGUCGAACAAAGCUACUAACAGUAGAAGAUGAAAAUAGACAUCUUAAAUUCAUACAUCCGUGUAGGAUCAAGCGUGUUAAAUUCUGAUUACCACAAGACAUGACUGUAACUGGGCUCAGCCGAAUCCUCCCAACAUUUAUUGAAUCCAACGUCAACUUCUCUAACUCUGGUAACCGAACCUGCUCGAACAAAAAAUUAACUUGUUAAUUGCAAGUAAACGAUCAUUGAUUAUAAAAUUCUUGUACGUACCCUUUCCGUGAAGAUACUAGUAGUUCUUUUGUAUCUCGCCAUGAAUUCAGGACAUGCAUAUAUCCAUAAUUCUUUCAAGGAUGGAAAUUCAAGAAUAUCAAGAUCUCCAGUGCAGAAGCUUGUGAUCUUUUCAAGAUCAGACAUCCCCAGAUAUUGCAACUGAGGAAACAUUACAAUAUUUUUCUUCCUUUCUUCUUGGUUGUCCAAGACUAUUAACUCUUCCAGGACAGGACAUUUACUUAUCUCAAUGCUUUGGAGUCGAACAAAGCUACUAACAGUAGAAGAUGAAAAUAGACAUCUUAAAUUCAUACAUCCGUGCAGGUCCAAGUGUGUUAAAUUCUGAAUACCACAAGACAUGACUGUAACUUGGCUCGGCCAAAUCCUCUCAACAUUUAUUGACACCAACUCCAACUUCUCUAACUCUGGUAAUGCAACCUGCACGAUCAAAAAAUUAACUUGUUAAUUACAAGCAACAAUGAUUUCUGUUGAUGGACAAAUCAAUAAAAUUACUCUUUCUCUGGUUAUAGUUCUUUUCAGUUUUUCAUACAAACAACCGUUAAUCAAGUUUUCCAAAUUAUUCCUUACUAAAUGUAUAGAUUUAGACGGCGGCUAAUAUAAUUCAUAUUGCAAAUAUUUUUUGAUUGUAACGAAUUUUGUAAUAUUAAAUUUUGGUUGAUUAACAAUAGGACCUACUGUCCAGCGCGAGCAGUUCUCGGGAUUUAACUACUGGCACCUCGAUUAUAUAAAAAUUUGGAAUAUUUUCAAAGGAAAUCACAUAAUUCCCCCUUGCAAAUAGUAAUUUCAUUAAUUGCCGCGGGUUCACAUAUAAUUCUAAGAAAUUAGGCGAGAAGAGUCUCAUCAACAAUCAAUCAGCAGAUAUCACGUUUGGCAGAUCAUCAUGAUUUCCUCAGAUGCUAGAGAAUCAAAGUGAUUUCCGCUCAUGCAGGAGUGGACACAUUAUCUUAGAGCAUACCUCACUGAGAUCUUUUAAAAAAUUUAUAUUAUAAAGUGAACAACAUAUUUAGUAUAGAUUUAGACGGCGGCUAAUAUAAGUUAUAUGUAUUCUAAUGACGUAUAUUAAAGAAAAUGACUAACCAUAAUUUCAAUCAACUUAUUAGUCUAUAUAUAUAUAUAUAAUAUAUAUUCAGCGAUUACAACAUAUUUAGUAUUCCAUAACAUGAUGUUUAUAAUAAUAAUUAUUAUUAAUUCACUUAUUGUGUCAGAGUACCUUUUCUUUCUCUAAGAAUGUAUUUGUUACACCCCACUAUACUUCGGAUGAAAAAUUUAGAAUAAUUGUGAAAUAUAAUUAUUAAUCACUCUUUGCCAUAUUUGUUACCAAACAGGAAUAUAACAAAGAAAAAAAACAAAAAUUAUAGAGAAUUAAUAAGACGAUUGACUUAUUAAUAACUGACCUUCUCAGGGAAAAGCGUAUUAGAAAUUUGGACAUUGUCCUCCAAAAUGAUUUCAUGUGACUGCAAAUCAUUAGCUGAUUCCUCUUGUCUCUGUUGACAUUGCAGGUGUCUUGAUUUAAGAGUGUAAACUUAAUUGUGAACACAAUCUUAAUUAAUGCACUUGUCUCUGUUUUACAUUGCAGAUGUCUUGAUUUUAGAGCGUAAACUUAAUUGUGAGCACAAUCUUAAUGCAUAGAUAUAAAAUCUUUAAAAAUGAGUACAAUCAACUUAGCACUAAAUCCAAAUUUGAUAUUUUGGAUUCCAUGAUUAAGAUUUUUUAAAUAAAAAUUUAAUAGAGUUAAUUUAAAAAUAAAAAUUAAAUGUGAAAAAUAAACUUGCAAUUAUGGAUUUAAUUUUGAUAAAUAAUGAGGUUCCGCCUAUGUUGCAACAGUUGCAACAUACCACUUCUUUUGUCAUUUUGUAAUUUAGCCAUUGGAUCCAAGACAAGAAUGGUAAAAGCAAAUCUAACGGCAGAGUGUAUUUAUUUAGGUUAUUUUCAUUGUAAUCCCUCUUGUUUUCUGAAAUGUCAGGAAAAAACAUAAUUAUUAUUUUUUUAUUUAUUGGCUUAGUUGUUAAAUGAUAUGAAUAAGAAGUAGGAAAUUUAAGAGGACUUUUAUUAUUGAUAUUAUGUAAUUACAAUGCAUGAUUCAAUACUAGUUUAUAAGAGUCACAACUUGUUAAAUAUAAAAUAAAGUUUAUGUUUGCAUCCUAACUUCAAAAAGAUAAAUACGUUUAUUUAUUCCACAAAUUAAUAAAUAUUUCAUAUUUUUUUAAUUAUUACUAUCAUUUCUAGAUCUACUCUCAUUAUGUAAAUUUAUUAAAAAUUAUAUUUAAUUAUUAUUUUAUAUUAAUUAUUAAUAUAUAAAUAUAAUAUGAUAUAAUAAAAUAAUAUUAUAAUAUAAUUUAUUUUUAAUAUUUUAAUUAUUAUAGUAAAAAUAAAAAUAUAAUAAAAAUAUAUUUUUAAUAUUUCAAUUAAGAAAAAUUUUAGCACAUUGUAGUGAAUUAUAUAAUUGACCACAAUCUAACUUUUAAAACUUCCAAACAUAGGUAAGUAAUAAAUUAAUGUGAACAAUAUUAUAACAAUAUACAAUACUGUGUUCUAAACACAUUCUAAUGGUGCGUUUAUUAAAUAAGAAUCGAAAUGAGCUAGAAUCAUAAUAAGGAAUCGGAAUGAACAACAUUCCCAUUGAUGUGUUUACUUUUUUUUAUAAUUGGAAUAAACUAUUAUAAGUUAUUAAAAUGCCCUUUGAUAAUUGUGUCCCUAAUAUUAUUUGUAUCUAUUAUAAUUAAAACAAUAAUAAUAAUAAUAAAACUAAAAAUAAUAAUUAUGAAAAUAAUGUUAAUUAAAACAAAAAAUUAAUAAAAUUUAACAACAAUAAUAAUAACAACAACAACAAAAUUAACUGAAAUAAUAAUAUUAAUAAUGAUAAUAAUAAUUAUUAUUAAUAAGUUUUAAUAAUAAUAUUAUUAAUAAAAAUAAUAACAACAUUAAUUAAUAAUAAUGAAAAUAAAAAAGUUAAUAUAUUUUAAUAAUAACAUUAAUUUUAAUCAUAACAAGAUAAAUAUUAAUAAUAAUGAAUUAAUUACAGUAUAAUAGCAAUUAAAAUAAUAAAAGUAAUAAAUUUUAAUAAUAAUAAUAAUGACAAUAAUAAUCAUAAAUAAUAAUAAUUAAAAUAAUAAAAUUUAAUAGCAAUAUAACUCUUAAGCUUUAUGAUUUAAACUUUCACAGUACAUACAUAAGAAUUGAAAAAAUGAUUAUAAAAUUCUUGUACGUACCCUUUCCGUCAAGAUAUUAGUAGUUCUUUUGUAUCUCGCCAUGAAUUCAGGACAUGCAGAUAUCCAUAAUUCUUUCAAGGAUGGAAAUUCAAGAAUAUCAAGAUCUCCAGUGCAGAAGCUUGUGAUCUUUUCAAGAUCAGACAUCUCCAGAUAUUGCAACUGAGGAAACAUUACAAUAUUAUUCUUCCUUUCUUCUUGGUUGUCCACGACUAUUAACUCUUCCAGGACAGGACAUUUACUUAUCUCAAUGCUUUGGAGUCGAACAAAGCUACUAACAGUAGAAGAUGAAAAUAGACAUCUUAAAUUCAUACAUCCGUGCAGGAUCAAGCGUGUUAAAUUCUGAUUACCACAAGACAUGACUGUAACUUGGCUCGGCCAAAUCCUCUCAACAUUUAUUGACACCAACUCCAACUUCUCUAACUCUGGUAAUGCAACCUGCACGAUCAAAAAAUUAACUUGUUAAUUACAAGCAACAAUGAUUUCUGUUGAUGGACAAAUCAAUAAAAUUACUCUUUCUCUGGUUAUAGUUCUUUUCAGUUUUUCAUACAAACAACCGUUAAUCAAGUUUUCCAAAUUAUUCCUUACUAAAUGUAUAGAUUUAGACGGCGGCUAAUAUAAUUCAUAUUGCAAAUAUUUUUUGAUUGUAACGAAUUUUGUAAUAUUAAAUUUUGGUUGAUUAACAAUAGGACCUAGUGUCCAGCGCGAGCAGUUCUCGGGAUUUAACUACUGGCACCUCGAUUAUAUAAAAAUUUGGAAUAUUUUCAAAGGAAAUCACAUAAUUGCCCCUUGCAAAUAGUAAUUAUCAUUAAUUGCCGCGGGUUCACAUAUAAUUCUAAGAAAUUAGGCGAGAAGAGUCUCAUCAACAAUCAAUCAGCAGAUAUCACGUUUGGCAGAUCAUCAUGAUUUCCUCAGAUGCUAGAGAAUCAACGUGAUUUCCGCUCAUGCAGGAGUGGACACAUUAUCUUAGAGCAUCCCUCACUGAGAUCUUUUAAAAAAUUUAUAUUAUAAAGUGAACAACAUAUUUAGUAUAGAUUUAGACGGCGGCUAAUAUAAUUUAUAUGUGUUCUAAUGAUGUAUAUUAAAGAAAAUGACUAACCAUAAUUUCAAUCAACUUAUUAGUCUAUAUAUAUAUAUAUAUAAUAUAUAUUCAGCGAUUACAACAUAUUUAGUAUUCCAUAACAUGAUGUUUAUAAUAAUAAUUAUUAUUAAUUCACUUAUUGUGUCAGAGUACCUUUUCUUUCUCUAAGAAUGUAUUUGUUACACCCCACUAUACUUCGGAUGAAAAAUUUAGAAUAAUUGUGAAAUAUAAUUAUUAAUCACUCUUUGCCAUAUUUGUUACCAAACAGGAAUAUAACAAAGAAAAAAAACAAAAAUUAUAGAGAAUUAAUAAGACGAUUGACUUAUUAAUAACUGACCUUCUCAGGGAAAAGCGUAUUAGAAAUUUGGACAUUGUCCUCCAAAAUGAUUUCAUGUGACUGCAAAUCAUUAGCUGAUUCCUCUUGUCUCUGUUGACAUUGCAGGUGUCUUGAUUUAAGAGUGUAAACUUAAUUGUGAACACAAUCUUAAUUAAUGCAUAGAUACAAGAUGUUUAAAAAUUAGUAUAAUAAACUUAGCACUAAAUCCAAAUUUGAUAUUUCGGAUUCCAUGAUUAAGAUUUUUUAAAUAAAAAUUUAAUAGAGUUAAUUUAAAAAUAAAAAUUAAAUAUGAAAAAUAAACUUGCAAUUAUGGAUUUAAUUUUGAUAAAUAAUGAAUGUUCUCUUUAUAUAUUUUUUUAAAAGGUAAAAGAGCGUACAAAACCCAAAUUCAUUUUUUUAGUCCCUUACUCUCCCAUGAUUCAAACUUCACUUUUUUUUUCUUUUUCUUUUUUUUCUUUUUUUGUUGAGAGAAAAGAGAAGAAGGAUAUUACAAAGCAUGAAGCUCGUGCAAUAUAAGGGCAAUUAUGGUUUUUUCUUUAAAUUAAAAUGGUAAGAUUCUGAAGCUAAAAGAUUAAAAUAUUAAUUAAAUUGCAAACAUUAAAGAUUUUUUUUCCAAAAUUGGUUGCUUUGAAAAUGAGAAUAAUAUAAUAUUUGAAGACUUUUUCAAAAUUAAUUACUGUGAUGCACUAGAAAUUUAUAGCUUUAGUCUAAUGUAUAAAUUGACAAAACGAUAUUAGAAUCCCAGGUGAAAAGAACCCUCUCAUACCAUUUUCUUAAAUUAGGAAUGAUCAUACCUCUGACUCUGCCGGACUGAGGGCGAGGCGUGAACCCCUCAUACGGAGACGCUUGAGAUGGGAAGAGCCUACUUUGACUAACUCGUUACGAAAAUAAUCGACAUCUUGCUCUUGCAAUCUACGUAAUUCAAGGUCUUCAAUUCUCUGCAGUUGCACGAUCAGCGAAUCCUUCAAGCGAAUCUUGUCAUUUAGCUCGAGUCUGAAUUCACGACACCAAAUGCCAGUGCUCUCCCAAUAUUCCCAACCCUCAUCCUCAUCCUCAUCCUCAUCAUCUCCAAUGCGGAUGAUAUGUAUGCUGUACCUUUCCAGCUUCUCCAAGAGCAGGCCUCUGGGCAGAGUGCCGACGUCAUAGACGUGUAAUUCCAAAGAGGUCAAGUUGGGUAAAUGCUUCAACUCCUCAAGGCUUGCAUUCUUAACCCCUUCCACCUCCACCUCCCAAUCGGCAAAGUCAAAGAGUUCACUAGCUAUAUAUAGUUCUUCUAAAUGGGAUAAUUUUGACAGUAUAUUUGGUGGAAUAACUUUUAGUGCAAAACAAUCUCUCAAAUCAAGCAACUUUAGCCAAGUCAAUUCACCUACUUCUACCGGCAACUUCUUAAUAUAAGAACCUCUUAAGCAAAGGAUUUCUAGUUUCUUCAAGUCUCCUACAACACUUAUAUCAGGCAAACUGCAGCGACACAAACUCAGUGUUCGAAGGUUUGACAGGAGACCAAGUGAUGGAGGCAGUGACCGUAUGUAAGUCAAGUUUACAACUCUGACCUCGAUCAUGCUCUUGAAAAGGUUGUCUGGAAUUGUUACUGGUGAGGUUUCGCAAGGAUCAUCACUAAUAAAAAGAAGUUCGAGCUGAGGACAUUCCAGUACUUUAGGAAGCAAAUUAGGCUUGAUAUCAUGUAUGACGAUUGAAGUGCAAUGCUUUAUUGCACUUCCGUCUGACCAUUCCCUGCAACCAUCAACCUGCUCAUUUGUAGCAGUAAACACAUUUCGUUCAGUAGAUGCAAUUGAUAUGGCGACAUCGCGAACUACAUCAUGCAUAGAAAACAACUCUUUCUUCUGGCUUAUAUGGUCAAGCAACAUACAAGAAGCUUUGAGUGUGCGCACCAAUGUAUGUACUCGAUUUCGUGCUGCUUCCAUCUUAUUCACACCUUGAAAUAAACUCAAUCCCAUACCACACAUUAACAG
rnacentral:lncRNA from 1 species